AAAAGAUGGGUUCCUUCUAUUGAUAAGGUUGGUGAGUGUGUGAUUUAAAAGAAUUGAUAUGUUUUGAAAAAUUUUGGUUUGAAUUUUCAUGAAAUUUUACGCGGGAAGAUGAGCGCUCAAAUUUUUAGAACUUAAGCGACGGAAUGUUCUAUUUCCGUCGUCUAAGUGAUUCAUAAUUUUUUUUUAUUUUUAUUUUAAAAACAUUCCGUCUCCUAAGUAAACAUUUACAUUUCCGUCUCCUAAGUUCUACUUAGGCUACGGAAUGUAAUUCCGUCUCCUAAGUGAUUCAUAUAAUUUUUUUAAUUCUUAUUUUUUCAAAAUGUCGUCGUCUAAGUAAAAAUAUUUCGUCUCCUAAGUAGUACUUAAGCGACGCCUAAGUCGUUCUUAGGAGACGAAAUCAAAAUAUUUCGUCUCCUAAGAACAACUUAGGAGACGGAAACUGUUUCGUCGCUUAAGUACCACUUAGGAGACAUAAUUUUUUAAUUCCGUCGCCUAAGUGCUAUUUUCCAGUAGUGGUCCCAGGUUGGUCGAAUAAACUAACGCUAGGGUUUGUCCUAGCCCUAUUGGUUUUGUUAAUUUGUUUUUUCCUGGUUUGAACUCCAUGGUAGCAUCAUUUAGGUUGCUUUCGGGUCACCUAGCAUGGUUUAUUUUAUCAAUUGCUUUUGCGGGCAAGUCAGGUUUGUAAUUGCCAUUCUUAUUUGUAUCCUCCUAGGCCUGGAACUUGGAAGUUAAAUUGUGAUGCUGCUGUAAUUAAUAAUGGGGAGAGAGUUGGUCUUGGUGUUGUGAUAAGGGACUGUGAUGGUGAGAUGAGAUUGGUUGUAGGUGAACGUAGUCUGGGGAGAUUAAACCCAUGUGUAGCUGAGCUCCAAGCUUUAAUUCUUGGUUUGGAAAUUAUUCUAUACAAGAGAUGGACGGUUUCCUGUGUUGAAACCAAUUGUUUGGAGGCUCUGAGGUUGGUGAAUGGGACUGAAGAUGGGUUCAUCUUUGCCCAUGAGGGGGUGUUAGUGGAGAAGAUAAGAUCUCUGCUAGAACUUACUAGUUUGUAGCAGAUUACUCAUACUCCUCGGAGUGGGAAUGGCGUGGCUCACAGUGUGGCAACAAGACUAGCCUGAUUAGAGGGGCGUUGUUUCUAGUUAGGGGUUAGGCCCAAUUGGCUCAUGGAUGUCAUCAAUGGUGAUAGACCUGUAACUGAUUAUGGUAGUAGGGAAGCGAGUGAGACAAUUUUGUCUACCGCCGAUAAUUCCCAUAUGAUAUAAUGUUCUUUCUUAUUUGAAUAAAAGUAUGGAAAAUACUUGCGUUCGGACUAGUAUGUACGUGUGCGUCCGAACUCUCUCUUAUUUAUGUACUUUUGUCAAUGUAAAUCAUAAUGUUAACCGUUCAAAAGCUAGAUUACCCAAUAAAAAUCACAUCUGCAAAAAAUCAAUAUAAACAAAAAUCGUUUACUCAGCCGAAUGAAUCAAAAAAUUGACGGCUAAUCAUGAGACUGCUAACUUUCACCAGAACUGUCCAUUUGUUUAAUGUAUACGGCCUGAGCAAACGAAUUUUGUUUACACUGAUUUUUUACAAAGAUGAUCUUAAUUUAUUGGUUAAUUCAGUUUUUAAACGGUUAAUAUUAUGAUUUAAAUUAACAAAAGUACGUAAAUAAGAAAAAGUCUGAACGUAGACAUACAUACUAGUCUGGACGCAAGUAAAGUAUUAUUCAAUUCUAAAAAAAAAAAAAAAAGGCCUAACGUCCAUGGUAAAAAAAGAAAAAAAAAGUAUGUAUAGAGGUUACUUUUUACGAAGGACUAAAAUUUAGCCGAUUGUGGAAAUUUCGACAAUCCAAAAAACAGAUAUUUCGAUGGAAAUUUCGAGGAAAUAUCGAUUGCAAAAAAUUCGAAAAAAUUGUUAGUUGUAGUUUAGAGUAAUUAGACAUUUAGCAAAAAAUUUACUUUUAAAAUUUCAUUAAGAGAUAAGUAAUAUAUAUAUUGUAAAAGCAAAGGCUAUCAAGUUGGGUGGUUAGCCGGGUGGUUAAGGAGCUAAGCUUGUACAAUCUUCUACAGGGUUCGAGACCUGAUGGACGCAAAUUUUGGUUUUAUUAUAUUGAAUUUCAAAUAAGACAUUGGAGACUUGGACACAAAAUUACAAUUUGGAGACUUGGAGCCAUCAAAUGAGACACCGGUGCGCCUUUUUAGGGGGGGGGGACAGAGACAAAACACACCCACGUGGGUCAGAUCACUCAGAUGUGACUCAUAUGAGUCAUCCACGGAAUAAUUCGAAAAAAUCUAAUAUAUCACGAUAUUUCGAUAAUAUCUCACGAAAAUAACUUGGAAGGUGAAAUGUCGAAAAUUUCGAUUUUUUAGACCUUGCUUUUUACCGAAUACUCACCUCCUUUGACAUACUUUUUCUUCAUUAGCGCUGAUAUCAUAAAGACUGUUCACCACAGUACAUUGUUUCUACCACACAGUUUGCAGAAUAAAACUGAAUGAAAAAAUUCUAAAUAAAAAAGAAAAGAAGAAGAAGAAUGGGGGAACCAAUGGGAAGACCUAAAUUAGAAGCACUCCUGCGUCCUGCCAUCUUCAAUCAUUUCUCUCGGUACUCUCAAUCAUUACCCACUUCCCCAGAUCACGCUUCAUAAAUGCACACCCACUCCUCUCCAAUAGCAACCCACCACGUCUACUCUGAGAAUCCAAAGGCCCACCCCUCCCGCUCCUCUGUCUAUUAUAACGAACCCCAACCUCUCAGAACCCAACGCCACCCACGUCACCACUCAGAACUCACCACGUGUCGGUAUCCUCCUCUCUCGUACUCUCACGUACAGCUAACCGGAUUACCUGGAACCGCCGGUGGCCAACCAAAAAAGCUAAAUGAUUCUCUUCCUUUCUUUCUCUCUCAGACACACACCACCUUCAAUCAAUUUCCCCUUUCUAGGGUUUCCACUGAUCACCAUUAUUUCACCACCAGAAAAAAGAAAUCCCAAUAUUCUUCUUCUUCUUCAAUUUAUUACAUUUUUCAUCUCAAUUCAAUUCAAGGAGGUUUGAUUUGUGCUGUGUGGAUUCUUAAUUUGAUUCCUCGAAAAGGAAUUGGAUUCGGAUAAGAUAAGAUAAGCGAGGAUUUGGUGAUAUUUUGGAUUUUUUGUAGAUCUGAAGCAAAUUUGAUUUCAACGAGUUCUGGUUUCGAUGAUAUGCGAGUGAAGAUGGCUGCCAGUAUGGAUUUUUCGCCUCCGACUACCAUAUUUGAAGGUGUUUGCUACAAUGACAACAUGUCAGCGUUGGAUGAUCAUGAUGAGAAUAUCCACAGUUUGAAGCAUAUUCCGAAUGGAAAGCCUCCGAGGGUAAUGCGGCACAGUUUGAGCUCCAUGAGGUUGCUCUCCCCUGAGGAUUUGGUAAUCUCAUGUCUUUUAUAUGACUAGAUGCUUUGUAAUUAGCAGGAUAUGUGGUUUACAUCUUAAAUUUUCGACGAAAAUGUCUUCGGUAGAUUAGUGUUGGAGAAUGCAUAUGUAGCUGCUCUAUUGGUUUGGAUUGUUCUCUGCAUUUAGCUAGGAAGGCGGAAUGGAAGGCAGUUAAAACUUCAAAUUUACACCUUGUAUUGUACUUUGCACCGAAUUUUGGGGAUUGCGCGUUGUACUUACUCCUUUGUUUGGCUUUUUUCCAGUUGGAAGUUGGGGUUGUAGCCAGUAAGUCACCGUCGAAUGAAAAUACAAACUUUCUCCCAGUGUUCCGAUCAGGAAGCUGUGCUGAAAGAGGACCGAAACAGUACAUGGAGGAUGAACAUGUUUGUGUCGAUAAUCUUGUUGAACAUCUAGGUGAAACUUCUGACUUCCCUUUGCCUGGUGCUUUCUAUGGGGUAAGUUGUCACCUUCAUAUCUUUUACUUGUUAUUACCUAUUGUUAAGCAGGAGAAUUUUAUGGAGCUGUUAAAGCUGAAAAAAUUGGAUGAUAAAGUAUUAGUAUUUCUCUGCUCUUUUAUCUUGUGGCUCCUGUAGGCAUGGUGGUUACUUUUGUUAGAUAUAAUUACUCCUUCGGCGAAGUUGCACUAACUAUCCGAUAUGCUUUGGUAGGAUUUCCUGAUUUUGUAUGAUCUAGUUAUACUUUGAGCUCCUGUAAUAUCAUUGUCCUACAGCAACACAGAGUUGAUUUUUAUCUCCCUUCUACAGUAUAUGUCCAAAUGUCUUUACUAAAUCUAAUUAACUAGCUGAAGAGAUACCUUUAGGAGAGGCAUUUAGGUAUUCUAUUCUAAACCAAAAUCACCGAUUAACUUUUAUCUCAUCAUAAAUGCUUUAUUUGUUACGUACUUGUCUUGUUAUUUGAUCUUAGGAAGUAAGGCUCAUCUUAAUUUACACAGAUUUCUCAAUAUAGAUACAUUUGAACAGGUAUUUGACGGCCAUGGAGGUACAGAUGCAGCAUUGUUUAUCCGAAACAAUAUUCUUAGAUUCAUAGUUGAGGAUUCUCAUUUUCCAACUUGUUUGGAGAGGGCUAUUAAGAGUGCCUACGUGAAAGCUGAUCAUGCAUUUGCAGAUGCAAGUUCUCUUGAUAUCUCCUCUGGUACCACUGCUCUGACUGCCCUUAUUUCGGGAAGGUAAUUAGCUCCUUCACUGCCCUUGUUUUGCAUCAGAUGAUGCUGGUGAUCUGUACUAUUUGCUAAAGUUCUUCUGACAGGUGGUCCCCAUGUUAUGGGACAUCUCUUGAAAAUACUGAUUUAUCUAGAUACUGCAUUGUAACAUUAUAGUACCUUACACUUGUGAUAGUGGUCUAAGGAAAUGAUGAAAGAAGGAAGAAAUAUAACAAAUGAGCAACGAGUUAUCUUACUAUUGCUUUUAUUUUGUUUUUCAAACCUAGAAUUUAGGAGUCAGGAUAUUGUUGCAGAUGUUACAUUCUUUUCCUCUUUACAGGACCCUAAUAAUUGCCAAUGCUGGGGACUGUCGAGCUGUGAUGGGAAAAAGGGGUAGAGCAAUAGAGAUGUCAAAAGACCACAAACCAAAUUGUGCAUCUGAAAAGCUAAGAAUUGAGAAGCUUGGUGGUGUGAUUUAUGACGGGUACCUCAAUGGACAAUUAUCUGUGGCUCGUGCUCUAGGAGAUUGGCACAUGAAGGGACCUAAAGGCUCUGCAUGCCCUCUAAGUGCAGAUCCUGAGUUGCAGGAGACAUGCCUGACCGAGGAAGAUGAGUUUUUGAUAAUGGGGUGUGACGGUUUGUGGGAUGUAAUGAGUAGCCAAUGUGCUGUGACAAUGGCGAGGAAAGAACUGAUGAUCCAUAAUGAUCCUGAAAGAUGCUCAAGAGAACUGGUCAGAGAGGCACUCAAGCGUCAUACUUGUGAUAAUUUAACUGUUAUUGUGGUUUGUUUUUCCCCAGAUGCACCCCCUCGGAUAGAGGUUCCUCAAAGCCGAGUCCGAAGGAGCAUUUCUGCAGAAGGGCUUAAUUUGCUGAAGGGUGUACUGGACUGCAACUCGUGAGUUAAAGAGGAACAGGACCAUCGAGUUAUGUACAGAAUUCCAAGGAUUUAAAAUUGGUGAGGGGGUAACAUUGUACCCCAAGUAGUUGCUGUCGUUCGUGUAGCAGUUAUUUGAGUUCAGCCUCAGUCAGCCUCAUUCAAGGGAACAUUAUUUAUGCAUAGGGUUAUUUGUCAUGUUGUAUAUACUGUACAUCUAACAAGCCCUGUAGACUACUGUUGUACCAUUGGAAGUAUUCAUAUUCAUUAUUUGAUUUCCACUUAAUUAUGCGACUUGUACAGUGUGAAGUAAUUUAUCCAAAAGCGGAUGUUCUUGAAGGGAUUGUACCCUUCCUAUUGGGAGAGGGGAGUUUUAAGUUGACAGUCAGAUGAUUGGAAGUGGAAACAUUCAAAAUUUGGGCAAUGCAAAUGUGAAAUCUCUCAAGAAAGUUACAGCAAGGAGGCUGUUUACAAGUUCAUAUAGGUUCUUGCGAUGCAUUUGCCUAGAUGAAAGAAAGAUAGAAACACCUGCUUGAGUUCUAUGAAAAUUUCUCCUGGUAUUAGUUCAACAACAUAUUGGCAUAAGUAUAGAAGCAAAAUUUGUUCGUAUAAGAAUGAUCGUCACUCGAGCAUUACACUUAUAAGGCAAUGCCAACUAAGCCGACCAAACUUUCAAUAGAAUAGCAGUGAAUUCAGGCACGUCAGAGUUCUCCAUCUGAUCCACCGUUAGAUCCAUUUUCCUCAUCCAAUGCACUGCAGAAACAGAAACCAGAAAUAAUAUCAGGGAAUUAUACAAAGGAGACCCUAGGCUGUAAAGCAAGAACCAUGAAGUUUCAACCAACAGACAAGUGGGUGGUUUCAAAACUAGGUUUAGGUUGCCAUAAUAAAAACUUUAAUUUACACAGCCAAUGAUAAAAAGAUUGUUGUUAAGUGAUGACCUCCUUGGUCUUUAAAUGAAGGUUGGUGCCCUGGGAGGGGAGCAGUAGAAACUAGAAACAAAGGACUCAUUUUUCUUCGUGUUUGUCAAGGUGUGAUGAAUUGCAAUCAAACUUUUACCUUGUUUUGCUGCAGUGUUUGCUCAGAUCCUGACAUAGAACCUUGCUUACAUCUCCUACUCCUAAAGAUCCUUUCUUUAUCAAGUCUGCAAUCUGCAAAAUUUAUUGAGAGUGAGCCAUUAAAAUCAUUACGGUGUAGUGCAGACAACCGUUUUGUAUAUUUCAAAGAUAUCAAGAAUAUCAAGUCACCUCAUCUUCUGUUUCCUCAAGUAACCUAUUACAAAUAAAUAUACUGGUUAGCCUUAUGAAUCAUAUGAAACUUGACUAGUUUAGAAAAUCCACAUUUUUCAAAUGACAAAGACAAUCAGUAUAACGUUGGUAACUAAACUCUCAUCAGAAAGAAGAAAGGUUCUCACCUUCCACAAUAAGUUGAUAUAUCCUUUGAAUAUGCUCUAGCUUCUUGUUUAUCUAAAACUGUACCACCAAGAAAAAUGAGGCAAAUCAAUCUGUAUAAUCUUACAGCUUUCAUAACAUCUCAAUAUAUGAAACUAAUCGGUUUGUGCGAUAGACAAACAACUGGAAAGAAUAACUUCAUUUUGAUUGAAGUCUUCUCCAAUUCUAGGAACUUACCAAACAAAUAGCAUUGACUUAAAUGAAAACAGCAUAUGAAUCUGUUGCUUAAUGACUAUGAGCUGACAGAUAAAUACAAGGUUUCUAUUCAUAAUGCUUGAAUCUAUCAUGUAGAAAUACAUACCUAUCGUAAGGUUAUCCCAAUCACGCACUUUGAUCCAAACUGGUCUGUCUGAAUCUAUCUGCAAAUGAAAACCAGAAUCAGUUAUUCCAGCAAACUACGUAAAUUCUAUAAAAGAAACUAAUUUUUUAAAUCCCAAGUAAAUUACCUUGCUAAGAGUGUAAUCCUGCAUCUUGUCACAAAGUCCAUCAAGGAGUUCAACAACUCUGAGCUCACUGACUCUAAUAAAAACAAUCGCAAAAGAAAGUCACCAGCCAUUUGUAAAACAAAGUAGACUAGAACAACCGACUUCUCAUCAAUUCAUCUAGUUACUAGCCUCUUAUUCAGAUCAUAGUCUUCCAUCUAUCCCACCUAUCUGUUAAACGACUACACGAUUUCACAUAUGUCCAGUUGAGUAAUGCUCUUAUGUAAAAAGUGCCUUAAGUUGUUAGGUUGAGGGUUUUAGAGUUUUACAAUGUGCGAGAUUUGGAUCACAAUUAUGGAUACAGAUGCAACUCAGGUAAUACCUGUAGUCGAUUACCUUUCCUCGCCGUUGACCUUGGGAGUCCAACCGGUGUCUCAUAUCCAAGUGGUUUCUGGGCUUUUCCUGCAAAAAAUGAUUACACAUUGCGAAUCAAAAUCAAUGUCUUGCAAGGUGAGCUAGUUAGAAUUGACAAUGAUAUUUCUGACCUUGGAAAUUCCCCAUUCUAGCUCUUCCUGCAAGAGAAUCAGAGAUGAGUUGUCAAUUCACGAGAUCCACGGGAAUUUGAAAUUGAAGACGAGACGAGAGGAGGGAGGGAGGGAGGGAGAGGUUUAUACCGCGACGGCAUUGCAGGCGGCGCAUUUGUCGUCGAUGGAAGAAACGACGGUGAAGAUGGUGAAUAUCAGAAUCACAGUGGCGACCUUUGACCUUUCCAUCUUCUCCGAUUCGUAUCUCUCUCUCUCUCUCUCUCUCUCUCUCUCUCUCUCUCUCUCUCUCUGAAUCACAAUGACUUUGGGAGCGUCCAGUGUUUGAUUUUAGUUACUCUCCCGGGUGGACCCACCGGGUCUUGACCACCCGGCCCACGUCCAGUGCCCCGAAAAUAAAACUCAACUCGAGACAUGUAUUUACUAUUUAGGGGUCAUCGGCGCUGGGCUAGGGCCAGCCUUACCCUAAAUUUUAGGGCUUAGGGUAUGAUCGGAUAGGACUCGGUCAAAGUCAACAAAAUUUAGGGCUGGGUAGGAUAGGGUCGAGACUUGGAUAUGUAAGUUUUUAUCCGUCCUAACGACCCAUUUUGUUAGGGUUAAAAGGACCGGGUAGGGGCGGCCUUUUAAAUAAGAUUAAGUAGGGUCGAGAUGGGCCAGUUUUUUUUCUCACAAUUUAGCUCAAGGUUUAUAUUAGCUAUCUUAUAUGUAAUAUACCCUAUUUUUAGUCCUAUUCAACAUAUAUGAAUAUACAUUAUACUUAACUUAGGACAUCUAUUUAUAAAUAUUAAUCUAAGUGGUUAUACUUAUAUAUCUCACAAAAUAUCUCUCUAAAUCAUUAAAAUACAAUCGUUAUUCAACAAAGCAAAAAGAAAUCAAAUAAAUAAAGCUAGCAAAAUCAAUUACAAAAAAGAAGAUUAGUUGUAUUGUAGCUAAAAAAUAAGAGACUUAUUAAAAGCUAGAGAUCGUUUUGAAAAUCUUUUCCUUAUUAAUCUGGGGACUACUCUUAUUCAAGAGUAUAAUCAUAUCUGUGAGCAAGAGAAUCUGUUUUGGAGGCAGAAAUCUCGUGAUAAGUGGUUGCAUGAUGGUGAUAAAAAUACAAGAUUUUUCCACUUGACUACUCUUGUGAGAAGGAGAAGAAACAAGAUUGAGGGCCUAUUUGAUGCCCAUGGUGUUUGGCAUACUGAUUCCAAAGACAUGAAAAAUAUUGCUGUUGAGUUACUAAUCUCUUCUCUAUGCAAACUUUUGACGAUUCCAGGUUCAUCAUUGAAUGUCUCUUUCCAGAUAUUGACAAGCAGUACACGGAUGCUCUUUCUGCACCCAUAUCCUUGCCUGAGAUUAAGCAAGCUCUCUUUUCCAUUGGUAAAUUCAAAGCUCCUGGAUAUGAUGGAUUUCCUGCUCUCUUCUUUCAGCAGUACUGGAAUCUCUGUGCUAAUGAUCUUAUUCAGGUAGUCACCGAAGCUUUUAGAACUAGUUCUAUCCCUCAAGGCUUAAAUCACACCAUCAUUGCUUUAAUUCCAAAAAUUGAGGGGCCUCAGCACAUGGUUAAUUUUAGACCUAUUAGUCUUUGCACUACUGUUUAUAAGGUGAUCUCUAAAAUUAUUGUGGCAAGAGUUAGGCCUCUCAUGCAGAAUUUGAUUAGCCCUAAUCAAGUGAGUUAUGUUCCUGGUAGGAAUAUUUCUGAUAAUAUAAUGAUUGCUCAAGAGCUUAUUUUCAAGUUUAAAAAAUCUUCAGGCAAGUUAGGUUUUUUUGCCUGGAAGGUGGAUUUAGCCAAGGCCUAUGACAGAUUGAGUUGGAAUUUCAUUGAGAUGGUUUUGCAUGAAGCUAAAUUUCCUCAGUCUCUUAUAAAUCUUAUUAUGCACUGCAUCAGAUCUGUGAGUUUUCAGAUAAGUUUCAAUGGUGAGCUCACUGAUUCUUUUCAUAGUCAAAGGGGUAUUAGACAAGGUGAUCCUCUCUCUCCCUACAUCUUUGUUCUUUGUAUGGAGAAACUCUCUCAUCUGAUUCAUUCCUUGGUUGAUGCCGGUCAGUGGAAAGGAGUUCGUGCCUCACAGUCUGGUCCUAAGGUUUCACAUUUAUUUUUUGCGGAUGACCUGUUGCUCUUUGCUGAAACUUCCUCUGAACAAGCUACUCUUUUGAAAAGGAGUCUUGAUCUUUUCUGCUCUCUAUCUGGUCAAGCUGUAAGUUAUGAAAAAUCUCUUAUUUUUUGUUCUCCUAAUACUUCUAAGGCCAUAGCUUCUGACAUCAGUUCCAUCUGUGGCUCUCCUCUUACUAAUGAUCUAGGAAACUAUCUUGGCAUGCCUCUUGUUCAUGAGAGAGUCANNNNNNNNNNNNNNNNNNNNNNNNNNNNNNNNNNNNNNNNNNNNNNNNNNNNNNNNNNNNNNNNNNNNNNNNNNNNNNNNNNNNNNNNNNNNNNNNNNNNNNNNNNNNNNNNNNNNNNNNNNNNNNNNNNNNNNNNNNNNNNNNNNNNNNNNNNNNNNNNNNNNNNNNNNNNNNNNNNNNNNNNNNNNNNNNNNNNNNNNNNNNNNNNNNNNNNNNNNNNNNNNNNNNNNNNNNNNNNNNNNNNNNNNNNNNNNNNNNNNNNNNNNNNNNNNNNNNNNNNNNNNNNNNNNNNNNNNNNNNNNNNNNNNNNNNNNNNNNNNNNNNNNNNNNNNNNNNNNNNNNNNNNNNNNNNNNNNNNNNNNNNNNNNNNNNNNNNNNNNNNNNNNNNNNNNNNNNNNNNNNNNNNNNNNNNNNNNNNNNNNNNNNNNNNNNNNNNNNNNNNNNNNNNNNNNNNNNNNNNNNNNNNNNNNNNNNNNNNNNNNNNNNNNNNNNNNNNNNNNNNNNNNNNNNNNNNNNNNNNNNNNNNNNNNNNNNNNNNNNNNNNNNNNNUUUUAGAGAUUGUCCUCAAGCUCAAAUGGUAUGAAAUUCUCUCUCAAAGCCUGUUGCUAUUAACAAUUCCUUUGCUUUUGAUUGGCAAGAUUGGUUUCAUACUCAACUUAAAUGGAAGAUCAUUACUCAUAAGAGUAUUAAGUGGUGUAACUUUUUCAUUGGAGUGUGCUGGUUUCUUUGGAAGUGGAGAAAUAAGAGAAUUUUUUAUUCUAGCUUUGUUUUCCCUUCUGAUCCUGGGAAAAUUAUUUUAAAUGCUGCUGUUGAGUGGAAUUCUGCUGCUGUCAAGGCCAAAGUGACAAUGGACUGUGAUUACAAUCUCUUUACUUGGAAAAAGCCUCCUGAAAAUUUUUUCAAGUUAAAUGUGGAUGGAUCUAGAUCUUCAACCUCUGGAAAGAUUGGUGCUGGAGGAGUAAUUAGGGACCAGAAUGGUAUUUGGAUUACAGGUUUUCUAAGUUAAUCUUGGCAUUGGUGNNNNNNNNNNNNNNNNNNNNUUUAAACAUUAUACAGCUCGAAGUUGAAUCUGAUUCUGCCAUCAUCAUGAACCUUCUUCAGCAUGCUGAUCUCUCUUGUCAUCCCCUUGGAUCCCUUAUUGCAGGCUGCCACUUUCUCAGCUCCAACAUGGAGAAUAUUAAGUUCAGUCACAUUUUUAGAGAGUGUAAUAUGACUGCUGACUCUCUUGCCAAGAUGAGCAUCAACCAUGCUCCAGGUCUUGUCAUUCUGAAGGAGCCUCCUAUCCAUGCUGCUUUUGCUUACCUUGAUGAUUUAAAUGAUGUUCCUAGACCUAGAGCUAAAAGAACUGGUGAUUCAGUUGUUGAUUAGUUUUUCUCUUUUGUUCUUUUUUUUCUGGGCCUUAGUACCCCCUCUGUAACCAAAAAAAAAAAAUAAGAGACUUAUUAAAAUAAUAGAAAUAAUAAGAAAUUAUUAGGGCAUAAUUGACGGGCUUUUAGGGCCGGGCCGGGAUUGGCCGUAAAUGGCUCAAUAGGGUAGGGCCGGGUUUCAUUUGCUUGACCCUUACCCUACCCUAUUUGAGAAGAGCUAUGACCGGCCCGCCCUAACGGAGGGCCGGGUAGGGCUUCGGCCCUAGAGGGUAGGGCGGGUUUUAGGGCGGGCUAAGGUCAAAAGGCCAAAUGACGAGGUCUGAUGUAUUGAUGGAUAGUUGAAACAUAAUUCAUUUGGUCAGUUGUUAACUAAGAAUUAUGACCAAUUUACCAUAUAUCUAUUUUUCGUCGACUGUUCACAUAACUAAAUCCAGUGUUUACAGUACUGUGCACAAUUAUUGUUCACGUGAAUAGUGUUUCCUCAUCUCAUAAAGAAAACAACAGUGUGUUUCCUAUCUUGCCAUCUCUAUUGAUUGCUGAAUUUCCGUACAUACCCUUCUUUUAGUCUUAAUAACAAGUUUGCCAUGAGACCGAAUAUAAAAAGGCUGAUGCCAGAUUUUUCCUACUCACUCUUGAAGGUUCCAGACUCAACUCUCUCACAAACUUCGCGUCCUAAACGUUCCACUGAUUUCGACACCAAUCGACGAACUUUGCUGCCUAAAUGUUCAUAACACUGUUUAUAAGAACAAUGUGCUGACUCUUUACCCCUCGCUCAGAUGCUGCGAGAUUCUGCAUUUACCCUUAGAGUUAAGGCUGGAUAUAAAAGACUUUCUUUUUUUUUUGGUGCGCGCGUCACUUUUUCUUUUCUCCUCCAAUCUCUCUCACUCUUUCUCGCUCUCCUGAAACUUCCAUAAGGAUCGAGAAAGAGCUACUGUUUAGUUUUCUUUAUUCAUCUUACAUUCGAGUGUUGCAGAGGUUUUAGAAGAUGAGAGAGAUGUCGGGUAAAAGAAGGAGAGAAAGGCAGAGUCCGACUAAAUGCAGAGAAGGAUAAAGAGAGAGUUGAUCCCCUGAAUUCUGAACUCUUUCCAAUUUUUACCACAUUUCUUGAUCGAGGUUCGGCACCUCACAAGAUUUGGUGGUGGCAUGGGUUUAGAGUUUGUCAUCAGUAAGUAGAAGGGAGGUGAUUCUGGGUUUCUGGGUAAUACCCUUUUUAACUCGGGUUUGUUUUUGUUUUAUUAAGAUCGGUGAUGGGUAAUGUUUGGAGUUUGAUAUUUUGGCAAAUUAAAGUCAGUAUUUUUUGUUUAGAGUCUAAUGUAGCGCUAAAUAUUAUGGGUUUCUUCUCUUUUUACAAUUAUUGUUGUAGGUUCUGGAAGUAAGGCUUUAAAUUUGAAUGACGAAAAGGAUCAAAGUGAUAUUGCAAAAGCUCUUUAUGUGUCUCCAAACAAUCAUCAUCAGGUAUUUCGUUUGGAAUUUUUUUUACAUUAUAUUCCCUCUGUAUGUAGCUUCAAUUUGCCAAUGUUUGAUUCAAUUGCCCUACUUUUCGUACAGAAUGUGGAUGUGAAUCCGAUCGUUACAGACUACUGCAUGCCAUGAAUGACAAGUUAUAUAUGCUAGGUAAGCUACAAGGCCUAACACCAUUAUAAUAAUUUGGCUUCUCAAAAUCUGUGCAUUAUCUACUAGGCUAAUAAGAUUUGAUCUUUACAGUACAAGUUGUACGUACUUUAUAAGUUCACAAAUGCAAAUGUAGCUUCUGAUUUCGAAAUCCUCUUACAUUUAGCAAAUCUUAAGGAAUGUAAUCUAAGCUCUAAAGCAUUGUCCUCAAUAGGGAUAAUAUUUGUUAGAUGAGAUACAAAAACUUUGCAUAAUUUUCCCUUAGUUUGGUGAAUUACAAUGCACAUAUCUAAAUAUAGUGUCUCGCUGAAUCUGUAGGAUCCAAGCCUUUAAACGACAUACCAAUUUCUGCAAGACCAAGGCACACAAUACCGUGUCACCAUAAAACUAAACAUUGUGUUCACAUGCUCAUACCAAAUUAUGUAAAAACCAAUAUCUUGAUAAUAAUGAAUAACCUGCUAGAAGAUUCACAAAACUCGAAUAUGCUGGUAACAAAUAUUUUGUAUUGCAAUCAUAAUCACACUUUGGAAUCGAUUUACUGUUUCCUUCAUAAUCGAUCUAGCUAUAUAGGGAGAAGUAUAAAAGUAGUUAGUUUCUUCUAGAUCUAGAUACACUAUAACAUAAAUGCAUGAAUAUAGAAACAUUAAGCUAUACAUCUAAAGGCAAUCUUAAAACAUUAAGCUUCCCGAGAAGGCAUUCUAAAAAGUUUGUAUCUUGAAUGUCUGAAAAGAAUAUUCUUUUAGGACCUAUGCCAGCAGUCACAACACAAUCUCUUAUGACCUGAAAGAGAAAAUGAGAAAUCCUAAUUAAUGGAUAAUGAUAGCAUAUUUUUCAUUCAACAUGGGUAUUAUCAAUAAGGUUUCGAGAUAAUUGUAUAUUGAUAUACAAUAUUGAGUAUUUUGUGGUAUAUCUGACAGUGUCUUUCACUCGAUAAUACGAUUGUGAGGUAACAUACAUUAAAAAAUUCGAUAAUUUUACAAAUGCAGGGUUUUUCUUCUCCUCUUCUGCCUAAAAGAAAACAACCAAUAUAAAGAGUUAUCAGUUCUUGGAUAAGAAAACAUAACAAAAACAUUAUACAACAAGUUAUGCCAUUACACGUAUGAGUUUUCUUUGUGAAAAGAAAACAAAUAUAAGAGAUGUCUUGUUGAUUGUAAAAGAGUUUAUAUAUGAACAAACACCGAUGUAUAAUUUAUAAACUUGCAUCACUAUAAUAUGCUUCGUCAUUGAAUCUGGUUGUUAGGCAGGUUACCUUGGAGACGUAUGUAUUUGUGUUCUUGAAGGAUCGCCAUGGAUAAAGCAGAAUAGGUUUUGCUGUAGAAAGGCUUUUUGUCAAAGGUCUGGGAUGUCGUGCUUGUCCACCGCACACCAGAGGUGGAAUCUAUCAAUAUAACCAAUGUUGAUCAAUCGGUGGAUGAAAACUGCUCAAAGUUUAUUACCUAAAGAGUUUAGAAGAAGCUGAAUUAGACGUCUAGAGAGCUAGAUUAAUUUGAGGCUGCUAGCUAGGUUUCGAAACUCUUAAAUAGGGGUGUGUUCUAGGGUUUGUAUGUAUAGAAGUUCAAUUUUGGGGUAAGAUCCAUGAUAAUAAGGCUCAUCCGAAAUUUGAAAUUUAUGUUCUUUUUUUAGAAUGUUUUGAAAUUGUUAUGAUAAAGAGAAAACUUCUAACAUGAUAAUUGGUGGUAAUUGGCUGUUAAAUGAAGGAAAUCAAGUGGAAGAUUUGGACGACUAUGGUAGGAUUAUUUCAAUUAGGAUAAUAAAUUGCGAAUCAUACAACUCUCAAAAAUAUUGAGCAUGCAAAAACAAAAUUGGUAUCUUUUUAUCUUUUGUAAACUUUUUGUUUAACCGAAAAUAAUAGUAUUCUCAACUCUCUAAAGUAAAAGUAAAUUGUGAAAUAGAACUUUCAACUCACAGGUUUCUUAAAAUCAUACCAUAAAUUGUGAAUUAUAACUUUCUUUUUUGCCGCCUCCUUUAAUUCUUCAGCUUUUUUUGCUCCUCAUUAGCAACUUUCUUCUUUUUGACAGACUUCUUCCCUGGAUGAUUAUUUAGGAUGAAAGACGUAAGUCUGUCCUCCAUGUCAACUUCAGACAAAUGUGGACACGCCCUACAAUAGAGUUCCAGCUUUUGUUCAUUGGUAAAUAUUAUCUUAGUUCAGGAUUCCACAACCAUUGCACUACACAUAUUUCUUAAUGAUGAGGUUUUAAGAAUACCAUAAAGCCUUGUAGUGUAAUGAACACCAUUGAUAUUUACUCUAUUCAUGAAUGGAAUAGAGUGAGCCCGUAGGAAAUACAGUAAAGGAUGUACCAAGGAACACAAAUAGAUAAAGGUUAUUUCAUGAAAAGGAAGAUGUAUGCACGCAGUUAUGCAUAUGCUUCAAAUCAGCUAAGGUAUGAAUUUCGAUUCUAAAAUUUGUAUUUCAAUUAUGAGAAGUAGUCAUAUUUAGAAGUAUUCAACAUGUGUUUGGUACAUUAUAAUGUUCAGUAAUGGUUUGUAACAAUUGAUUGCAUACUUACUAUACGUGAUGAUGACUAUAAUAUACUUAUGUAUGAUUAAAAUGCUUUUAAUUGAUUUUCAGUAAGGCUUAUACAAAUUCGAUUUUUUUAGAGUGUGAUUGUAUAAAGCCUAAACUAAUUACUAUGAAUUUGUUGGAUGUUAAAGAAAUGAUUAUGUGUAUAUAUAUAUAUAUAUCUCCCAAUGUCACGCCCCAAUUUUCGAUUCGAAAGAUAUUUUUUUCAAAAAUUUGGGCAUGAUAUACCUUAAAAUAUUAAAUCCCAAAACCUGUUUUCAACAAACUUCAAAGAACUAAAACUCAAUGCGGAAAUGUAAAUGUCACACAACUCAACACCGAGUUAAUUAAAUAUUACAUUUCCUUGUUUACAUAAACUUGAAAAUCAAGAAAAUAAAACCACUCACAUGAGUUUUAAUUAAGUCUACCCCAAAUAUAAAAAUAUACAAUGUACAGCAAAACCCUGCCACUAAGCCUCCGCCUCAACCAUGUUGAUCCUCACCUGCAGGUCUAACCUCUACACCAAGAAUUGGUGCACCGGGUUGUAAACAACAAACCCAGUAAACUAAAAAUCCCGUAUGAGUAAUUCUCAAAAUAACCCAAAACCUCCAACUACCAAUUAUAUCACAAGAGCAAUUUAUACCAAUAAUUAAAUCCACAAAUCCAACACUUUUCAAUUAACAUGUACCCACGAGUCCCAGGUAUUAAAAAAUACCCCUCAUGACCUACAACAACAAAAUGUGUACCCAUGGGUCCCAGAUACCAUACGGUAUCUCCCAUGACCUACACUGACAGACGGACUAGAGCUCUAUUCCUAACCGCAACCAAUCACCCGGCCAAAGGCUUGGAACCCAGUUUGACUGUCUAAUAUCAAACACAAAAAUGAUAAAUAGCGUCUUAACCGCAACAAUCACCCAAUUAAAGGCUUGGAACCCGGUUUGGCUAUUUAUCCAACAAUCACAUUAUCACAACAUUAUCCUCAACAACACAAUAUCACAUCAUUAUCCUCAACAACACAAUAUCACAUCAUAAUCCUCAACAACACAAUAUCACAUCAUAAAUUAUAUCCUUCCACAUAGAUAUAUUUACAAGAACAAAAUAUAGAUAUUCCACAAGAAUAAUCUAUCAAUGAUCAAUAAAAUUAUGAUCACAUGAAUCUCAAAAAUAGCAUAUAAGGAAAACUUGUUUUAUCUUACCUAUGAGCCGUUGGCGAUCAAACUCAUAUAUUUUUAAAAAAAAAUACAAACAUAUUAUUAAAUCCAACAUCAUCAUCAUUAUCAUCAUCACAUGACCAUAAUAACAUUUGGUUCAAAAGUGAACCUUGGUGAGAUUUACUCACCUAAAUAUCCCGCUGCAAUUUCAACAAGACGACAAUAGCAAGCCAAAACACAACUUCAUAAAUCACCUAAAAUCACACAAUUAAAACCUUAGUAACUAAAAUACUAUAGGUUAACACAAUACCCUUAAACUAACCCUUAGUUCAAGGGAGGACAAUUUUCCAAAGUCGAAUAACUAAGCGACCCAAAAUGGCUGCCUCUAAUCCUCAAACCGUAACUCAAACCUCAACCAAGCCUAAUAACAACUUGGCCGGAAUCAGGGUCGAAAUCGCCGGCUUUCUGGCAGAACAGCAGCAGCUCCGCCGCUUCGUGGCGGCUUCCAAGCGGCGAGACAGCGGGCGGGACUGCUCCAGAAAUGGAGAGGACGGUUGUGGGAGUUGAACGGGACCGGUGGCGUCCGGUUUGGUGGCCGGAUGAGAGAGAACUCGGCCGGAGAAGAGAGAGAGUUCGGGGGAGCCCGGGAGAGAGGAGAGUGAAGAGGGAAAACUGACUUUAGGGUUUCCAAUUAACACUCCCACACAUUUUUCUACUUAUACACUUUCCAAACCUGGAAACUAACUUCCUCUGACCAUAACUUUCUCAUAUGACAUCUGUUUCACAUGUGCCGCAUGUCUACGAACUCGUAUCACCAAACUCUACAACUUUCGUGAAGGAAGUUUUUGGAAAUAACUUAUGAAAAAUAAAGUCAACUUUUGGCCUUUUAAAAGUCAAGGCACCUUAAAAUAAACUCCCGAAACUUCAACUUCGCACAAACUAAAGAAUUUCCAUAAAUAAUCCUUCAUUAAUUCCGAAAAUAAUAUAAGGAAAAUUGAUAUGAAAAUCUAGGGUAUUACAAUCUACCCCCAUUAAAGGAAUUUCGCCCCGAAAUUCAAAAAUACUAACCCAAAAACAACUUGGGGUACUUAGCCCUCAUGUCCGACUCUAACUCCCAAGAUGCAUCACCCUUAUCAUGGUGACUCCAACACACCUUAACCAAAUCGACUUCCUUCGUUCGAAGCCUCUUGGUUGAUCUAUCCAAGAUUCGAACCGGUUCAACAACAAAGGUUGCAUUUACAUUCACCUUCAUAGAACUAUAGUCAAUCACAUGUGACGCAUCCGGAAUAUACUUCCUCAACAAGGAUACAUGAAACACAUUGUGUACCCCGGACAUGAUAGGAGGUAAGGCAAGCCGAUAAGCCAAAUCUCCUACUUUCUCCAAAAUCUCAAAAGGCCCCACAUACCUAGGAGCCAACUUCCCCUUCUUGCCAAAUCUCACCACCCCUUUUGUAGGUGAGACCUUCAAGAACACAUGAUCCCCAACAUCAAACUCUACUUGCCUCCUCUUCAAGUUGGCAUAGCUCUUUCGUCUGCUUUGCAUCGUUUGGAUCCUAUCUCGGAUAAUAGAGACCUUCUCAGUCGUCUCUUAAACAAUAUCAGGACCCAACAGCUCACUAUCACCCACCUCCGCCCAACAAAUAGGUGAUCUACACGGCCUCCCAUAGAGUGCCUCAUAUGGUGCCAUGCCGAUACUAGAGUGAUAACUAUUGUUGUAGGCAAACUCAAUCAAUUGGAGGUGAUCCUCCCAACUUCCCUUGAAGUCCAUGACACAAGCCCUCAGCAUAUCUUCUAACACCUGAUUCACCCGCUCAGUCUGCCCAUCAGUCUGAGGGUGAAAUGCUGUACUCAUGUCUAAGGUAGUACCCAUGGCUUUCUGAAAACCACCCCAAAACUUUGAAGUAAAUAGGGGAUCUCGAUCUGAAACAAUCGAAGUAGGCACCCCAUGAAGUCUCACUAUCUCCUUCACAUACAACUUGCACAAAGCAUCUACCGUGUACAACAUCGACACGGGAAGGAAAUGUGCUGACUUCGUCAAACGGUCCACAAUCACCCAUAUAGCAUCAUGUCCAAGCUUGGACUUAGGCAGUCCAGUCACAAAGUCCAUAGAAAUCUGCUCCCACUUCCAAGUAGGAAUAGAUAAUGGCUGGAACAUACCUCCAGGCCUUUGAUGCUUCGCCUUCACCUGUUGACAAGUAAGGCACUUAGACACAUACUCUGCUACAUCUUUCUUCAUCCAAUUCCACCAAAACUACCUUUGCAAAUCUUUAUACAUCUUGGUGCUCCCUGGGUGCAUCGUAUAACGAGAUUUGAGGAAAUGAAAUUUUAAAUAUCUAGAGAGACACCAUUGAGGAAAUGAAAUUUUAAAAUCAAAUCGUAUAGACAUAUUUACAAUAUUGAAGCAUGAUUGUGGUAGAAAUGUCAUCAAUUUUUGGUAUUAUAUGAGUGUCGAUCGACACGGUCAACUCUAAUUACACUUACUUUCACUAUGGGGAGCCAAACCAUCAUGAUAUAAUUGACACCACUUCUUGUAUGAGUUAAUAACCAUAUGAUUAUACAAGUGUCAACAAAAUACAAAAAAAAUGUUUAGAGUAUUGCAUUUCGACGUGUUUUCGUAUGAUGAGCCUCCCAUAUUUAGACAACUCUUAGUGCUUUUAUACGUUGUGUGAGUGAAAACUAGGGUUAUUUUAAAGAGUGACUCGUUAGAAUGAAAAGUAGCCGUAAAUUUUCCGCCUUCACUAUUAUUAAGUGAAUGUCUCUAUUUUCUUUCUUCUCAGACAAUACAAAAUAUGUAAUUUAUGUUGUCUGAUUUGUAAAAUAGAUAGGGAAAAAUUAAGACUGAGAUGUAGCAGCGGGAAAUCUCCCGCUCUUGCAAUUUAAGGAUGUCAUUUCUUCUCAGACAAAAAAAUAUACAAUUUACGUUGUCUGAUUUGUAAAUGGAUAGGGAAAAAAUUAAGGCUAAGAUAUAGCUGCGGGAAAUCUCCCGCUCUUGCAAUUUAAGAAUGUCAUUUCUUUGCAGACAAUAAAAUAUACAAUUUACGUUGUCUGAUUUGUAAAAUGGAUAGAGAAAAAUUAAGGCUGAGAUGUAGCAAUGGGAAAUCUCCCGCUCUUGCAAUUUAAGAAUGUCAUUUCUCUGACAACCAAAAUUUAGAGUUAUGUUGUAUGUUCUUGGAAACACUUGACUCAAAAACCUAAAGGACUUAACACUUACACAAAAAAAAACCGUAUCGCUCAAAAGUAUCGCGCACACACACUUUCAUCACACACACACUCACUGCUCUUUCUCUCUUCUCUCCUUCACUCUUUCUCUCUUCCUCUCUUUCUCACUCGCCACUCCCUUUCUAGGCGUACCUCCGCCGUCGUCCUUUCGUUGUUGGCUGAUCAGAGACCAGCACUCAACUCUCCUCUCUCCCAUCUACCUCCCCAUACCCACAAAAUCGACAUCCAACCAUCCCCUUUCUUAGAUCGAAAAUCCAAACCCUAACCCCAAUUCCGAUUUCUGGCCAAAUCCUCUCUUCUCCGGGGAGCUCAAGCUUCUCAAAGGUAAACCCAUCUCUUGUUUUGAUUUCAAGCUCCCUUGAGCUUUGUUUUUCCGUUUAGGAUCUAAUCCCUCUUGUCUUCUUCUUUUCUGGGUUCGUCUGCAACGUCGCUAUCGGCAACUCUCCGGCCUUGCAUUUGAUUCUUCAAGGUAAUCCUUUCCUUUUCUCUCCACUUCCAAUUUCUCUUAGCCUUGAGUCCAAGUUUGGAAUUCGAGCUUACUUUCCUCUUCUUUUCUAGGUUUCGACCUUUCUAGCGGAUCCCCUUCGUUCUCCAGCCACAAGGAUGCCUGCAUGCAUAAAGAGGAGCUUCGUUUUAGACCCGAAGCGAGUGUCAGCACAUGAGAGUUUUAGAGGUCUUGGAUGGCAGAACUACGUUUCGGCAAUGGGGUGAGGUUGUUGUGUUCUUCAAGUUGGGACUUCAACAUCGUUAGGUGAGAUGGCUUCUGGCCUUAAGGUUUCUGGUUUUACAUGUUUAGUGUUGUUGGUAAUUGAUGGGUUAUUGGUAUUGAGGAGGAGGAGCAGCUUUGAUGGAGCUAUGGAGUGAGGCUGCAAAGCAGCUCUGGAGGCUUCGGAAUGUAGAGCAGCAGAUCAGCAGAGGAGGACUUUCUCACUUGUGAUUCUCACAUUUCAAAGUCAAUUUUCAAUAGAAACCCACAAAAGAUUUGGAAGAAAGUUGGAGUCUUUUGCAAUUUUAUGUAAGAAAGCUGGAGACUUUUGCAAUUUGGUUAUAGAAUUUGAUAAUGGGUGAUCUGUGUUGUUGUGAAUUGUGAUCAGGGAACAAGAAUAUUAGGGGUGUGUGUGUGUGAAAUAUGCAAUAGCAGCAACAAGAGGACAUAAUGCAGCAAGCUCUGCAGUAACAUCACAUGUACCAUCCUGUUCUUGAUAAACAGCUAGCUUCCGUAAGUUUCAAUCUCCUCUUUCUCAAACUAGUUCUUGUUUCAGCUAUUUCCCAAUAAAUUAGAGUAUGAUUCGUGUCAUGAAAUUCAAUUAGGGAACUUGGAAUUGCAAGCUGGGUGUUUGGUUUGAUGUUGGAUUGCUGUCGUCUAGUUUGAUGUGUAGUUGGUGUGAUUGUGUUGGAAUGUGGUCUAUGCGAUUGUUCUUAAUUGCAACAUGACAAGCUUUGUUCACUUGUCAGUCUGUGAGUUUAUUGAGUGCUUAUUGAUAUACUUCUCUGGAAACUUAAUUCCUUUUCGUGAUGAUGAUAUGUAUGCAGAGUUAUCAACUUGUUCUUGAUAAACAGUACCCUUGAUUUGGAUGUUUUAGUUUUUGAUAUAAGUUAGCCUUCGAGUAUCUUUGUUGUAUAUCUUGUUUAAAACCCUUCUUGUCAUGUUAGUUGCAGCCUUGCCUCCUUAAAAGUCUUGUUAUAUCUCUAAAGUGUUUAUAUUGAAACCUGAGCUAUACCUACUUUGAAUUGUAGUGUCUUAUUUUUGGUUCCCAAAGAGAGCUUUAUAUGGCUGCAUUGAAUAUAUUUCCUAUCUUAUUCUCGUUAUCCCUUCGUUCUUCUAACUGAUUUGUAUAGAGCUCUCAUGGUGGUGUCCUUAACCAUCAGUACUUGUAUAUAUAUCCUUGUUGUCAAACCAAAACUGAAAUAUAAAAUCUACAGGAACUCUUCAAAAUAUCCCCACCAGUUAGCCUUACUACUGUUAUCUUCAUUCUCCUUUUGCAAAGGUUGUGCAGCAUAUGUGUAUUUAUAUUCCUUAUCCUCUUCCCAUGUUUACAAUGAUUAACUUCAUCAAAUCUUAUAUUAAAAUAGACUCCUUGCGUCCAGAUGUUUAUGAAAUAUCUCCUUAUUAAGUUGAACUACAAUUCCAUGUGUAGAGUUCUUAAAGCAAAGUUCAUCAAUAAUCUUGCCUUGCGGCAAAUUACUUUCAAGUAUAAAUGAGUAGCUAUAUCCGUUCAUGUCCUUCUCUUAUGAGAACUUGGUCGUUGUUUGGAAGUGUUCGUAAUUCAUUGAUAUCAUUUUCAUAAAGCUAAUUCUGUUUAUAGAAUAAUCCAAUGUUUCCCAUCUUGGUUGGAGUAUGUGCUUAUUGCUGGUUCAUUGUUGGUCAAAAUUCUUCUUUAUCUGUCAUCGUUUGUGUUGUUAAUACUCUAACAGUUUGGAAACCCCAAGUCUCUUGUUGCUGUCUUUGUUUGAAUUCAUCUAUUGAUGUUUAUAUCAUAUGCAGCUUGCUAUUAAAAAUCUGAUUCUUAUCCCUGUUUGGAUUUACUUGGAAACAAGCUUCCAUUCUUUAAUUAUCACCUCAUUUCAUCUAUGAGUUUAUGAACUCAGGUUUCUAUAUCUCAUUGUCAUAUGUUCUAAAUGUACUUGUACCUGUCCAUUUGGUCUUCACAAAAGAUUCAUUCUCUUAAUAUUCUAUGUCGUUGAAAGACAAGAGGUCUAUGUUCAUAUUUUUUUUUUCCCUGAUGUGGUUGUGUCAUUAUUGUUGCAAUCAUCAUAUGGAUUUGUUGAUUACCUUGAUUGAACUUCUGCAGCCCUUGCAAUAAUGAGUUUACAUGGACACCAACUAUAAGUAUUCAUAUGGCUGUAUUUUUAUUACUAUAGUCGUCAUAUGUCAUUUGAGGAAAAGAAAAAAGAAAUGAAAACAUUGAUGUCAUUAUCAAAGCAUAGUUAUAAUUACUAGUCUUUCUAAUUCUGUUUGCAGUUACGGCCUGGCACUUAAGGUGAACUAGGCAUAUGCCCAUAGCCAGAGAGAAGAUACUUCAGGUUACUUUGAGCUUCAGUUGCUCUGCUGCUGCUAUUGGAUAUUAUUGCUUGUUACCAUUUCAUUAAGGUUCAUUUCUUUAAUGCAAUUCUACAAGUAUCAGGGCACUACAAUAUAUUUGUUGGUAAUCAUAAUCCAGAGAUUAUAGAUGCAACUUUAUUUGCUUGCUUCUCAAUCUAUCCUAGUUGUUCGUGAGUUUAUGUUUCUUUAGAUAUCUUUUUUCCUGUUUCAAUAUUAGUAGAUAUAUGCCCAGGACUCCAGUAACUUAAAUAUUCUUUUUAGGUUAGUCAUCACGCUCCUAUGAAAGCUGCUCAUACAAAAAAUGAGCAUUUCAUAUAUGACAUAACUUCAAAGGUGAAAAUCAUAAAGGUAAUUCUCAUAUUUGAUCUUUCUUUAUGGCUAUAGUUUUGUUAACAAAUACAUUUUUAUCAUGUCAACGCUUUUAAACUCAAGUGGCUAAGGACUAUAUUUUUAAAAGUGGUGUUAUAUUUUUGGAAGUAUCAUGUACUCGAAAUCUUGUUAAUGGUUAAGGACUCAGUGUAGAGCUUUGACGUCGUUAUUAAUCAAUGAUCUUUAGAACUUUGGUUUAUAGUCAAUUUUGCAUGUUGUGAGUGUAUAGUUGCUUAUGCAUAAUUAUGUAUUCUCAAUCUAUUAAUUGUGAACUUGAAGUGCCAACACAGUGAAGAUGUAUCUUCAUUUUUUCUUUCAUUAAUGGCUUGCAGAUUAUAUAGAUUACUCAGGUUAAGAAUGGUGGGUCAGUUGGUGCUGAGAAGGGCUGGUGAAUCCAGAAGUUUAAGGUUUCUCCGAAGUAUUAUUCUUUACCAUUUAAUUGCCAAAAUACGAGAUCAAUCAUGUUAGUUUUGGUUUGUUUAGUGAACACAUGCCACUUCGGCUUAUUAGCUUUCAUGAUCUUGGAGGAUCCAAUAUAUGGAUGUAUCAACUUUUGAUUAUCCCUAUUAAGGUUAAUACAAUGGUUUGGAUGUGUCUCAGCAUAUUUUUGUUUGAAUGUAGUAUAUGCUUUUCAUUUGGUAAAUUAGUGGAAUUCAGCAUAUAAUAGGUUAAUGACAAUCUAACGUUGUCUGACUAUAUGAUCCUACAACUAAUCUCUUACAUUUUCAUUUGGUAAAUUAGUGGAAUUCAGCAUACAAUAGGUUAAUGACAAUUCAACGUUGUCUAACUAUAUGAUCCUACAACUAAUCUCUUGCAUUGCCACGUUAUGUGAGUAUUGAUCACACAAUGCCUGCUAGCAAAAACUCUGUGUACUAUUUAACAAUCAGACAACCAUGAAACCUAAAAACUCGUUGUAUAAAGAUAACUUCACACAAUAGUUUACAGCAAGAAAACUAUUGUGUGAGUGUCGACAAAUGUUGCCGACUGCAAUGCGAAAUGAUCUCGACGUAUGCCGAUGAAAUCUGUCGAUAUUCAUACAACAACUCUUGAAAAGGAACCGUUGUGUGACUUGAUAAUCACAAAAGGGUUUUUAUUGGAAAACCUGUUGUGUGAUUCUCGACAGAUAUCAUCGACAGCUGACGAGAAGUAGCUCGGCAUGUGUCGGCAUCUGUCGAUAAUAUCUGCCGAGAAGCAGCUCGACAUGUGUCGGCAGCUGUCGAUGAUAUCUGUCGAGAAUCACACAAUGGUUUUUAUUGUAGCGUUGUGUGUCAGUUAGUCAGACAAGCUCUUUUUAGCCGUUGUGUGACAUGUUGAUCAAACAGUGAUCAGAUUAACAACGGAUUUGACCUUUAACAGACGACAUUUUUUCCCCGUCGUGGGAUGCAUUAUCUGGCGUAGUGCAUUAUUGAGCUUUUGUGUUGUGUUUCAGAAGACUAUUUCCUUACUAAUAGUUUAUGUUCAUUGUUGCAACAACUCUUCAAGAUGUAAAUGGUUUAACUCGGGAUCUUUAGUUACUGCUCGGAAUGAUCAGUGUAUUAUUUAUCUCUUUAGGAACACAUAUGUUUAGCGAUUGAUGUUCAUGUUUGUUUACGUUGUUAUGAAUCCUUCUUGAUGUUUCUUGAUGGGUUGAGAUGGAUCAUUAGUGAUGAUACCUCUAUUCUAUUUUGGAAGUUUAAUUGGCUACUGCAUUUUCCUUAACAUUUACUUAUUUCCUGCUGAUCAACAACAUAUUAUAGAUCAAGACAUUACAUAAGUCAUUUUACUCAUUUUAAAUGGAAUGUUCUUUUAUUACAACAAAUUUUGCCUAGGGAUUUAUUUAAUAAGAUUGUUGCAAUUCUUGAUUGUUACAAUUCCUAUUUCUUUGCAGUCUAAGCUAGAUUAAUUUAUUUGGGGCCCGUCUAGCUCAUGUUCUUUUAUUGGCUAGGCAUAUUAGUUUUGCUGGUUGGCUUCAACAAAAGUCAUUGCCAUAACAUUCUAAUACUAGUUUUUUAGCUAAACUUUGGAAAUUGGCUCUACUUCCUAAAAGUAAAAAUUUACGCUUGGUUACUUUUUAGAAACAAAUUAAAAACUCAAGAUACGCUAGCUCCUUAUAAUUCUAAUAUACAUCCUUAUUGUUCUUUUUGCCAGACUCGUAUGGUUUUAUUUGCAUAAUGAGAUUUCUCCGGAAGUUACUUGUUCUCUUUUUUGAGUUAUUUCUUGGUUAAAAUCCUUGUUUGAUCAUAUUGACAAAUCACAUUUACAAUUGACCAUUAUGUUUUUUUUUCCCUUUUGUUUCGUUUGAGAACUCAAUUGGCAUGGCCAUUAUGCUUGUUUGGUCUAUUUGGCAUAUUAAGAACAAACUCAUUUUUCAGGCAAGCUAGUAAUGGCAAAUGCUAGUCAAUGUUACUUUUAUGAUGUAACUUCUAUAAUAUUUACUUAUCAGUUAAUACCUCUUACCAUAAACCAAAAACAUAUGGUAUUCUAAUGAUUAAGUGACACUCGAGCUCCUGAUCCCAACUUUGUUAAAAUUAACUUUGAUGCUUGUGCAACAUAAUGAAGCUACUAUUGGGUUUGUUAUACGUGAUUCAAAUGACAAUCCUAUCACAACUAGUGCUAAANNNNNNNNNNNNNNNNNNNNNNNNNNNNNNNNNNNNNNNNNNNNNNNNNNNNNNNNNNNNNNNNNNNNNNNNNNNNNNNNNNNNNNNNNNNNNNNNNNNNNNNNNNNNNNNNNNNNNNNNNNNNNNNNNNNNNNNNNNNNNNNNNNNNNNNNNNNNNNNNNNNNNNNNNNNNNNNNNNNNNNNNNNNNNNNNNNNNNNNNNNNNNNNNNNNNNNNNNNNNNNNNNNNNNNNNNNNNNNNNNNNNNNNNNNNNNNNNNNNNNNNNNNNNNNNNNNNNNNNNNNNNNNNNNNNNNNNNNNNNNNNNNNNNNNNNNNNNNNNNNNNNNNNNNNNNNNNNNNNNNNNNNNNNNNNNNNNNNNNNNNNNNNNNNNNNNNNNNNNNNNNNNNNNNNNNNNNNNNNNNNNNNNNNNNNNNNNNNNNNNNNNNNNNNNNNNNNNNNNNNNNNNNNNNNNNNNNNNNNNNNNNNNNNNNNNNNNNNNNNNNNNNNNNNNNNNNNNNNNNNNNNNNNNNNNNNNNNNNNNNNNNNNNNNNNNNNNNNNNCGACGGCCCUUCUCUUCCCAGACGGACACCAGACGUCGAUCGUGAGCUUCCUCUUGCCGGCGGACACGCCGAAUAUCAGUUUGCAGCCGAGAUUGAUGUUGUCUGAAGUUUUGGGUGAAGGUUGCUGCCCAGACCUUCAACUCCGAUCUCCAUGGCCUUCAUCUUCAUGUUAAACAGGUCCGGGAUGCCUCUGGUGUCCGUCCGGCAAGAGAAGGGACGUCGUCGGUGCUUGAUCGCUGCAAAAACAGGGACGUCCGCACUUUUACGGGUUUGCGGACAUCCGUCUGUGAUCCCGACUAUAUAUAUAUAUAUACAGUCCUUCUCAGCUGCGGACGUCUGCAUUUAUUCUUACGGUGCGGAUUUUCACUUUACACUCACUUUUUUCAUAUCUCCACCGUCUAGUAUUUAGAUACUAAUGUAUAGAUCAUCUCUGCAAAAUUUUAGCCAAUUUGGUUACAUUAAGGCACUCAAAACUACGUUUUUCUGUUAUAAACAUGAACGAUUCAAGUUCGACAAAAUUAUAUUCAUCCAUUGGUUUAAUCGAGUUUGAGUGCCUUAAUGAUAACCAAAUUGGCUGAAAUUUUACAGAGAUGAUCUAUACAUUAGUAUCUAAAGACUAGAUGGUGGAUAUGUGAAAAUUCGAUUGAAAAAUGAGUGUAAAGUGGAAAUCCGCACUGUAAGAAUAAAUGCGGACAUCCGCACCUGAGAAAAUCUGUAUAUAAUACGCUGAAUGAUUGAGGAUAGGCGAAUAAAUCGUCUAUCACUCUAUUUUAUUAAUAAAAGAAAAAAAUAAAGGAAGGGGAUCAAAACCAAAACCUUCCGAAACAAAUGACAAACUAGCUGAAACGAAAUUGAGGCCUACCUCUAAGAUACUAGUGUGCUAGUGGCUAAAAGUAUGGCUCUGGAAGAAGGUCUUCAUAUAGUGUGGCUUCAACAUAUGCAAUCAGUGGUUAUCGAGGGAGCGAGGGAGACUCCAAGGUCCUUAAUUCCUUAUUGACUGCCUUAACGGUAGGGUUGUUACUCCAUGGUGUAUUAGUUCAGUAAUUCAAGAUACUUUGGUUGGCUUCACAUCUUCAAUCUUGUUACUUUCGACAUGUUCAAAAAAAGUAAACUUUGUUGCUAAUAGAAUAGCCUCACUAGGCCUUAACUCUGUUAAUUCUCUAGUAUGGUUUUACGGUUUAUCCUUAUCUGUGUCUCCAUCGUUCUAUUUGGAUCAGCUGAAAAUGGAUGUUUAGAGGUUUUGUUUUGUAGUUUUGCAUUUUUUUUUUUUUUACGUAAUCGGAAAAAAUUACUAGAAUCUAUCCAAAGUUCUUUCUUGGGAAAAUGCCCAUUUAGUACUAAUUUAAACCCCUCAUUCCCUAUUCCAAUAACAAUCUUUUUCAUUAACCCAUUUCAAUAUAAGGUAACAUUUUUUAUGCCCAAAUGCACAAAUCUUUAUUAAAGUCUUAACAAACCAUAUUAUUUUAAGACUAUUUUGCCAUCACCCUUUAAACAUGCAUAAAGAGAGAGAAAAUGAAAGAGAUAAUAUUUGGCCAGAAUCUCACUGGGACUCUGGUCACCGGCCGCCGGACUACGGUCACCGGCCGCGGGACUACGGUCACCGGCCGCCGGACUACGGUCACCUGCCGCCAGACUCCGGCCACCGAAAUUUCCCCGACCGCCGGACUUCGGUCACCGGAAUUUCCCCUGUAACUAGUUAGUGACCCCCAAUAACCAGUUACUGACCAGUUAAUCACCCCUUAUAACCAGUUACUGACCCCCAGUAACCAGUUACUGACUAGUUACUAACACCCAAUAACCAGUUACUGACCCUCAGUAACCAGUUACUGAUCCCUAAUAAUUAUUUACUGACCCACUAUAAUCUACUUAUUUCAGCUUAAUGUAAUAGAACAGAAGAAAUACUAGAAAAUAAUCAAGUUACUGACCCUAAUAAUCAAAUUACUGACCUCCAAUAACUUGAUUACUGACCUCUAAUAAUAGCUAUUAACCCUAAAUAAUAGUUACUGACCCCAGUAAUCACCCCCAAAUUGAUAUUUUCAUAUAGAUAAGGCUCUAAAUGCAAACAAUUUCAUCCAAAUAAACAAAGCAUAAGUACACAAAAUGCACACACACAAAAAAACAUUGCUCUGAUCUCGUAAAAAAAAAAAAAAAUUUAACUGUGGGCACCCAACCGGAAUUUCGUCCUCCUCUCAGCCUGCUUUUGUUGCUCCUCAGUUUAGCACUGCUUGAUUCUCAGAUCCUCCUCUCUUUGCCUCGCCGACGAAGCUUGACCAAUCGCCUUAAAUUUCGGCACACCACUCGGAUCUCGACCAGCCAGCCAAUCGUUGAUGAACCACCUUGCGUUCGAUGAACCACCGAAUCUUCUUCUCCAGCAUCUACUUGAUCUUAGACGACUACGUUUCUUUCUAAGAAGACAACCAGAUCUGGAGGUUACAACGGAGGUGACGGCUAAACAGGUUGGGGUCGUGGCAGAGGACGCCAACUGAUGAAGACGACGACGUCUCCAUCUCCUUGAUCGGAGUUGAUGGCGGCAGUUACCAGAGAUGAGAAAGACAAAGAUAGGAGCGUCGAUCUGGUAGAGGCGGAGCCGUGGGUGAUGGCGUCGUCGCUGGUGAUGGCGGUGACAUCGCUGACGAGAGAGAGAGAGAGAGAGAGAGAGAGAGAGAGAGAGAGAGAGAGAGAGAGAGAGAGAGAGAGAGAGAGAGAGAGAGAGAGAGAGNNNNNNNNNNNNNNNNNNNNGAGAGAGAGAGGUGUAGUAAGUUUUGAGAUCCGGUGAGAUAAAUGAGAUAGAUAGGUUAGUUGAAUGAGAUAAGGAUAGAAUUGUCUUUUACUUAAAAAUCAUUGAAAUGGGCAUGGACAUAAGAUUUUCAUUCAAGUGGGCUUUGAUUUGCCUGUUUUUGUGCAUUUGGGCGUUUUCCCUUUCUUGGGAAAAUGCCUAUUUACACAGUAUGAAAUCAAAUUCUGUUUGGUAAUCAACAAAAAUAAGAAAAUAGCAUAAAAAAACAAAAAUAAGAAAAGAUUAUAUAAAAAACAUUAUUCAUACUCGAACAAAAAUGGAGUGAUUAAGAGUGAUUGCGAUUUGCGAGAGCUGAGACCACCACUUGUCGGAGCACAGCCACGACCAACCACCUCUCGAAAUAGACCCAUUUAUAUAAAUCUCUUACCUUCUUUUUGGGUCACUUGCUUUAUUUAUUUAACAAUCUCUUCUUCCCAUUAAAAACUCCAAAAUCUCAUUCCCCCAUCUAAAGAAUCUAUCUUUCUCACAUUCAUUGAUAGCUUCUUUAUCUCUUUCUCUCUUCCCUUUACUCUCUUUCCCAUUAUCGCCCAGAUCGCUCUUCUCUCUCUCUCUCUCUGGCCAAUGCCCUUAUUUCCUUUGUAAGUUUUGCUCUUCCUUCUUUUCAGCUUUUCAUUUCAAUCCAACUUCAUCUACUUGAUUUCUCUGCAACCUCUACAGAGCUCUGCAUAUGUUUCUGUGAAAAAUAUGGUGCUAAAUCUCAUUAAGGGUAUUGAUUUCAUUCAGCUGCAACCUUUAUUAGGCAACCCAAUUAAUAAAGUUUGGUUCUUUUGUUUCAGUUGGAUUUAUGUGUUGUUAUUGGAGGAUUAGGUAUAAGCAGAGAUUAUUGAUUGUGUCAUGGAUUUCGUCUUGUUCAUGUUGGAGUUGUUCGCUUUUCUUUUUGGUUUUGUAUUGUUGUGUAGAAUUAUUUGGAAAAUUAGUAAUCUUUUGCUCUCCGUUUGGUUGCUGAGAAACCUGAGAAGGAUCAAAGUAAUGCACUUGUCAUUGUGGUUUCAUUUAUUUUCUUUCCUUCUGUGAAGGUAUCUAAUUCUAUGAAUGCUGUAAAUGCCAAGGUUUCAAAUUUCUGGUUUUGUGAUUGAAUUGGAAGCUGUUAUAGAGCCCAUUUGUCCCCAACUCAGUUUUUUCAGAUGUAAUGUACUGAAAGGGGAAAUGUAUCGGCUUAUUUUGUUUGUUCCACCUUUUUUGAUGAUAUUGUUUGACUUUCCCCAAAACAUGACUUAUGUUGAGUAUGUGGUACAUGCUUUCAUUGGUUAUAUUAUGAGUAAGAUGUGGAAAGUUGUAGAUAUGUGUUUUUACUUUCCUCAAUUGGGAACGUAUUCUUGAUGAGUAUCUUAUGCAUAUAUUUUCCAUUCCACCAGGGUUCAUGACUUCUGCAUGACUGUAUGCUUUAGUUUACCUAUCAAUGACUAAAGAGCAGAAUGUAUUUGGGGAGACUAUCUGAUGAAAAAUCUCUUCGUCAAGAUUUUGCAGCUUUGAGGGUGUCAAGGCGUCUGAUGAGAAGUGUUAGCCAGAAAGUGAAGAAGAAGGGUCAGAAAUCUGGAGAAGAGGAGGAUGUCUUGAAGGGGAUAUCGUUGAGAUGUCUUACCUUGUAUGGUAGGGGUGGGGGGUGCAAAGUAGGCGCUGACACAGGUGAUGAGUUUGGGGAUCCAAGUACGAGGAGGAAGUCUAGUGCCAGUGAUGAAGGAAAGGGAUACAGACCUAUAUGUGGCACUGAGGAAUCUGGGCUGGAUUGCUUCUCAUAUGGGGUGAGGGAGCGAUUUUGGAAGAAACAUUACAGAAAGGAAUUUGAGCUUGAAGAAUCAAUAAGACAUAGCAGAAUGCACAUAUUUCUUCCAGAUGAUAUCCUGGAACUGUGCUUGGUGAGGCUCCCACUAACCAGUCUCAUGACCGCCCGCCUUGUGUGUAAGAAAUGGAAAUGCUUGACUACUACUCCUCGAUUUCUUCAUAUGAGACGGGAAGGUUCACAUCGAAAUCCGUGGUUGUUUCUGUUUGGUGCUGUCAAAAAUGGUUAUUGCUCUGGUGUGAUACAUGCGUUGGAUGUGUCUUCAAACCAAUGGCACGGGAUAGAUGCUGAUAUUCUAAAGGGAAGGUUCAUGUUUUCUGUUGCUAGCAUCCAGGAUGAUAUUUAUAUUGUUGGAGGCUGUUCUAGCUUGAACAAUUCUGGGAGGCUGGAUAGGAGCUCAUUUAAGACACACAGAGGGGUAAUGAUGUUUAGUCCCUUAACUAAGUCUUGGCGUAAAGUUGCAUCUAUGAAGCAUGCAAGAUCAACACCUGUAUUAGGAGUUUCUGAGAUCAGUCUUGAUUUUUCAAUCAUUCAAAGCCACCACAAUCGACAAGAUAGGCGUAUCCCCAGGUCACGGGUUGGUGGGGUGUCAGAUGUUUAUGAAGAUCCUCACAGGUUGUCCCUGAGGCGUCAAAGCAGAUAUGCAGUUGACGGAAAUGAAUCUUCAAUCUUGACCAGUCGAAGGUCAUACAAGUUUAUCAAACAUAAAAAUGAUCACUCAGGCAUGAAGGGUUAUAGAAGAUUUGUGCUCAUUGCUGUAGGUGGUCUUGGACAAUGGGAUGAACCUUUGGAUUCUGGAGAGAUAUAUGAUUCUGUAUCAAAUAAAUGGACAGAAAUUCAAAGGUUGCCUUUGGACUUUGGGGUCAUUGCUUCUGGGGUUGUUUGUAACGGCAUGUUUUAUGUCUAUUCUGAAACUGACAAACUUGCAGGAUAUGACAUUGAACGGGAUUUCUGGUUUGGGAUCCAAACCAGUCCCUUCCCACCCCGUGUUCAUGAAUAUUACCCAAAACUGGUAUCUUGUAAUGGCCGGCUGUUCAUGCUCUCUGUCUUGUGGUGUGAAGGGGAUGGUCAAAUAGGCCGGAGAAACAAGGCUGUUAGAAAAUUAUGGGAGCUAGAUCUCAUGUAUCUUAACUGGUAUGAGGUCUCUGUGCAUCCUGAUGCUCCAAUGGACUGGAAUGCUGGGUUCAUUGCAGAUGGAAAUCUGAUAUUUGGCAUUGAGAUGUUCAAAAUAUUUGGUCAAGUAUUGGAUUUUUUCACUGUAUGUGAUGUGUCUGACAUGGGGAUGAAAUGGAGUCAUAUCUCAAGGAACCAUGUUACUCGUGAACUGGAUGCUUCUUCCUGCAUGACAAAAUCGAUGGCUGUGCUGCAUCUGUAAAUUACAGAUGACUGUAUCCUCUGUAUGUUCUAACUCACAGAAACAGGAAAUUACACUCGUGAAUGAUGAUCAUGACCUCUCUCACAAGACCAUUUUGGGGUGUACCUGCUGGCAAAUCCAAGAGCCCACCAUUUUUGGGGCGUACCUUCGUGUAUCCUUUAUUCUUUGGGUACAGUUGAUGUGUCUCUUGGUGAUAUAUUUCAGUGGAGUUCAGAAAACAUUGAAGAACGUGAUCUGGUAUGCAUAUGCCCAUCCUCAUGUGCUCUUGGAUGUAAUUUCUUCUCCAACAUGCAAAUAUUGAUUCUGUAAUUUAAGUCCGGCACCUUUGUUAAUUUUCCACCUCAUACUUUGAAACCAAAUUGAAUUUGUGUGCUCUUGUUGUUGUAUUGAAUUUUUAUUGGUGGCUUUCUUGCAAUAAAAGUAUCAAUAUUUUCAGGCACUUGCCUUUUCACUGUAGGAUCUUGGUAUCUGGUACAAGAUUGGUUGAUUCAAAAGAGAGCAGCAGUUUAAAACACUGUUAAUUUCAAUUGGGAAUUAUAUGUUGUACCUUUUUUGACAUCCGAUGCAAUUGUUAGAAGGGAUAUUUGUAAUUGUAUUUUUCCAAUAGAAGACACAUUGCGACCUCUGCUGAGUGUCAUGUGUUUGCAUCAUGAUGAAUGAAUUGAACACGCCCUUCUGACUUUUCCUUGGACUGUAAGUGCUUGGUUAGCUCAUCCUUUCUCUUAUAAAGGCCCUCUCCAGAGCAUUACUUCUUUUUACAGUUAGAGAAAUAGACUGAUUUUGCUACACAUGUAUCUUUCUUUCUUUGGUGACGUUCGAAACAUUAAUGCGAUUGUGUAUCAGGAUUGCUUUGUCUUCUUGUCAUGCAGCAAAUGAGUAUAUUGCAGCAAGCAAGCCUGGGAUUCCCAUUCCAAGACAAUUGCAACAUCAUACUUGCCUCUGAAGAAUUGCACCACCUCUGAAUGCCAUUCGAAUAAAUACUGAUGCAUCAUGGUUCAAAGACUCUUUUAUGUGGAAUAUCAGCAAUUCCUCGUGAUUCAAAUGGUCGGUUGGUUGGUGGCAGUCUGGCAGAGCAAUAAAGAUGAUGACCCCUUCUGCAUUGGCUGCAAAAGCUUUGGCUAUUAGAGUUAGAGAAGCUGUGUAUCUUGCGAACACUUUCUGAUUGCAGAUUUGCAGCACAUUUUCAUUUCUUCUGAUUCUCAAGAUAUUAUCAACUCUCUUAGACGAAAUCCCCCUGGAUUGAAAGUCCGUCAUCUCCUUUUAACCUGGCAUUUCAACUGGUCGUGGAUCAGUAGAAAGGCAUAUAAAGUGGCACGUUGUUGCUUCUCUAGUCUGCAGUGGGAGGUAUCCACCUAACUGGGACCAGCAGCCUCUUCUCCUUAGCUGAAGUUCUUGUGCUUAUGGUACCUGGUCCUCCUCUCUUGUCGAGGCUGUUGCUUGUGUUUGUUGUUCUUUCAAGGGUUGUUUUUCCCCUUGUGGUUUAAUAUUAAUCCCCAAUUCCCAAUAAAAGAAACGGAAAUGGUUAGCAAGUACAAAAUUCUAUUACCCUAGAAUCCCUAGAUCUAAUUAAAGACACCUCUCUAGGAUACUUGGAGGUGAAAUGACAGUCCACCAGCGGGACCGAUCCCCACCGGUGGGGAUACGGCAUGGCCUAUGUAGAGAACGUAAGCCAUAUUUCCAUCUGCGGUUCUUGUUUUUGGUCACAAGCAAAAAGAACAUAACACACCUUUAAACAGGUGCAUCAAGCACGCUUAGUGACAUGGGGAGGAGAACAACAGAGUUCAAAACAUGGUAUGCAAAUAAUAUUCAACCUACUAAAAGAAAUUAUCUCAAAACAUACAAAACUAUUAAACCAAUAAGAGAUGAAUUCCACCCCCCCCCCCCAAGUUUCCCAAUGCUACACAAGAUGUAGUUCAUGAACAAAAACCAAAGUUAAUGGUUAUUUCCUCCUUACGAACAAAUGAACAACUUUGAAAACAAAUCUGUAUACAGCAAUAUAUACCCUCCCAUUUGCAGCUUUGCAAACCACUAGAAGCUUGCUAUCCUACAUUUGGAAACACUCCAGAGAAGUUUGGUAACCUGUCAACAUGCUUCAGAGCACGUUCAGCAAUCUGUCGGGUUCGAUAGUCACCAUGCUGGAAUGCAUCAACAAGUGCAGUACUCACAUUUGGAUCUCCAGAUACUUCAUAGGCUAUCUCAUCACUCCGCAAGAGUCUUUCAACUACCCAAACUGCUCUCCUCCUCAGAUUCUCUGUCCGUUUCUCUAAUAACACAUCCAGAAUGGGUCUGACUCCCUCUGCUUCACACAACACUAAAACCCCUUGUUCGAGAUCAACACCAUCAUCCAACAAAGUAGACAAUGCUGCAAGGGCUGCUUCGACCACCUUCUCAUUUGUGUGGUCAAGAAGAGCUACCAGUUUGUCCACAGCCUGUCCUUCCAAGAGACAAAAACUUUCUCUAAGCGAGCACAUCCCACGGUGAAGCCGACAUAGUCCAUUUAUGGUAGGUUGCUUACCAAAGCAUGGGAAAAUUGAGCCACAAACACCAGGGGUAGGCAACUCCGGAAACCUUGUCAAAUUUUUGGAUUCUUCUGAUAAGUUCUCCAAUGCUGCAGCAGAACUCAUCUGUACAUUGUCCAGUCCAUUGGAUUGAAGAAGUUCAAUGAAAAGGGCAGCAACAUUAAGCUCACGGCAGAGUGCAACUGCAGCUUGCUCAUCAGCCAAAACAAGCGUAACCCUUGCUAGAACCCGUACAAGGCCUUCUAAAAAUGGUGUGACAAAGCGGCCCCCCUUAGUCCCUCCUUGUCGGAUCUUAACUACUCUGGAAAACACCAGCUGGAAGGCACCUUCAUCUAGCAUUUGUCGGGCAAGUCCCAGAUCCCUCUCUGGAAGUUCAGCCAAGAGGCCAAUGGCUGCUGCUUGCUCUUCAGUGAUUGAAAUAUUUUCUGAUAUCACUUUAAUCAGGCUGCCAAGUUGGCCCACUGUGCCACGUAGAGCAUCAGCUAGUUCCUGACCCAAGUCUGGGGAGAGGUUCUGGAGAAGUUUAAUGGAAGGCACACGCAACUCCUUUUGUGGAGCUUCAAUAAACUGCACCAAACUAAUAAUGGCGCCAGAGCUUUUAAUGGCGGAAACAACACUCAGAACUGUAGAGGGAGAGCUAGUGAGUCCAACAAGAACCUGAAGAAGCUUGCAUGAGAUUGCUGGUCCUGUGUUGCUAAUUAGAUGUAGCAGGUUAUGGACUAUGUCUUCUGAGACUAGUGUUUGGUCAUCAGGUCCAACUAAUAUCGAAUCAAAGUCACACUCAGAGAUAACAAUAUUAGCAAGAAUUGUUGCAGCAACCUCUUUAAGUCGCAUAGGAAGUUGAUGAGGGCCAACAGUAAAGAGGUCUUUGACCAGAGAAGGAAGUAUCCCUGCUUCUAUCAGUACCUUGGCACUUGCCUCACAAGAUGAAAUUUGGUUAAGAGCUUUCAAGGCAGCUUCUCUUGACUGCAUAUUACCACUUCUCAUAAUAUUGAUCAAAGAUGAACCCAGACUUUUAGCCACCAGGACCUUGACAUCAUUAUCCAAAACUAAUUCACCAAGGAAAUUAGACAUUGAUAACUUAGUUUCUGGAGGGCCUGCAAUCACAAUUAACGAAACAAGUUGAUGCUUCACAUUUCAACGAGAGAACAUAUUAUGAGGAAGAUAAAACAGGAGUAUCCUGGUUUAAAUUACCAAAAAAAAAUUUAAAAAAAUGAAUGAACAAGUACAGCUCAAAUUUAAACCAUUAGUCUGACGAAUUUUCAAAUAAUUCCUUAAUAAAUAUAACACCGAAGUACUUAGUCAGAUAUGGCAGAGAUGUAACAAUUGGCACAGGAGUUAGCCCAAGAAGUUAGGAAAUGGACAACUACAGAACUAUCACGGUAAAAUCUAAUGAAAAGUUUUCCCAUAAGAAGAAUGCUAUUCAAAAUCAAGAGGACUUUCUAAUUUUCUUCUGAAUGCAAGGAAGAAAUGCUAUCUACCCUAUUUACAGCUAUGGUCUGUUUACUGUGAGAGAAGUUAGCCAAGGAGUAUUUUGCCUCCUUGUUGUCCUGCAUUUAGAAACACAUUGAGAAAAAGCAUCAAGUAUAAGAGAAGUGCAAGUACCUUCAAGAAUUUGUGUCAGAAGAGGCUGCAGUCUACCAUUUUCUGCCAUCUGUAGCACGUUGUUCUCACAUUUCUCCAGAUUCUCUAGUGUUUUCUCAGCUUUCUCAACAGUCAAAAUGUUAUCUGACUUGCUGCUUGUCAUUCCAACCAACAUAAGAAUUGCUCCGGGAAUUGAACCAAUCUUCUCACAUAGGGCUUCGGAUUUGGAUAGUUCAUAUAGCAACGAGACAGCUUCCUCCCUCUCCUUAGAUUGCUCAUGAGACAAGAACUUCACUAUUGAGCGUACGGUGUCCCCAUCUGCCAAUAUUUCCUAUGAUCAAAGAAAAUUUAAUGAGAGGCUCUAUUAUAGCAAAUAUACAAGGAAACCAGAAAAAUUUAUUUGGAAAAGAGGAAAAGUGAAACGUACAGAACUACCUUACCUUAUUUUCAGAAUCGUCCUCCACAACAAUUCGUAGGGUGUCCAAAGAUUUACACCUAACUCUACGACUGCUGCUCUUCAUCAUGUCAAUGAUCAUGGGUAACAGUCCGGCAUUUCGUGCAAUGUGCUUAUUUGAUCUGCUUUUCUUGCAGAUUUGCUGGACAUACUCCAAGGCCAAAAGAAUAUCACCUUCUGAACUGCUCAAAUUUAGUGAUUUACGAGCCAUAUCAAGCUGAGCGGCUUCAUUCCUAGCACUCCACUCUUCAAUGGUGUUUCGCAAAGCUAUGCUAGGCUUCAAAUCAGUGCUUUUUAGAUCUUUUAGUGUGAGUGGACACUGUAAGCUCCUUCCACUCUCCCUGCACUCCCUGAACCAAUUUUCAAUUGCUUCGCGCUCAAAAGUUUGCCCAUUUUCUAAAGUAACGGGGUCGCGCAUAACUUGCUUGGUUAAAGGGCAAAAGAAUGAAUCAUAAAUAGGCUCAAUGUGCAGUCUCUCAAAUCUAUAGCUGUCAUCUGACUGGCUGCCGGUGUCAUAAUUCCCAUGCCAGCUUUCAGCCAUCUCAGCUAAUCACCAACUACAACAUAACAAUAUAGCACACAUAUAAACCCAAUUGCCAGUAAUUGUAAAUCACUCAACUAAAUCAAUUUGAAACUAAUAGACAAUCAUAAGAAAUUAGUGAGAAGUGAUCCAAGUUUGCUGUACUUACACGAACAUUACAGAUAAAAACAAUAAAAGGGAUGCAACUUAAACAGGAAAUCUGUCAAGCAAUACCCUAUUAGAGAGUUUAGACCCAUGAAUUUGAAGGCAUAAUAUAUAAUUUCAUAUCCUAAUGUCUGGCAGACCAUCAAAAUGUAAUCAAUCAACCACUUGAUGUCAUCUCCUAGGAAAUAGUAAAAUUGAUUCCCACUGAAUAACAAAUGGUAUAAGAAGCAUCGAUUAAACUAACAAUGGAAUGGGUAAUAAGAUGAAGUACAACAACAGCGCAAAUCUAAAUCUUAUAACAAAGAGUGGAUACAGAUUGGUCAAAGUAGUAUGUCUUUGUUUCAGGUAAUCUAAUUACAAUAUAACACAUGCUUCAAUCAAAUAGAGCUACAAUCAAAGAAGAAGCAUACCUUUGUUUACAGAGACUUGUAGUCAAAGUUGGUGUUGGCCCAAUUGAAUCCCAAUUCAGGUCAUCAGAGUAUAAGUGCAGAGAUACGAGCAGAGGAGGACAGAAAGCUCAUCUUGUUCCAUGGACAUUAGGGUCGUGUUUGGUUUGUGACGGUAAAUGGUGGGGAGAAGUUGGGUUGAGAUUUGAGGCAAAACCCAAAGAAACCCAAAAGGAAGGGGGGAGGAGGAGGCCUUGGUGGCAACAGAGAGAGAGAGAGAGAGAGAGAGAGAGCAACAACAAGGAAGCGAGGAAGGAGAGAAGAAAAAGAAGAAAUCAUUUGUGGGUUGUUGUUUGCUUCUAUGUGUAAAUGAAAUUGUAGAGAGAGAGAAAGUUGGUUGACUGAGAGAAUAGUCUUUUCUUUCUCUCUCUACAAAACACACUGAAGCAACUCCCUCAGUUUCACCAGCCGCCGACCCCAUUUACCCGCGCGGGUACCAACUGUUUUUAACUACAAAACACUACCCGACAAUAUUUCAUUUCACAAUUCAGUCCACAACAAUUUCACUUAAACAAUUUAGUCCUAUUCCACAAAAAAAAAAAAAAAUUAUUUUUAUGUUUAUUUUUAUUUUUACUUUACUUUACUUUACUUUACUUUACUUUACUUUACCAAAUAAGUCUAAGAUUUACUAUCCUAAGAACUAGCCUUCAACAUGUCAUCUUUUCACCUAACGACACCUUGUCUUUCUGGUUACUUAUCUUGGCAGAAUCACUGUUGUCUUAGUAUAGUAAAACUUCCUAGCACUUACUUAACAAAGUAAUUUUAACAAGCAAAACAUAGGAAUUAUAAAACACUCAACAAACUUAAUUAUCUUAGACAUUGAUAUUUUUGUGACGGAUUAUAGGACACAAGAUAGAAUUCAUUUAUUCAAACAUGAAUACAAAUAUAAAAUCCAGAGCCUCGCUCUUAGGUAAACAGCUAGCUGAUUACCCGAUAAAGGAUGAAAACAUCUGAAUUUGGACAUUUGCUAUAAGUAUAUAUAUAUAGCUUAGGGAAAAUUCUAGUAUGAGUUAAUGCAUAGUAUACAUCAACUUUUUUGAAUAUUUUUGACCGUUGGAUGUAAUAAAACUAUGAAUAUAUCUAACGGCCUAGAUUAUUCAAUAUUCGUAACUUGUUUACCCGGUAGCAUGUAAAUUCUUUUUUUUCUUUUUCGAAAUUAUAUCUUAUAUAUUGUAUAUACAGCACUCCACACCAGAUGAUUACAGCACACCACACAAUAAACACUCUAUUAUUCUCACACUAUACUAGACAACUGUAUUCUGGCUAUCUUACUUCUUGAGAACGGUUAAGAGAAUUUCUAUCUCAAGUUUCUGAUUCAUGUCUUCCUCCAGACGCCUAAGGCUCCUUAUAUAGGGAGCGACACUUAAACUAAAAAAAAAAAACACCUAUAGAGGAAUCUUAUCCUGAUAACUUUACUUUUGAAAAAGUAAAGUCUUUUGUCUUCAUGCGUCGGCAGCCACUCAGCUUCUUUUGAAAAGAAAAGUUGUUUGUCCUGAUACGUCGGCAACCGCUCAUUUUUCCAACAUAUUUACUAUGUUGUGAUACUCUUCUGGAUCUUCCUCAUAUCCUGCUGAAAAGUUGGGACCACUGUUUUCCCAAUCACAUGCAGUGUCAUCUUUUUCAUCAUCCAGGUCUGAAUCAAAAGGAUGAGAAAUCUUAUACUUUUCAUUCUUCUCAACUUUCUCUAGCCAUGUGGUGGUAGCCAGAAUGCAAUCAACUUCUUUCCUCAUAAGAGCUGUGAAAAAGUCACAGUUCUCUAGUGGAGGAUGAUUAUAGCAAGUGACCAUUAUUUUUUCUCUAUUUGCCAAAAUACUUGAAUCAUAGUCUCUUAAGACCACAUCCUUGAUAUUAGCUAUUGUCAUAGCUUUCAUCCACGGGAUGCUUUGAUUUGGUCUACCAUUGCCAUCUGCAACAGUUGGUUUCUGAACAGGACUUUGGAUUAACCUGACAAAAUGAUGAGGAGAGAUGUAAUUUGUUUAUCCAUCUACUACCGUCCAUUAUGGAGGAGUAGAGAUGAAUUUUAAUCUCAAGAUGCAUCCAUCAGGUCUAAUGUUCUUAACAGUUUCAGAUAUUAUAUCUGGAAAUCCAUUCAAAUCUUCAUUAGUUUUUGUCCAAAGGUUAUGAACAAAACCAUUUUCCACAAGCCACAACUUGUGUUUUUGAGGAUGCUCAACUUGAACAUCAACCAAGUAUCUCCCAUAAUAUGGGCCAGGAACUACUGAUAAUGUUCUUGGAAGAACAUCUUUACCUUCUCCUAAGAGAUUAUGAAACUUAUACCAUUUAGAUUCUUUUAGUGCUAGCAUUGGAAUUUUAGCACUUUCAGGAUUUUCAAGGUAAACAGCCUUAAAAUUUCCUGCUUGAUUUUAUGCUUGUACGCCUUUGUCCUUUGUAUGGAAUCCAUAUAGUUUUUAUGUCAAGGCUUUAAGUGUCUGAAGCAAAUGAGCUUCGUUCUCUUCAUAGAAAGCAUGCAGAAUAUUAUCAAUAAUAAUCUUCUGCUUCAAGGCCAAUAGUCUUUCUGUCCUGAAAACUGGUUUCUGAAAGAUCUUCAAAGGUUGAUCAUGAAUAACCCUCUUCCUAGUGACUAAAGGUGACUUUGUUGCCUUAAAAAAGGCGAUUCUACUUUUUGGCAAAGCAACAGCCAUAAACGGACUUGAUAUGCCUUUACCGUCUGCCGUUUGAGACGGGCUAGCCGGUCUUUUCCCCUGAGACCGGUCAGCCUUUCGGACACAGCAAGAACUCAUGUGCGAGUUUUUCUUCGUCAGAAGUAACUGACUGAUCUGCAUCUUUUUUAGAAUGGUCUGAAAACUCAUCUCAUCCUUGAUCUAGUCUUGGCUUGAUUCUUUCCGAAGGCUGGCUUGAUUCAGCAGCUCCAUAAGAAACAAUGUAUUGAUAACCUGGUCCGUCAUGGAGAGGUCCUACGGUUUUAUCACCGCUCUUAGAUCUUUCCCAAAUCUUCUUCUCCUCUGAUACCGGUUUCCGACUUCUUGGAUUGCGACCUUCUCUUUCGAACAUCGUCAUUUCUCUUGUAAGAGCGUCAGGCAAAUAGUUCUUGUCACCUGCAACCAUUUCAACAUCAUAUUCAUAUUGGGUUAAAAACAUUUUCCAUCUCAGAACUCUUCCUCUAUCAGCAGCAUCAGUUAAUUUGUAAUUUUUGAAAUUUUUAACUCUUUUGUUAUCAGUUCUUACUACAAUAAGAAUGUCUCGGCACCCUUAAUGCUUUUAAUUAAGGCAAGGACUUCCUUGUCUCCAGUAGAAUAGUUUAACUCUGCUGUGUUAGACUUUCCAGAUAGAAAUUUACAAAUCUUUUCAUUAUUUGUAUCUGGAGCAACAGCUAACACAACUCCUGUCCAGUAAUAAUCAUUUGCAUCUGUUUGCAAGAUGAUCAAAUCUCCUUCUUCGGGUAACUGUAAAGGAGGAAGGUUUUUUGUUAAAUUUUUAAUUUUUCUGACAGUAUUACUAUCAUCUUCUGUGAAAGACCAUUUCUUUUUAGAACUUGUUUUUGGAGAGAGAAGUGUAGUGAGACCACUGACUUGCGGAAUAAAGUCUAUCGCAAAAUUAACAACUCCCAUAAAUCUUUACAAAGAUUUUGCAUCAGGGAUAUUGUCUGGAAAUUGACUGAUUUUCUUAACAAUGUGCUCUUGGAGACGAAUCUCUCCAUCCUUAACAUGAAUGCCAAGGAAAUUAAUUUCUCCUUUUAUAAGGUGAAUCUUCUUUUGUCCAAGGAUGAUUCCCUUCUAGACAAUAAGUUUACACACCUGUUCUAGGUGCUUUAGAUGUUCAUUCAUAGUUUUAGAGAAGACAAGAAUGUCAUCUAUAUAAACUAUGCAGAAAUCUGAAUAAGGUUUGAAGAUAUUAUCCAUUUUCCUUUGGAAAAUAGACGGGGCCUGCUUAAGACCAAAUGGCAUAACUAACCAUUCGUAAUGCCCUUGAGGAGUUCCAAAGGAUGUUAAAGCUAUGGAAUUAGGAUGCAUUUUCACCUGCCAAAAGCCUGAUUUUACAUCAAACUUAGAGAAGAUUUUUGCUCCUUUAAGCCUGUUGAUGAGAACUCUCACCUGAGCUAUUUGAUAACCGUCUUUAACGGUCUUUUUAUUUACAUUCCUGUAAUCAAUCACCAUUCUGGCUUUUCCUCUUAAUUAUUCUGCAUGAUUUCUUACCAAAAAGGCUGGGGCAUGAUGAAGACUGUUUGAAGGCCUUAUAUUAUUAACUUCUUUUCCAGAAGUUCUUGGAUCUGAUUCUCCAUUUUUUUUCUAUCUUCUUCCCUAUAAUGAGGGAUGGCCUUAACAUGGCAAAUAGCAUUUGCAUCAUGCAUUUUUAGCUGACAGUAUAUUGGGUCUUUUUCCCAAUACAGUUGAGGCUCUUCACUGAUUACUGGUUUCAGCAAUUUUUCUAUUUCCGUGAGAGUUGGUAUUUUCUUUUGUUCUACUUUGUUAGCAUAUACCUUUAGGUUAUGCUCUCUGAUGUAUUCUUCUUCUCCAUCAGAACUCUCAUUGUUAGAAAUUUGAUAUUCAGAAUUUUCCUCUGAAUCAGAGUCUUCUAAACUUGUUGCUUCAUUCACCAAUAUCUCACUAUGCCCUUUAAGCUGUUCUUGUAGCAACAAAACUGGCUUUAAAAUUGGCUUAUAAUCACCACUCUUCGCUGGCGAUUUCUGAUAUUGGUCGGUAAAUCAUUUACCACUAGUAACGCAUACUGCGUCUAUUAAUCGGGAUUCCCAAUAGAAUUUUUUGUUUUUCUCAAACCCAAUCAUUUCUGGAGUUUGAAUUACUGUUUGUUGAAGAAGAAAGUCAUUUCCAAUCAACAAAUCAGCUGUCUGGCCUUCACACUGCCAGAGAAUCUUGAUGGUAAAAUUUUCUCCUCCUAAGGAUAUUUUUACAUUUCGCGCCAUUGUAUCCAUAACUAUGUUAUUUUCUUCCAUUGCAACUCCAGUAACUGUUCUUGGAGAUUUUUCCCAAUAUUCUUCAGGGAUUGCAUAUCUUUUAGCAAGACUGAACCCUGAACCAGUAUCUACAAAUACAUGUAGAUGAUACUUCUUGUAAUUGGGAAACUUCAAACCUAUAGUAAUAUAAUUACUAUAUAUGCUUGUCUGGACUGGUAUUACUUGCGCUUGCUCUAUUGGAGCAUCAAGUAAUUUUAAAAAAGGAUUGACCUUUCUUACAACAGUUAUGGGAUCAAGAGGAUUAUCAUUUGCCAGACCAAGUAUUGGAUUAUUACUUAUAGGAUUGAGAGAAUCAAGAGAUUCCUUGAUUCUUUGUUCUUGCUUAAUGAAGUUACAAACUUCAUCGUUUUUAUAUCUUCUUCGAGAUUCUUCUUCUUCAAAACCUUCUGAAGAACUUUCCGUCUCGCUAUCUGAUGGGAACUCAAGAGAAUAUAUUGAUUCAUUCUCUUCAUCAGAAUAUGCGACUUCAAAGCCUUUUAGAUUAGCAUACUCUAUUGCUUCAUUAUAUUCAGCAAUUAAGGCUUUAGAAUUUCUUUUGUCCUUUUUAGGACACUCAUUUGCAUAAUGUCCCUCUGCUUUGCAAAGCCAACAUCUGCAUUUCUUUACUUCUCUAGAAAACAAAUUAGUUUUCUUUUUUCUUUUGAAAAAUCUCUUUCUAGGAGAAGUUUGAGAAGAUUGUUCUUUCUUAUAUCUAGGCAUUUCCUGAACUUAUAUUUCGUUUUAGAAGCAAAUUUUGUAUCAUGCUUGGUGCUAGAGAACUUCCUUCUGUGCUUUCUUUUUGUAGGAAUAUGACAUUCUCAUUGUGUUGGAGUAUCCAAUAUCUUUAGACACAUAUUCUCAACUCCUCCGAGUUGCUUCUUGGCACUUUUGGAUUUUCUGUUCUCUGUGCAUUGCUUUCUUAGGAGAUCCCUAACUCUUUCUGCAAUUCCUCUUACAGUAAAGUACUGAAGAGGGUUUUCUUCUAAGGACUGUGCCACUGCAUCGUUCCAGGGUUCUAGCAACUUUCUAUAAUAUGUUCUGAUGAGAUCAUCAUUCUCAAUAUCUCCAAUGGUGCAGAAGUAAUUUUGGAACUCAUUGGUAUAUUCCUCAAAGUAUCUCAUGUUACAAAUACUCAUUUCUGAAUAUUUGCUUUCGCUCUUUCUUUAGACUACUCGCUAUGCCUAGUGAUAUCUCCACAGAAUUGCGCGUAGAUUGGUACUGGAAAGUCUAAAGGAUUAUUAGUCUGAGCUAACUUGCUUGCCCAAUCAGUCCAUUGAGAACUUCUUUUGAAAGACUGAUACCACUUAUGAACUAUUCCAAUUAAGGUUGACUCAUAAUAUGCAUGGGCAUCCUCAUAGGCAAAUUUUGAUAACACUAGAGCCUGAGUUAGCUUUAAACUAGCUACCUAGUUAUCUAUUGUCCUUCUUUUAUCUCCUACCUGGUCUAAAUCCAGAUAAACCCCUCUUUCGGACACUGAUUGUCCCCAUUUGGGUUCUAUAGGGAUAUAUUUCUGAGAACUUCGUUCUCCAAUUCUUUCUGUAGGAGCUUGUCCUUUUGGAAGUUUGAUAUUCUUUUCUCGAAUGAUCUUAGUGGGAUGGUUUGUAAUCUUCUGUAUUACGGUAUGCCCACUUUCUGGAGGAACUUGUCUCUCUCUUUCUUCUGUAUCCAUAGAGGAUGAACUUGGAGGCUCAUCUUUUGCUGCUUGAUAAGGAAGAAUCUUCCUUUUAUUCUUUCCAAUUUGAAUUUGAGAAAUUUCAUUCAUGAUUUUCUCUAAUUCUUCUAUGGAUUCACAAGUUUCAGCUUGUGCAUACAAGCUUUUUAAUUCUCCUGCUCUAAGCAUUUUCAUAGGUCUUUUAGUAUCUUUUUCCUCAAAUAUUUCUUCAUGAAAGAUAGAUUUAGUUCUAGAAGAACUAGCUUCUUCAUAAUUAGCAAAUGAAUGCCUAUAAAACUGUAAGCUUAUCUUUUCUCCCAUGUCUUCAUAAAUUGAAACAUUAGAGCUUUCAAGCUGUCUGACAUGAGAGGUCAAAUUCCAUUCUCUUGGGAAUGUUACUUCAUGCCAUCUUGUGACAUGUUUUUGUUGAGCAUUAUUUUUUGGAUUGGUGAGCACAGAUGUAGUAAUCCCAGGACUAUUCAAAAACCUGGUAUUAGGAGUUACAUUUGAACUCAUUAACUUAUAAUAAAUUCGAUAAUCUAUCGCAAGUUACAUCAUUCCUUCUUUCAUAUAAAUCUCAUCUGUCUUAAUUCUCAAUCUUAGACAGUGAGCAACAUCUCUGAGAUGUGUUGUGAAGUUUGGAAACACAUUGAAAUAUGCAACUUGGUUGUACAAGGAAGCUUCUACCGUUCCUAACAGACUUUUCUUAAAAUAUGUUAUUCUAUCGUCUUGUAAGACACAUAGAACAGAACAGUCAAUACCAUCUCUGGCUAAGAGUUUUAUUUCUACCUGGACUGCUCCAAUAUGCAUAUAGGAAUAUUUUUUCUGGAAAGCUUCGUUUACUUCUUUCAGAGUUAUCAAUUUGAUAUCUGUUUCUCCACCUGUGGCUAGAACAGUUACCUCAAGAAUCUUAAAUCUGUGAGAAUCCAUAAUGAAAGAUCCCUUCUUAUAGAUCUUGUUAAAUUUAAAUCUAGGCGCAAAUGCUUCUCGCACACUAGAUUCAAUUUCAUUAUACUCAAAUUCUUGAGCGUUUAUUAAUUGUACUGGAACUGUGUUCCUUUUACUGAGGAUUCUACUUAACAUCUUCAUAUCUCUCUUAGUUGCAGAUUUUGAUGUUUUUGCUGCAUUCCACUCCAGAAGCUUUGGUUCACUAAACCUUAGCCUUCCUUCUCCUAUUGGUGAGGAUGGGGGAGGUAUAAUGAUUCUACUAGCCACGUUUUGAGCUAGUGUUUCUUCAUUUAUCCUCUCAUAACUCUCUCCUUCCUUCAUCUUUUCUACAAUUUUUUGUAGAUUUGAGAUCUUGUUGUGUAAUUCUCGAAAUUGAACUUCGAGGUCAAUACUUAUCUCUUAUAGAUAAGCGAUACUAUAAUUUUGCUGAUGAAUUAUUGCUUCCACGUUUUCAGCAAGUUUUUAUGUAGGACGAUGAAAGCCAAUAGCUUUAGCAUCUUCCUUUUUUACUUUUAGAUCAACUCUUUGAUUCAUCCUAUUCUGGAUAUAAGAGUUUCUAAAAGCUUUUUCAGGUUUUUCUGAGUUUCUCUUAGUUCCACUGCUUGUUGAUGAAUAUUGUUUGCAAAAUUCUCAGUGCGAACUAACUUUCUCUCAAUAUCUAUUAGAUAUUGUUUUUUUUAGAUAAUCUAGCUUGACAUCAAGCCUACCAACUUUUGAAUUUAUUUCCUCAAGUUGAUUAAUCCGUAGAUUAAAUCUCUCGAGUUGUUCUGUAACCUUUUCAGAUGUCUUAUCCCUAGAUAAAUGAUCUAAGAACUCGAUUAAGCUUGGUCUUGAUGGAUCAAGCUCUUCUACUCCGAUUUCUCUUUGGAGAUGAAUAUGUUCGUCGUAGAGCGUAUUUAAUAUUCUACAAACGUAUUCAAAGGAGUACUGAUUUUCUUGAAUGUGCCUUGAAUGACAACACGCUUCCCACUUGUCAGUGCCUUUUGUAGUACAAAAGGACUGAUAAUUUUUAAGUUUGGAUUCUCUCUUGUUAGUCAAGAGAAGCCAACUUUAUGGCAUAAGCCUUUUUCUUUCACCUGUUUUUGAGCCAAGCAGGCUCUGAUACCAGCUAUGGCGGAUCUAACCGAUGCUCAAAAAAUCAAUAGGUUUUUGGUCUUGUUCAAAAGUUUCUUGAAGAACUUCAAUUUCUAGGAAGCUUAUCUCUUCUUUCUUUUAAUUUUCUAAAUUUUUCUCUUUCUUCGCAAUUCCUUAUAUGAUUGUUUAGCUUCUGCUAAAUAUUCUAAUCUUGUAGCAAUAUAUUCUCCAAUGAUGAAAAAUUAACUGUCUACCUUUGAGUAUAGAGGAUAGAUUUAAAUAUUUACAUUAUGAUAAAUAAAAAAAUUUCUAGACCCACCAUGCUCCAUCAAAAAUUAUUACUGAAAGUAGUAUAAUAGCAUAUAAGACAAAAACGACUAAAACGCAAAUAUUUGUCCUAAACUGUUAAAGAAAUUAUGCAAAGGACUAUUUUGUUAUUUGAAAUUUGGUUGGGUAUUAAAUUGUAGUUUGCUAUUUUAAAACUUCCACGGUUAAACGAAAAAGAAAAAAAAAAAAAAAAUCUCAAACGACGUCGCCUCUAGUAACCUUUUUUUUGUUUUUUCUCUCUCUUCCCUUUGCCCUUCCUAAUCAUUGCCAAUUUUCUCAAGACGUUAAAGUCGAAUUUUCGGAUGUUAUGUAUGUUCGAUAAACGUUACACACACUAUGUUCUGAUGAUUCAAAAAAACAAAAGAAAAAAAAAGUUGCUUCUAUAUUAAUUUAAAUUUGAGAGAAAUCAUCAGUCGAAAACAAAUUCUUUUUCACUAGCCGGGUCUGAUAGAAACACUGAACUUUCGUUUUCUAUGUUAGGCAAUGCAUCAUUCACUUUCAAUAGAGUUGUGGAUCCAGGUAAGAGAUGGUUAGUUGUUGGAAAUCUAGAAAUUACCAAGAAAUUUGAUCACAUCCAUUACCACAAGUACUAUUAAACACAUGCAGGACGUGUAGCUAAGAUUGGGUAUGUCCCUGUCUAUUUCCAAGUCUAAGAGUUGAAUCUUAUUCUCUAAUAAGAACAAGAUCUUGCAGAAGUAAAAGCUAAAAUCAGAAAACCUAAAACCGUGUACUCUGGACGGCAGGACCAGAAGGUCAAAUCAAACAGCUUUGGAGCUUUUGGCCUUGAGUAGAAAUAAUCGUACAGCACAAAUUUCAUUGAAUGGAAAGCUCUAUUGGUCAAAGUGACCAGGACUCGAUGAAGAAAGGAAAAAUAACAAAUUUUCCUUCUCACUUGAGUUAACACAAGAAGACUAACUCCUUGCAUUCUAAGCGAUCAAAUCGUUUGCAUUGAAAUUACUGGUAAAUUUGAUUUUUCAAGAUUGCUCGUCUUCGUCUUGUGCACUUCUAGGGACGAAUGUUGCUAGCACCAUUGGAAUUCUCACUUUCUCAGUACCAGAAUAUAAGAAUCCAACUGUCACUCCUUUCCUCAUCGCUUUUUGAAACCUAGCGGUUCCUGCUUUCAAAAUGGUUCCCAUUUCUGCUAGGAAAAUUCGCAGCUCAUUUCACAAAAAAAGGAUCAACAAAUUUCUUCAGCAAAUAUGAUAUCAAAGAUGAACUGAACUGCAAGGAAGAAAAAGAAAGGCUUAUCAGUCAAGAGCAUUAGUUCAGUAUUUACUAAAUGUUAUAGCUGAUCAGCAAUUACUACAAAAACAGAUUUAACCACAUGGACUUUACGGUUUGUUGAUACACCAAAUCAUAGAUAAGCAUAACACAACAUUUUACAGAAUUAAAUUGGCUCAAGCAAGUAAAUGACAUAGCAAAAAAAGUCUCUGUCGCCCUUUGAAGACUAAACAGCUUUUCUUACCUUCCUCCUUGGGGAUGUUGGGCUGAUCAAUCAAGAUUUGCUGGAGGGAACCCAGAUCGCUGGCACUGAAAAGGUGAUGAUCAAAGAUAAGUAUACAGAUAGUAUGAGAUAAGAAACCAUAAACAUCAAAAUCUAGAAAAAAAAAAAAAGAAAAAAGAAAAAAGAAAGGAACAAAAAAGAGAGAAAGGAUGAUAUAGCCAUGCUACAAAAUGACAUACACAUCUGCAGAGACUAUGCCACUGGAAGUCCAAUAAGGAGAAUUAGGAAAGGGGGAAUAAAAUAAAUGGUGGGCUGUUUUGAGGGGAAGGGGAAGGGGAAGGGGGUGGGGGUAUUGUUGGUUGUAUUAACAUGUUAAGACAGAAAUGACAGUAAGCUAUAUGGAGAAUAUAUUCCGAUCACUGAUCUAAUGUACCAGAUACUGCCCUCAUAUUUGAGAGACUAACUGUCCUCAACGAAAUCAUAAGGUAAACAGCUAUUCUUAUAAGAGUAAGGACUUCGGACUUCACACACCUGGGUUUCGAUGUAAGUUCUGAUAGUGCUGAAACCAGUGAUGACUUUAAAAGGUACCUGAUAAGGGGAAUAAAGAGUAAAUUAGUGACCAACUACGUCAAAGUCAUCUUGAUCCAUAUAUGACCAGAAGAUAAAAAGUUCAUUUAGUUAGAGUGUGUGCGUGUGAGAGCAUGAAGAAGUGUGUGCUUAUGAAAGCCUCAGAUAUAUAUUGUUUUCUUGGGUUAAAGGGGCACUCAAGGUCAAAACCAAGACAAACUAACAUACUAUUCUGGACCUUAAAAGGCAAUCGUUAUCAUCCAGAAGAUCGCCCUAAAAUACUUUCUGCAGAUCUCACUCACAUGUGCCAUCCCCAAGAUAAGAGUGGCUCAAGUGUGCGGACCCAUCACCUAAGAUGGAGAUUGAACCAUUUAUGAAAUGCCUUUAGUCACAAUCUUCUACAGACCAGAGUAGCACAUUUAAGGGCAGGAUUCCUCUCAUUGACCCUUGAUCAAACUUGCAACAAGGAGGGAAUCAUAUAUUCCACAAUUAUCUUAAAUAAUCAAUUUUGAUGUUCGAGUCAUCAGAACUAUUUCAAAUCAAGCCACACCGGCUCCAAUACCUAUAGUCUAUUUGUUCUAAACCCACAGGGAGAUGGCACUGAUCGUUGCAGAUUCUUCAGGUAGGAAGAGAAAGCAAAUAAUAAAAACACAAUGACAUCCAAUAUUAGUAAUAGUCUUGGCCACCAAACUUCAAUAAAAAUCUCAAUAACUGAUCCAGGGGAGUAAGUAGUUUCAAACUGUUUUCCAAAACCUCAUGUGUUAAAGGGGAUCUUCAGGCCAAAACCAAGACAAAGUACUCGGAACAUAAAAGGCCAUCUUUAUCAUCCUGAAGUUUUCCUAAAACACAAUUUGCACGUCUCUCUCGCAGGUGCCAAUUCAAGACGAGAGUGCCUCAAGUGAGCUGACCCAUCACCUAAGAUACCACAUUUGCAACAAGCGUGGUUGAUGAAGAUUGGAGCAUUUCCAAAUGACUUUAGUCACAAUCUUCUACAGUUCUGAGCAGCAAAUGUAAGGGUGGGGUUCAUCCCAUUGACCUUUGAUCAUAUUCCACAAUUAAAUGAUCAAUGUGGAGGUUCCAGUCAGCACAACUACUUCAAAUCAAGCCACCGCUAGCUCCAAUACCUCCAUUCAAAUUGGUUCUUAAACCCACAGGGACAUAAGCAUCGACUUUUACAGUUUUUUCAGGUAGGAAGAAACCAAGCAAAUAAAUUGAUAAACACAACCACAUCCAAUAUUGAUAACUGUAUUGGCCUUUAACAAUUUUUACUAAAACACUGUCACUGAUCUGGGGGAGUAAGGAGUUUUGGAAUUGUUUCCAAUGAACUCUGCUGACCAACAAGACAACAGAAAAGAUAAAUUUUCAAGUGAUAGAAUUGGAAACCUCAAAACCAGAUUUCAAUUUGCCGCUGGUACAAGUUGGAAGAGAAGGAUAUUCAAAUUUUGACAGAGAUAGUAAUACAACUCAAUGCCAACUUUGCUCAAUAAAAAUUAAAAAAAUUAAAAAUGGUGGAGUUUCACAAAGAGAGUAGAUAGGACAUGAGGGAUGGCAGUCAAGUUUCUUCUAGCCCUCUUGUCUUUUUAAGAACUUUUCCUUGGGAUAAAAGCCAGCGAAAAGUGUAUCUUAGGAGGGUCGGGGGUCUCUAAGUCUAUAUCUCCUUGUUUCAUUCCUCUACUAGGGAUGAAGCCCCCAGUAAGCUCUCCACUUACCUGACACAGUUCAUGAUCAACAGUAAAGGGAUACCAAAACUGCCAACCACCUUCACAGCUUCCUUGAUGAAAUUCCAUCUAUCAUAGGAUUUUGACAAGUCUAACUUUCCACGCAUACUCUCAACCCAACUUUUUCUCUUAUAUGAGGAAUGAAAAUGCUGUCACAGAUUUGCCCACCUACACUAACGUGGUUAGAGCUCAGCAAGGAACUCAUGGGAGGCCUCAACCUCCAACUUGCUAACAAUGAUAAUCUUUAAGACCACUGUUCCGAGUACUACAAAGAGCUAAAGUCUCAUUUCCAACACAGAACACACUGAUGUUCGCAAAAGUGACCUAAACUAUCCACCCUCACUAAAGUCUAUUCUCCAGUAACCUAUCAAUGCAAAAUUUAAAAAAAAAAAAAAAAAAAUACAAUAAAAAAACUGACAUACUCAGAGCAAUGCAUGUCCUGAAGAAGCAUGAGCCCAUCUACGCAAUCUGCAAGACUCGGUUUCACACCAACUCGCUGCUGCAGUUGUUUGAAACUCAGCUGACUAGACCCACCUUUUAUCAUCUGCCUACCGUCACGAUGAAUCCUCCCAAGAGACAACACAAUACCAUGAAACUGUUCCCUGAUAUAUUCAUAAACAUAAGUUUAAAUAAAAUUCUUAAAUAUACAUUUAUAAUGAACAUAAAUUAUAUAACACAGUAAAAAAUGUCAAAUUGCAUCAAAGAAUUUAAAAAAGAAGACAUGGAUAGAUACAAGGUAUUGUUCAUAGAAAGCAAGAGCUUUUGCAAAGACUCCAUCUGCUUCAGCAGCACGGCUUCUUGAAGAUGGGCAACUCCACGCAAGCCCUCACCAUAGUUGUUUGAAUCUUGAAGCACCUGAUCAACCCCAACAAUUAAUCCGAAGAUUAAGAGAUUGAAGACUAAAGAAAGAAGAGAGGAGAAAGAUUGAGAGACCUGCAACCUCUGGAUGAUGGAGGAGGCAUUUCUGAACUGUGAAGUCAAGAGAGAUUGAAGCUCGGCCCAGGUCUCCAUCUCGUCCCUAACCUUCCUGAACCUCUGCUGGUAUUUCUUCACCAUCGCCUCCAUAGCUGAAGCGACUCGUCAACUGCUAAAAGCCUAACGUUAUACUUAUACAGUUAUGUAUACUGCACAUAGUGUUUUUUUUUUUUCUUCUCUUUUUUUCGUAUCAGACGCUGAAGAGGACCGAAAUGGCGGCAUAUAGCCGGAAUGAGAGCAUUGCUUGAUUUUCGCCUCUCACUCUCUCUAAAUCAAGAGGAAAAAUCAAAAUCAAGAGAGGAAAAAUCAAAAUCAAAUACAAAUCCAUAAUCCGGAAACGGGUUUGGGUUAGGGGAGGACCGAUCCAGCAGGACUAAUUCUUUAAGCAGUCCAUAAACUUUUUAUGCUUGGGCUUAUGCUAUGCUAAUGCUGACCCAUGUUUGGUGCAGCUCAGCACUAAAGAGCAGAAUAGUCUUAACAGUGAUAUCCCAUGUUUGAUGAUGUCUAGGACUAAAUUUUAUGGACUCAAAAACAUAUUAUAACCUUUUUCCAAAACAAGUAGGCAGAAAAUUCCAGAGAGAUAUUUCAAGCUACACAAGAGCAAAAACUUAAAACUCAUUAAGAAACUAAAAUUUGAAAAGAAACCAUCAGACACUUCUCAGACUAAACGACCAUAGAGUAUGUCCUAAAACUCCAAUAUGAAGAUGAAAAUCCAUCUCUACCUUCCAUACUGUUAAGGUAUGAUUUUCCCAAUUCCAUUAACCUGGAAAUUUCAAUUUCACUAAAAAGUCAAACGAGUAUCAACAGCUGCUCUUAACAAACCCACUGAAGAAAAUCAACCCUUCUAUCGACAUAUUCUUGCAUCCCAAAAAGACAUGAUUUUGAAAACAUACCAACUAUGAUCUGAGGUAUUUAGCCUGCGCUUAGACAUCCAAAUCAUGAUUCUUACCACAGCUUAUUGUAGAAAUACAAACAGGAGAAUAUAAUCCCUCUUACAAUCGUCUCUCUACCAAUUAUUCAAAUUACACACAGACCCAAGCAAUCAAAAAAAGCUCAAAACUUAUAAGCACACAGCACAGAAAUAAGAAAAUCAAAACUUUCAGCAAUCAACUCAGAUAAUUAACUAAUAACAAUUCUUCCUCAAAUAUCCAAAGCAAAUUAAACUGUAAAGGAAUCAAAGGCACUGUAUGUAGAGCACGAACCUCUAAUUUUUCUCACAUGCCUGAUCGAAAGCGGACUGGUUCAUGGGCUCGACGGCCACCAAGUCGUAGGUCAUCAAGAUUGGGUUGCCGGAGUUGAGGGCCUAGGCCUGGGCAGGGGUGUCGGCGCAGAUCGAAUUGAAGCAAAGCAAGAGACGAGGAGCAGAGAGGGGUUGAAGAUGAGAGACUGAGAGAAAGAGAAAGUAAGAGAAGGAGAGAAAUCUCACCAGGAGAAGAGAACGAGAAGAGAGUAGCGAACUGAAGGAGAGAGCACUGUUGUUGCCGUUGUGUAAGUCGAGCUUACGUGAACCCCCCAAAAUUGGGGUCUUUGUGUAGCACGGUGUGGAGAGGACAUGGGGACUAUACAAACUCACUCCAGUCUUCGCCAAACACAGUCCUGAGAGGGAUGAAAUUGUGGCAGUAUUGGAUCUGUAAGAUUUACUCAUUAAAGAUCUAACGGUUCAGAUCGGGUCAUCCCUUUUUGUCCCGUAAUUUUCAUCCCGCAUGUGAGCAGCUCUUCCCUUUCUUUUGGGUAAGGUAAUACCAUCUUCCCCGAUAAAGUUAUAAUUUUUAGCUGUAAAUUUAAUUUGGGUCUAGUUACGUCUUUAAAUUUGCUAUCUAUACUUCCGUCAAUUUUUACUUUUAUUAUGAUGUUUGGCUCUUGAAUUUUAAUUAGUUGGUUAAUGAAAAUUUUCAUGAAAAUUAACUUUUAACUUUUACAUCUAGAGCCUCGGCUAGCACAGGGUCAGCCGUGGGUUUUAGUCUAUACAGUAGUGUUUACCCGGUCGGUUACUGACUAAGUGAUUCAUGGUUAAUCACCCUUGGAUCCAAAUCCAAUCUCAACCCUUAGAUGUAGAUCUAAUGGUGAUUGAUCAUGAAUCACUUGGUCAGUAACUGACCAGGUGAACAUGACUGUUAGUCUAUACUAUAUCAAUCAAUCUGGAUAAGACUUUUGCAUAUAAAAAAAUAAGUACAGAGGUAUAGAAUCACCAUGCCGCAAGCCUCAACCAGUCUUCCCCUUGCCUUGUUAUUUAGGCCUCGCUUGAUUCACGGAAAUGAAGGUAAUUCCUUUGUUUUUCCGACAAUAAGGGAAAGAGAAGGGAAAUGAAACUUUCCGAUGACUUUUCGUUCCAAUGUUUGGUAACACAAUGAAAAUCAUUCGGAAAGUUGUUCAUUUAAAUAAUACAAUAAUAUAUUGUGAGUAAUAAAUGUAAGAAAAUGAGAUGAUAACUUUCCCUUAUAUUUUCCCAACCUUUAGAAAAAUAUUUCAUUUCUUUCAGCAUUCUCAAACGUAGGAAAUGAACAAUUUUCCUUUCCUGAUGGUUACUUUCCAUGAACCAAACGAGGCCUUAGAAUAAAAGAGUAUGUCACUAACGUGAUGCAACACAUUAUCUAGUGAAUCCAUCUAGAACAGAAUCUGAAACCAGUCAUUACCUCCUCCAAAAACCUCCACUCUACACGGUCAUAUGUCUUAUUCAAGUCCAAUUUCAUAGCUCCAAAACCAUUAUGUCCUCGUCUUCACCUUUUAAGAAAGUAGGAAAUCUCAAAUGCAACUAGUGAAUUAUCAAAGAUAAACCUCUCGAGGAUAAAAGGCACUCUGAUUACAAAAACUUAUCAGUCACAAUUGGCUCAUGUACUCCAAAAUCUCCACCUUAAAAUUAAGAGUAGCAUUUGUGUGAUUCACCUCCCUAUUCAAAAGCUUCUGAACCAAUAAAACUCGUCAUCGCGGCAACCACAUCUGAUCCAACCAAGCUCCAAAAAUGUUGGUUAAAACAUGGAGAGAAUCCAUCAGAAUCUGAAGCCUUCAAUGGAUACAUUUGUUUAAAGGCUUGGUGAACCUCUUCCAUCGACACUUCUUUUGUAAGCUUUUCAUUCAUCUCCUAACUUACUAACUGCAGAAUGACUCCCCUAACUCUUUCAUAGUCGUCUGGAGCAGAAGAUGUUGAUUAUUUCCCAAAGUAAGACAUAAUCACAUGUUCUAGCUCAUCGUCCUAUGUCACCCAUUUUUUUGUUGUCAUCAAAACGGCCCUUAAUCUCAUUCUUUUGUUUUUGGUUACUCGCCCGCUGGUGAUAAAACUUGGUGUUCAAGUCACCAUUAGUGUGUGAAAACAUUGUUGCCCUUUGCUUUCAAAAUGUCUGCUCCCUCUGCAAUAACUCCAUAAAACUUAACUUUUUUAAACCCCAUAUUCUUAAUUCUCUCUUUUCACUAUAUGCUAUUCUUUUUUUUCUUUUUUUGUCAAUAAAUUUUCAUUAUCAAAUAAUUCAAUGAUAUAGUCACAAAAAUGCAUCUUCAUUAGAAUAUGAUGCACAAAGAAUCAAUUACAUGAUCUUUAGGACUUUUAAUUGACAAAAAUGUUCAGCAUCACACAUAAUCUCCAUCUUUGAAACAACCAUCAGACAAAUACAUGUCUUUAGCAGCUCAAAUAGAGAAUCAUCAUCAAUCAGGCCCUUAUAAGCCAGACCUAGAGUGUAUCCCCAAUAACAGGUUAUCUCUUUUUGAUAGGAUAAGAAACAACACUCUUUAAUAGGACCAGGAAGCUGGUAGUAGUCGGGAAAGCCUUGUCUUGCAUUUUCACGAACUCUCAAUACACGAUCUUGUUUAGGAUGCAAAAUAGCGUGAGUGUGAUGCUCCGCCUACGGAACAACCGUUGAAACAAUUUCAUCCAACCAUAAACGUCCAAAAAGUUUUGAUUAAGUACCCCUUCACAAAUAAUCUCAUCGCAUAUUUUAUUUAUUCUUCUUAUAUUGAUAUACAACGUUCUAGUCGUUAAUUAACCUUUCAAUCUUGAUAAGCUAGAUGACUCCAAUCUCCUUACUUUAGCUUCCAAAAUGUGGAUCACACCCCUUUGCUGCACAACAACUUCCUUUAAUUUCUUUACAACAUCCUCCAAUUUCUUGAUUAUGUUCUCAAUGUCACAUGCUAGUUCCUUCUUUGGUUUCUUUUUCGAUUUCUUCUUGAUACCUUUCUUACACUUCUCUCUAUCCUUCUUCAAAGCCAUUUCAUAGGAGCUGUGUUACCGCUAAUGUUGGUUAUAUGUUUCUUCAACCUAUGAAUGCCACCAAUGACUACACCUAACUUUAUCUUUGUUUUCAAGACUCACUAACUCUCCAAACUCUCAUCCAACAUCAUCCAAAUCGCGUUUUAAACCCAUUUCUUGAAAAUGUUAUGUUUAAGAAUUAAAUGGGUCUUGAGAUCUUAUUAAAGAGAUACAACAGGAAAAAAAACAAUUCAUCUUUAGGGACAUGGAAAUAGAGAUUAAUGAGAAUACGUGUAGUAAAUCCUCUCAAUUUCCUCUCCUUUACACCUCAAACCGCACGCCACCAAAUCAACCCUCCAUCCUACAAUCAUCAACCUGCACCACCUACAAUUAUGCACAUCCAUUCUCUUCCUCUACUCUACCUACGGAGUAAAGAAGAAGAGGCAGAAAAAAGUCAUAAAACUAUCAGAAAAAAGAGAAAGCAAGAGAAAACAAUGCCAAAAAGAAAGAAGCAGACGGAUAUGACGGGCUCUAAAGGUCUGCUAAGAUGCAAUAUGAGUGCAUUUUGCAAGCUGAUGAAUGUUGUCAGACAAGAAAUGCCAGAAAAGAGUUUGGAAAUCUUGCGUAAAACCGGGUUGUUGCCAUUAAUUAAACCCUGCUAUCUUGAUAAACUAGAUGAAAAUGGUACGUUUAAGAAUUCAAAAAAUCUUGAGACCCCUUAAAAAAACCCAUAGUGUGAUUUAACAAAGGGUUUAAAGCGAAAUGCACUAGAACAGUAGGCAUACAACCUCUGGAUGAUGGAAGAUGGAGUCUAAGAGAGUUUGAAGCAUGGCCUAACUAUCCAGCUCUUCCUUUACAUUCCUAACCUCUACUAGCCUCUCUUCACCAUCACCUCCAUUAUAUGCACAAAAUGAACUACAUAAUCACAUACAUUGAAAUGCUCAACUUAGUCUUUUUGGGACUGAGUUGUAGGAAAUUAGUAGUCACUCGUAUUAGUUAGCUUUUAGUUACCUGUCUGAUUUUGAAAUUGAUCCUUUGGUUCAAGUUUCAUCCAACAACUAGAUACUCUUUUAUAAAAGAUAACAUGUGCAGUGGAUGUUCAAUUUAAAUCACAACAAAAACUACAAAUUUCUUGUAGUUCAAAACUUGAGCACUUAUUAUAAUCAUCACAAUUUCAAGCUUAAAAGUCGAGAAAAGUAAGCAAUAUACACCACCACAAACUUGAACACCAUCAGUGCGGUAGACGCCAACAGACCAAAGCUACAGGGAUGAGAAAAGAAAAAACCAACCUAGACAAAGGAAUUGACAAAAGGUGACGAAUAUUGUAGAUUGAGACCAAAAACUAAAUCAAAUGGACAAGAACUCAUGAAUGUAGAGACUUAUAAGAAAUAGCUGGGUUUUGUGCGAGCGCUUGAGAGAAGCAUGAAACAUGAACUCAUGAAUAUGACAAAUCUUUAAUAGUUUGAGAAUAUCUAAAAUUUUGACCACAUUGUCUAGAUACUGUUACAAAUCUCUGAUAAGAUAUUAGAUAUCUGAAAAUAUCUUGUAAUAUCAUAAGCAGACAUAUAGUUUUUAAUCUGGCUAUGAAACAAGCUAGUUGAAGACUUUUCGGUUUAUCCUACUUUUCGAUCUUAUAUUCACAUCUUAACCUUUCAGUUUAUAUGUAUUUAUGAGUACAUCAUUUCUGCAAAUUUUCAGCCAUAUUGAAAAUCGAUAAGACAUUUAUAAGUGUGAUUUACUAAUUAUGAACUUGAAUUGUUCAUAUUUGACAAAUUUGGUUCGUCCAUUAAUUUGAUCUAGUUUGUUACCUUAACGAUCACCAAUUUGGCUGAAAAUUUAUAGAAGUGAUCUACUUAUAUAGACCUAAAAACUGAACGGAUGAGAUGUCAAAACAUCAUCGAAAAAUGAGUUUUUUAGACCAUAAACCGAAAAGUCUUCAACUCUCCUCAUUUUGAAACAAUGAGGUUCAAAACAAAAAGAUAUGUUGGAAAACUACUUGAAAGUCGAUCAUAUUCUGCACUUUUGAAUAGAGUCUAGAUUCACAACAAACAAACAGAAGACCAAAUUGAUCAGUUCAGAAGUUUCAAAUGGUUCUUGUGACGAGUACGUCUGAGGUUAUCUAGUAUAGACCAAUUUCAGUAUUUCACUGUAUACUAAGUUACUAACAAUCAUAGUCAUGGUCAAUCUUCACACAUGCAAUUGAAAAAAAAAAAAAAAAAAAAAAAAAAAAAUAACCCGUUAUAUAGAGUAUAAUUCAAUGCAAAACGAACAACGUACAUAGUUACACAAAGAUAUCCCACCUCAAACAUAUGGUAACCUAACUGGCUCUCGUCUAGCAUCCAUACGACCAUACUAGACCUACUUUUUAACAUGGAGAAUACUAGUUCUGUAAGUGCCUAUUUUCGUUCCUGGGAAGUAAGAGCUACACAGAUGAAAUACAACACUACAAAUUGAAACCUCUUGGAUUUGGAUAGUUAUGCUUGAAUUACCAUUCCAAUUAUCCUCGAGGAAGAAAUUAGAAAUACCAUUCCAAUUAUGUGAAGUACUUAGGAAUUAGUUUUCGGUAUUCAUGCCUAAUCAUGAAUUCAUGAGAUUACUGGGAGUGAUUGCUUGCACCCUCAAUUUCACAUUACAGAUUUUGAAAACCAAAGCAAGGCCUCGAUCACAACCAUAUAUACUUGUACUUAGUUAAGCAAAACAAACAACGUACAUAUAUCAAUAUAGUCAGAAAACAACACAGAACUAUACACCAAACACAAAUAUACAUUAGGAUAAUGAUACCUGAACCAUACCAUUUGCUGUAUAUUCCCUCUGACCUCAACAGCAGCAGCUCUUUCAUAAUACCUGAACACCAAUCUUUAUUUGUCACAUUAUGCUGAGGAGAACAUGAUGUAUAGCUAAACACACCAUGACAAUAUAUUCUCCAAUGCUUAUAGGCCACAUUGCUCAUGAGCUGCAGAGAAGUAUUGUACAAAUAUGAAUUGGUAAGAAGACCUAAUAUCAACAUUCAACAACUGCAAUAGAUGGACCAAAUUGCUGUAACUUCAAGAUUAUAUGCACAAGGUCCAGCGACAUGUUUGUAAACUCAGACAUCAAUAGUGUGUUAAUGAAAGUGUUGCUUUAGACACAAAGAAAACUUCGUUACUUAAACACACGAAAGACCAAUCACAUGAGAAGUUAAAAAUUGAUUACAAGGAAUCAUCUACAUAAUAUGUAAACACAGUCCAUAAACAAUAAAGACUUUAGAGUUUGAUAAACUAACCAUAUAUCAACUCUUUUAUGUUGUCCUAAGUACACAACACGCAGAGUUCCUUCACUUAUUUACCCUCGGAGAUAUAUUGGCCUGCAAUGGAUUCUUCAUGACCACAGUGAACUCCUGCUUCUCCGACAAGUCCACAUUGUCUCCAUCCACAGCUUUCCAUUCAAAUCUCCAAACCAGAUUGGCCACAAAAUACUCAAGAUGAAGCAUAGCUAAACCAUAAGCUGGACAAAUUCUCCUCCCUGCCCCAAAAGGCAUCAUCUUAAUCUCUCUAUUUCCUGUUAUAUCAACCCCUUCUCCUGCACCACCACUCAAGAAUCUCUCCGGCUUGAAAGCCAUAGGGUCUUCCCACACUUUUGAGUCCAACCCUAUAUCAGCCACUGUGAAAUUGACAGUAGCAUUUUUAGGCACCACAUGACCAUCCAAAACGAUGUCUUGAGUAACCUUGUGUGGCAACACAAAGUGGCCAGGUGGGUGACGCCUUAGACCCUCCAGGAUCACAGCUUUCAAAUAAGGCGUCUUCUGCAAGUCCUCCUCUUUCACCUCUUCCUCUGUUUCUUCCACAACCCCUUUAAUCUCUGCGAACAGCCGCUCUUGGACUUGUGGAUACUUUACAAUGUUGGCCAUGAUCCACUGCAAUGCAGUGGAUGUAGUAUCAGUGCCCGCACUCAGAAACUCUGAACAAAGACUAACCAUUUCGCCUUCCUCAAGCUUUCUCUUCUCUUCAGGGAGCUCAAGAUCCCACAAUGUAUCAACAUACGACAACACAAAUUCAUCACUUUGCUCCACCUUGGUCUUUGCCUUGCUUCUUGCUCGUAUAAGAGGAAUGAGCACGUCUUCUUGUUCUUUCCGAAUCUUCAAAAACUCCUUCCACUGCUUUUUAAACAGGAACUUUGUGAUGCCAGGCUUCACACUAAGCAACCUGAACCGCCACAAACCCAACAACAACUGACGCUGAACACGCUCCACUUCUUUGAUCUGCUUCUCCUCGAGUUUGUCUCCAAAACACAUCAAAACCAACAAGCAAAACAUAGCAUACUGAAAAUGGUCUACUACUACCACACCUUUGGAUUCAGACUCCACUUGAAGACGAGUGGUGAGGAUGUCCAGAACCCACUUGCGCGCCGCGCCAUAAGACUUGACACGCAGAGGGUGAAGUAUCUCGGAGGUCAGGUUGCGACGGAGGAGCCGCCAUGUGAGUCCAUAUCCGGCAGAGCUGAUGUUAUGUUGGUUACUAGUUAUGAUCUUGUCAGUAGCCAAAGCCGGUGGCCUGUCUGAAAAUAUAGCUCCGUUCUGGACUAAGGCCUGGUGAGCCAGGGAUCGACUGGCAAUGAAUAUUUUAGGGUUGAGGCCGAGGUGGAGGUUGAAGAUGGGUCCGUAUUGGCCAUGGAAUUUUCGGAGUGCGAGCUCCAUCUCAUAGGGAGUCUGGCGGAGCCAUAACAAGCUGCUGAUUAUGGGAAUGAUAAAAGGUCCAGGAGGGAGUUUGUUGGUUGAGAUAACACUGAGAAUGGUUUUGACAAGCAAAGAGAUGAAGAGGGUAGUUACUAUGAGGAAGAACCAGGUCGCCAUGGUUUCAGUGAAUCAUCAACAAACUUGAUAGUUGAUAAAGUUGGAACUAAAAGUUACGAUCUAUGUGUGUGUAUAGAAGAGUUGUAGUUGACUAGUGCAGUACUUGCUGACAAUUUACUUGUGUUGGAAGUUGCUUCGAACGUUAGAUACAAGACCAACAACAGUGAUAUGAAGCAUUUCCAAAUUCCAACCACUCAAUAUCAAUCCACAAACGAAAGUGAGGUGGCUAGAAACAAAGAAGACUAGUCCAGGUUUCCAGAAAUGUAAGAAACAGAGCACCACGAAGUCAAAAGCAGUAAAAAGUUGUAGGUAAAAUUACCUCCUCCUUGAGUCCAGUCAGUGAAUUUUUCGCUCCAGAUCAUUCCCAAUCCUUCAUUUGGUGCAAUCACCUCAACUCGGAGCUAGAGCCUAGAGGAACUGUUUCAAGAUUAGAAACCACGUCAGUCAGAGCAGCCAUGGAAGUACGCUGCUUUAGAAUUUGAAGGCAAACUUCUUUGUUGUUUGUGCUAAGAGCUUGCAAUCCUCUUACUCAAUUAGCGCAAAAUAUUGAACUUGUUAUUGGAAGGAAUAGUACAGAAGAAAAAAAAUCAACUUUACUCGUUUCAUCUUUGUAUACAUCAAAUUAUACACUGUAAUCAAUUCAAUACAAUAAGGCCAUACAAACAACAACAUAUAUGUUCACAUAUUGUCUCUAAGCUAUACAACACACACAAAAUUGGCUACAAUGCACAACCCUUGAACAAAAUGGGGAAAAAGAAGAGAAAAAAAAAAUGUGGGGUUUUGUGAGGUACAAUAAUAUAGUGGAUUGCCGGCUAGAAAGCAUUCCAAUUAUCAGAACCCUUCUUUGCAUUUUGACUCUCUGAUGAGACCUUGAAGGGGCCAGAAGAGCCAAAUGGAUCUGAGUCAUCGAAAGAGUAUGUACCCUGGCCAAAAUCUUUUGUGCUGUUUAUGGAGUCAAACCUUGUGAGGCCAUGACUUUGGCCAAAGUCUCUGCUGCUGCUUAUGGAAUCAAACCUUGAGUGGCCAAAAUCUCUAGUGCUAUUUAUGGAAUCGAACCUUGAGAACUUCUCAGGUUGAGAAGAAAAACCACUGUCUUGCCUGCUACUGAAUGAAUCGAACCUUGAGAAACCACUGUCAAAGUACUGAUCCCCAGCCUCACUGUAUCUUGGCGAGUUGGCAAACCUCGAGGCUGGUGUGCUAGGAACAGACUCCUCAAAGAAAAUGCUCUUUUUCUGAAAGGCGGUAUCUGCAUUCGGGAAUCCAGUUCUUACUGGGUUGACACCGAAGUCAUCAGAUCCAAAGAAAUCUCGGUGCUUCUCAGAAUCUGAGUCCUGCAGGUUGACAUCAAAUACGGGAAACAUCAACGCAUUAGCACAUGUCUUAUAAUCACUAGCUAGAGCAGUACUUCAGAUGUUAGUCUCACCUUGCCCUUGUCAGCAUUGAAACCCCAAACAGAGUCAAUAUCAUCAUUAUUGUCAAAGGCACCCCAGGUUGAUUCAUCAAAACUUCUGUGACCAGAAAAUACGUAGUAUCAGUCAGCAGUAGCAAAAACAUUAGCAUGGAGAGAAUUAUAUGAACACCUACCCAUGUGUUUCUCCAUCUGCUUCGGAAUUUUUACCAUAGUGGAUAUCUGAGAAGUCUCGAGACGGGCUGUCUACAGCAGUCCUUCCAGCUAGACUGCCAUUGGGACUUCUUACAUGUUCAUCUUCACUGUGGGUGAAAACAGAAUCACUUUCAUGUGCAUGAUCACCAUUGCUGGAAGAAAUUCCUGACUUUCCAUUAGCAACAAAUGAUGAAUCAGGAGUUGAACUACGAUCUGGGGAAGCCUUUUCUCUCUGGACAGAUCCAGAGUCAGGUUUUGUUGAGGAAUCAAUUUUGAGAUCAUUGCCAAAUCCUGAAAGUUAUUGGCACUCCUAUUAAUAUGAAUGAACAAGCAUUUUCACAUUUUGCUUUGCUGAUUAUCAAAUAGGAAAAGGAAAAUGAACAAUCAUGAGGCAUACAAACAACAAACUUUGGGCUAGAAAAAUCAGGACAAACCUUCGUCUUCGAACUUGUCCCAUUCUUCAUCCCAAACAGCUGCUCCGUCUUGAAUUCCAGGUUGCCAGCCUUAAACCAUCAGAUGAAAAAUGUCAUGGAAUAAAAAUAAAAUUUGAAGGCAGAUUGUCAAGUGUGGGUCCUUGCUUAAUUGAAACAGCACAGAACAGGAUCUGAAAAAGAUACGAGGCCUUGCAUACCAGUUGGAAGCUCGAUUAUUGCAGCUGACUUCAUCUCUAUCCCAUGUUUCUUGCAACGUUCAGUAAGAGCCUUUAUUAGUUCCUCAAGAUCAUAUUGUAUACGAUCAGCACGGACCUGGAGCAGAAAUAAUCCAUCAGCAGUGAACAAAUUAACAUACAGUAAUAAGCUCAUAUAAAUGGCACAGAAUUAUACCUGAAGGAUACCAUCAGCACUACCUCCUUGCUCCAUUUUAACAAUUGCUUGAUGCAAUUCAGUCUUCCUCUCCUGAGAUGAAUUAACAGAAAUCGAUACAAUGAACUACAUUCUCAUGAAUAAUGCAGUAGGUCAUUUAAAGAAGAUACAUAUCUAGAAAGUCACAGAAGAAAAGAUUGAAUGGGACUACUGAUCUAAGGAUGUCCUAAUUUGUACUGCCUUUAACCAUUUGGAAAAAGAAAAAGAAAAAAAGAAAAAAAGAAAAUACACAGAUAGAUGGAAAAGGACAGACAUGUCCAUGUGGGAGACAAAUGACAUGGGUCUGAGCUCAGAAAAUGUGUAGUUACGAGUUAUUUGAAACAAACAAAAAAUGCUAUUACCUGAACUUCGCGAAACAUGGCCUCUUCAAUGGUCAACUUAGAUGCUAUUUCUGCCACUUGUUUAUAUUUCUCUUCAUAUUUCUUAGCCAGUAGUUCAGCCUGCAAUACCACUUGUUAGGACAAACUAAUCAUAUCUUGCUAAGACCAUUGUGAUUCUGUGUGUAUUAGCAAAUACCUCACGCUUAUCAGCCAGUGCCCUUUCCGUGAUCUCAUUUAAUCUGUUAUCACAUCUGCUCUUAUACAGCACCUGUAAGCAAAAAUGACAAAUAGAUAAAGCACAGGUGAGCCAGCCCUGACCAGAAUUCUACUGUAUAAGAAAAGAAGACAGCAUAUGAUAUUUUAAAUGAAAUAUAAAUAUAUAUAUAGCCAAUUAACCAAAGGAAACGAAAUACUGUACUUCUACCUCAUAACUUAAAAGAUUUUCAAACUAAGUCAUUUUAUGAGAUAAUUCAAGUAUCGGUUCAGUGAAUAGGUAAACCCUACCCACAAAAAAAGAUUACCAAGAGGUUUGCAAUUACCAAAAUCAUAUUGUAUUAGGAACCCUAGCCGUAAACCAACAUUACAGGAUCACUAGAAUGAUAUACUCUGAAGUGUUUACCAACAUGCAUUUUAACUACUGGAUUCUUUGAUACCCAGAAAUCCUCAACCCCACUUCACAGACCAAGGCUCGAAACUAGGGCCAAACCAUACAAUAUUUAGGAAGCAGAAAACUCUAGCAAAUAGCUAGGCAGGUAUUGAGGGGUUCAAAACCCCACGCAUGGGAGCAAACCAUUGCAUUCCAACAACCUCAUAGCAAGGCCUGAAUUAUUCUUGUGUAUAAAUAAGCGUAUAUAUUUAUAUAUAUCUGAAACUUUGUACAAAGAAAAUAUUAAACAGCAUGCCACUAAUGACAAGAAGGCCAGGAAAAAUUGAAAGCCAGAAGUUACUUACAAGUUCCUGCAUUUUUGUGCGAUAGAACUCAAUCUUCUCUCUUGAGUCCAGAAUCACAUUCUCAAUUUCUUCAACCUAUCAAAUCCAGUAUUAUACAAGUAUGAAUGAUUUUGGAAGCAAGUGAUCAAAAGCCACAUACAUAACUCAUGGAGGAAAAAAAUAGAAGGAAUGGGGAGAAAAACAAUUUAGUGAGUCAGCUUAUAUAUCGAGAAUUUUUUGGAAGCAAAACUCCCAAGUCAAGCCUAACCACAAGGCUGGCCCAGUUUGAUAAAAAUAAGAGAUUUAAAGAUUGAGAAUGAGAAAAGGUCAUCCCUGUGUCAACACACCAGUGAAAGCUAUAACCACAAGAUGAAUCCAGCGCCAAGUGCAAGCAAACACCUGGGCAAAGCCAAUACCAGGGCCAAAUAGCCAAUAUAACGCCAAGAGCAAGGCAAAUCUAAUGCUAGGGCAAGGCCACAGAAAACACCACGGGCAAGCAUUGACCAAUUAAACAAAACAGUGCCACUCUUCAAUAACAUGAUAAAACAUAACACAUAAUUAAUGAGCAAUUUUCAGGACUGUUGCAUUUCAUCUACACUUUCAGCCAAUAUCUUGAAUAAUAAUUGAUAUAGACAGCAUGGCAGGUGACUAAACUCAAUGACUUUCCUGUUAUAUCUAUUUAGCGGGAUUAUGUAGGUAUUAGUUAAGUUCACUCUGUCUACAUAAAAAGCCCAAGGCCCAAAGAACCUUGGGCUUUGAAUCUCCGAGGUACAGACUUUCUUAUUUGAAAAAAGAUACUAUUUUAUUAUGUAGGGGAGCAAAAGGAAGAGGAAGGUAGUUUGUUCAGUAUGACAACAAUGGCCUAGAAUAACUCAUUAGUUUAUACCAAACCUGACUAAGGACUAUUAUUAAUAUAAUAACAUCUUUAUCCCCAUCCUAUCUCCCAAAGGAGACUGCAGAAACUUGAAACAACUGAACGAACAGAGGAACUUGCCUUUUUCUCUGCCUCGCUAGGGUCUUGAGGUUUUGAGUUCGCUGAAUCCUGCUUCCCAUUGUCAAGCUGGUUUGGAGCCACCAUUCCUCGCACUCUCAAAUUUUGCUGAUUCGGUUGCAUUGCACGAUCACCCUGAGGGGCAUUUCCCUGAAUUGGUGGCUUCAAACCAGUACCAGGUGGCAUCAUCUGGGAACCUUGCAUUCCUUGAUGUUGUCCAAAGCCUAAAUGCAAGGGAAAGAAAUAUCUCACCCAUAAAAAUCUAAGGAGCAAAUUAAAAGAUAUUGGAAAAGAAACCCAAAAUGUUACCUGGGUGGGGACUCCAAGCUGCAUUUCCAUAACCCACUUUUGGUUGACCUGUCAUCGAUAUCAGUGUCUCAUCCAACAUAACAUCGCUUGGAAGUGUAGCUGGAAGAGGCCGACCUUCCCGGUAACGCUCCAUCAAAUAGAGAGAAAAGCAGAACUCUCUUAAGGAAAGCAUGCUGUCAUUGUCCUGAUCAGAUAAGUCCCACACCUGCUUUAGAACCUCUGAGAAAGACCCGAAUGGAUAUUAUUAAGCAUUUGCAGAACCAAACAAAGUCUACUGAAAGUUUCUCCGAAUUCAAGUAAGAAUACAUUAAUUCCAACUUUAUUAAGGGUGUCAUAAACAUCAUAGACAAAGUUCAAAGUACCAAAAGUAAAUAGAUGUUCUUAAGGUGUCCAGAAGUAAUUAUAUUAGAUCAUGAAAAACUUAGGAUGAUACCCAAUUCAAUACAUACAUAUUUGGGUUCCCAUCUAUCCAAAAAAAUAUAAAAGAAUACAUACAUACAUGUAUGAUCAUCAUUAUCUUCCCAAUGGAAAUGAAUGGGAAACUAAACUAAAGCAGCCAAAUUGAAGCACUAUCUUUCAGAAAUGUUUACCAAGAAUUUCCGGUUAUGAUAAUAAAACAUGUAGAAAGCACAGGAGAUCACUCUACAACUCAACCAAAAAUAUACCAUUUAAGUCAACCCCCUUCACGAGGUGCACUUAACCAAUUUGAUCGAAACCAAGAAACUCAAACAAAGACCAUAUAAGUGCAGAACGAUGGACUGAAUGCUAGAUUAGUAACUAAGUUUUCAAGAUCACCAAUCAAAGAGCAUCGGACCUAGUACAUUGUCUAUGAUUACUGUCUAAGAUUAAUUGGAAAACCUUACCUCUUGGCAACCUCCAACUGAGAAAUAAAUUUCGUGCCUGCUCUCCAGUGACUUUACCAUCUCUGUCACUGUCUACUUCCAUGAAGACUUUUGUGUAUUUCUGAACAUCAGAUGGCUUCAUCUUUGGCCAAGGAGGCUGUGAAUUCUCAGAAUUAGAGUUUCCAACUCCAACUGAAAUUGAAGGUGAUGAAAAAGAGGUAGUAACCGCAGCUGAAACUUGCUGGCUUGGGUUUGAUGGUGCAUGGGGCUGCUGAAACUGGCCACCAGAAGGUUGCAUUGUGAAUGCACUCAGUGAAUCAAGUGCACUGAGCUUACUAGAAGAUUGAGACCCACUUGAAACUGGAACAAUGGCUGAUGGCAUAGGUGCACUACUAGCAGAAUAUGUUGACCCAGAAGCUCCUGGCUUUGAUUGAGGGGUUGCCGAAAAUACACCACCUGAGAAACCCGAAUUCGAAGCAAACCCAUUUCCAGAAGGAACUAAUGAUCUACUGUCAUUAACAGUAGGCAGGGAAGACGAUGACACCGGAGGUUGUGGUUGUGUUGUAGAUGAGGGCAUGGAGGAACUAAUUCCUCUGGGACCAGGAGGAGGUGCACCAGUGCUUCCACUAAGCCAAUUAUUUGAGUUCAUUACAUUGGGACCCCCCACACCACCUCCAAAUCCCUGUUGUGGUCGGGAAUGGAUAGUAUUAGGCAUCCCAGGGGGCAUGCCUUGAGGAGGUCUCAUGGACUGGUUUUGCUGUGGCUGGAAAUAAUUCUGGUUCAUACCUGCAUUGGGAGCUCCAGAUCCUCUAAACCCGAAACUUUGAGAUGUUGAUGGUGUCCCUAUACCCAUCUGUGGAGCAGGUGCACCAGCCAUGGGAUUUGCUUGAGGUGCAGCUAGGGCUGAAAGAUUAAUUUGUGGGGGAGGAAUCUUUGCAGCAGCUGGCCCGUAUAAUGCCGCCUUGACAAUAUCCGGCGUUAAAUCUCUCUUGCUUUGAGCCACAGUCACAAGUCUAAGAGCAUUAUAAAAUUCUGGCCGACCAAGGAAACCAGUUUUGUUCUGAUCCGCAUGCAUCCAUAUCUGCAAGUCAUAAAACAAACAACACUUGAUCAGCUAACAGUUCCAUGCUAAAUCAAAGUUUAUAUUUCAAACACAAAGAAAUAAUCAUUCAGAAGGUAGAUGGAUUGAAACAAUUUAAAGGGUUUGUAUAUAUCAAAGUGUUUCUGAGCAUGCUAAUCUAUUACUCGUAAUAAAUCCCUGUAAAUGUGGCUACUUGUCGUGGCAAGCUUAUAGGUGAGAGGAAGCAUAGGAGUUGCAAAAAUGUGGCCCAUCAAAAAUGGUUGGGUUCUUAAUGGUAAGUAGGUUGGAUGAAUUCUUUAUGGAAAAACAGAUUUGUUUUUCUUGCCUCUUACCCAUGGUAAGAUAUCUUUAGGGCCUAAAACUUCUUUGUACAGUUUUUGAGUGGGGAGACGUAAGGGUGAGAUCCACACAUGAGUCUGGAAAUCAGUGUAUCAUCUUUGUUUCCUUCUUUAUAGUAUAUGCCAGCCAUAAAUCCAUUACUGGCUGGUAUUUCAAUCAUUCCUCUGCUGCUUUAUCGUGAGAUUAAGUGAAUGAGCUAAUUGAGUUACUGAAAAGUUGUGCCUGUCCCAUCCCAGCAGCAGAACGUUUUUUUUCCUUGCAAGAUCCUAUUACAGAAGCUAAUGGUUGGCUUCUCUUCUCUUUUGGUCCCUCUCAAGCAACCUGGAAGGCUAAAGUACCACCUAAGAUAAAAGAGAAACGUCUUCUGUUGUACCUCUCUUAAGUCCUAAGUAGUGGGUACAAUGUGAAAUUAAUGCUGAAAAUUUCAAUGGUAUAAUUGAGUCCACUUAUUUUCUCCCUGUGGAUAAAGUUCUUUGGGAAUGCUGGCUUGGGUUGGUGAUCCCGGCUUCUUGCGAGGCUUUACAAACUAAAAAAAAAAAAGAGUUCUCUGGAGUAAGGCCUUGUGAUUGAUGGAUGUGCUGUUUCCUGAACACUUGGGGAUGCUUGUCUCAAGAGGAACACUAAAAUUCAUGAGAGUGGCAGACGAAGUAGAGCAAUUAUGGGACAGUGCUCAAUAUUGGACACCUUUUUAUGCUAGUCCUUCUAUUCAGAAUUCUACUAUAAAGUACUCUACUCAUUCUCAUGUCGGUUUCCUUCCCUCGCACGUUUUAUCUCUUUUUCACUUCCACAAGAACAUAAAUCAAGAGAAACAAUGAACCGAGUGGCAACACCUCCAACAAGCACAAACACACGCAGCAUCAAGAUUCCUCCAACUCUUUUAAGUCGUGACCAUGGCAAUGUAGCCCAAAUCAAGCAUCUAUUUCGCUUUAGCAUCCAUUUCCAUUUCUCCAAGUCAGUGAAUGUGAAGCUUCUCCACCCCAAUCCUCUCACCUCCUACUCCACCACUUCGAAAAAGACACACAGAAUUCUAACUAACUCCCUACUCACUAUCAACUAACCACAAUUCGAUAUCCAAGCUCAAAAAUCCACAAUAUCAAAUGCAGAGAAAACAAAUCAAAAUGAAAUACAAAAGCGAAGCGCUGACGAACCUGAGCAAGCACUGGCUUGGGCAAAUUGGCGCCCUGAAAGAAAGCGACGGCCUCAGCACCGCUGAUCCUGCCGUCUCCGUCCAAAUCCGCUCGCCUGAAGUAAGCUUCGAGCUGAUCCGUGUACGCGCCGGCCGCCAUUAAGCUCCGAUUUCGCACAGAUCACAUCCACAAAAUCCGAAAUCAAUUCGUGCUUGAAUCUCAGGCCGCAAUGGCGAAUCGAAUUGUGGCUGCGUGGAAUCGAUGGAUUGGUGGGUGCUGGAUCGAUGAGAGAGAGAGAGAGAGAGAGAGAGAGAGAGAGAGAGAGNNNNNNNNNNNNNNNNNNNNNNNNNNNNNNNNNNNNNNNNNNNNNUUUUUUUUUUUUAUGUAAUAAAUAAUAACCGUUGCCAGAAAAAAAAAAAGAGUAUAUUAUGGACCCCGUAUUUCCUAUCUAUUGUUAUUUUCUUCCCUAAUUUUAAGUCCGACUUACUAAAUUGGAUAGGUUUUCUGUGUUUAUGGGUCCUCUAGUAAGUUAAAAGGCACUUUGAAAGUCAAAUAAUAGAUACCUAGUCUUUUUUGUUUCUCUGUUUAGGCAUUUUUUGGACUCGUUUGUAAACCAAAAAAAAAAAGUCAAAUAAUAGAUCAAGGUGCACAAACUUGACAUGUUGAACCUAACACUCGGACAGAAAAAGAACACGAAUCGAAAGAAAGACAGAAAAUCAUUUGAAAGAAAAGGAAAGAGUGAAAACUGAAAACUGAAAACUGCAUAAAUGAAGGAAAUAAAGUUAACAAGUACUAGGGGGUUUGAGUUUAUGAAAGUGAAAUCACAAAAUUAAAAAAUUCACAUAUCAAUUCAGAUUUUGAAAUCAAAUGAUAAGAAGUUGUCCAGUAUUAUUUGGUCUAGUGACAUAAUCAGUGGUGAUUCUCCUGAGUUAAUCUCAAAUUUCAUGCUUUCUUUUUCAUUUUUCUUAGUCAAUUUCAGCCUGAAUCCUUGUCCAUUUUCUUCCCCCAAAAUCAAAUGCUCUAUCCAUCUUCUCUCCCAAUUCCCUCCCUCCAUAUUUUUGGUCUUAGAUCUGCUGUCGUUUGAGCUUCUUCAAUGCCACAACUCGGCAUUUGCAACGGCUACUCCUAAACGCGAUUGGUUGCAUAUCAAGUGGAAGGUUUGUAGAGCUUUGACUCAGGUGCAUGCACCACCUCCUUUGUCUUGGUUUCUCUUUGGUCCUGAUGUUUUGGGUUGUUUUGACUCUUUGUUUCAUGAGUGGUGGUUGCAAAUCAAAAGUGGUGGUGUUGAAUUGCUAGGUAGAGAUGAUAGAUCCAUGGUUGGAUUGUUGGAUUCCUUCAACUUUUUCAGGUUUCUUGGUUUUGGAAUUGCUUGGCUCGGAUUCUUGUUGUCGGAUCUCUUCAUGAGUUGUCGUUUUGAACCGAGACAAAGUGCAACGACAACUCAAGUCGUCGUUGGUGGCAACUCUCUCUUGCCGGCGGCUAUGGAGGUUGUUAAUGCUAGGGUUUUCAAGUUUGUAGUUAUGUACUUGGGCUUUUUCAUUAAGGCUUGUAAUUUAUACUUUAUGGACCUAACAAGUUAGGAUUUAGUAGAGAAGUGGAGAUGGGCUUUGAACUUUUUAAUUUAUGAAAAAGUUGAAAGCAAAUUUCUAUUCCAUCUUUACCUAUUAUGUAUUUUAUCAUAAUCUUUACUGAUUAACGAAAAUCUCAAUUGUCCAAAAAAACAACUUAUUAUUCAAACCCAGUAGGACUUCUAUAAUGUUUUUCUUAUCUAGUGGUAUAGAAGGAGUAGGAUUGUCAUGAAGAAUGUAAUGCCUAUUAAGUAAGUAGGGAAGUUAUGUAGUUAUGCAGUUAUAUAAUCAUAUUUUAACUUCUGUCGUGAUGGCUAUUAUGAAUUUAUGCAUAAACUUUUAAUUAUUUCUUUUGUUCUUUCUUCCUUUUUUCAAUUCAAUGUGCCUUAUCUGUUUAGUAUCAUUUGGUUUAGUGGCAUAGUCUCUUCUUUAGUAAGUGGGAGGUUGUGAGUUAGACUCACACAGUUGUAAUUUACCCGAUCAAAAAAAAAUAUUUGUGCCUUAUCUAGUGCAUUUGUCAUCUUAGCGACUAUAAUACACAUUUUCUUAACACAAUUGUUCUUAAUAUGAGCUCCAAUUUUUGGGUUUCUCGAAUAAGAAUCAGGUAUGAAUUUGCAUGUCAUCGUUUCAAUGUCUUUGCACGUAAAGAAAUGUUAAAGACACAACCCUGCACUAUAAGAAUGUUAUACAGACACAACCCUGCACUAUGUUGGACAUGAUCCAGCCAUUGUAAUGCAGUGGAUGGUAAGCUAAAUAAAUGUAAGGCUUACCUGAGCCCAUGCAUGAACUAAUAUGCAUGCCAUCGUUAUUGUCCAACAAGUACAUGCAUGAAGAAGGAAACUGCGCCCUUUGUUCAAUAAUUUAAUUUGGUCCAGUACGUUAACCAUCAUUUCAUGCUAGUAAGAAGAAUCAACCAAUUACGCAUAUAUACUAAGAAAAUCGAGAUCGACUCGUAACUACUCUUUUGAAUUCUACAAUCUGGAUUGAGAGUCAUGAUGUUAAGUCUCGCUUUUUUAUCAGGUAAACAAUUUAAAUGGUAGUAGGACUAGUAGUAAUCUUUCGUGACUCAAUCUAGAUACAUAUUGUCUCUUAAUUAUAUUCCCUCGGUAUAGGGAAACACCAUUUGAUUUCAUUUAUGAAGAAACCAAAAUAUGGAUGAGAUGUGGUUAUCUGUUUUUGCGGCUGCACCUAGAUAUUUGAAUGGGUUGCCUAUGUACCUUAGCUGGGAGAGGGAUAAAUUAAGCUACUCAUAGUUUAAGAACUCCAACAAGUGAAUGACUCGUUGGAGGGCUUUGAUUUUUGAAUGAGAGUAGUGUUUAGGACGAAUUUGGUGUAAGUUUGUGUUUUGGACGCGGUUGUAUUUAGAUGAAUUUGUUUCUAGAUCGCCUACAUACCCUUCGCGGGAUCAAACCACAUAGAGUUCCGGCAUUUGGGAUUUAAAUGGGUAGAUGACCCAUUUAUUUUGAAUGUGUUUGAGGUAGGAUUUAAAGCCCUGGAAUUUGGCAUAGACUUUAUUUGUAUCAUUUGGAGAUGAAUUUGAUUUUCUCGUGUUGGGAGAAUUUGACUGGAGUCAAUGAUUCAAUUUAGGACUGGCUGAAUUUGACUGAUGGUGUCAGAGAUUCUGUUUGGAAUUGUGGUUGCAUCUAGUGGGUCACUAGAUUUCCUACGUACCCAUUAUGAGAUCAAACUGACAGUAGUUCAUUGAUUUUGAGUCUACGGUUUUGUACCGACGAGUUUGACAUAUGUAUAUAUAUAUAUAUUUAAUUCAUCAGGUGUAUUUUUCGCGAACACCCAAUUUGAUACAGUGUCUACUGAUUUGACUUGGGCAUUGAGACUUGGAGUAGGUUUCACACUGCUAUAUUUUGGUGGGUAAUUUGGUGAAGCCUGAAACUUGUACCAAACAUGCCUUACUUGACAAUGAGUACUGAUUUGGACCUCAUCAAGUUGAAUAUUUUCAUGUUCAGAUAUGGACUGACUUCUCUGAUGCAGGGACUUCGAUGUAGAGAGUGACCGGCUUGGUAAAAACAGCUGAGUCUGGUCUUUGUACUAAUUUAUUCCCUUUCUGCAACUACUUUCUCUUUGCUCAUGGUUGACCAAGUUCAGUUUGCUGUAUGGUUUUGGACCAUUAGCACCAUGCAUGCACAAACGAUUUUCUUGAGUAGCCACCACUUCUUUCAUUGCACUUCUUUUUACUAAUUAACCAUAAUUUCUUGAAAUGUACAAUUAUUGAUGUGCCUUGAUCAUUUUGUCUUAUUCAUUAGAUGCACCACCGCUUCAUUUAAACAAGAGAUUGUAUCUUUAUUGAUGAGACAUUCAGACCACCGCUUCAGAGACAAAGUUCUAUUUGAUUGGUUUAAAGUCUUAUGUCUCAUGCGUAGAUGCAUGUUGAAUUUAAAUAAGCCAUAGUUAUAGCUCCUAGAAUCUUCGACAUGAGAUUGAUCAAGCAUCUCCCAUGUUUUGUGCCAACAUACUGGAGUAAUCCGUUUGAGGCAGGUUGUGAGCAGUACCUCUGCUGCCUCUGUCGCUUAGUGAUGAUAGCAAUUGCUUCUUCAUUUGUGGCUUUUAUGUUGUGACCAAAGGUGAGCCGAGUCAAACGUCUCUUUGUAGACAACUCAUUGCUACAUGCUUGUUUCGGAUUUGUUGAUCACUGCCUAUGCUUGGUUUUUAUUAGUGACCACGCUGCUUGACAUUGCAUAAAUACUUCGUUGAUAGUCGGGCGACGAGUUAUACUUUCGACCCUAAUGAGAAGCAAGCUAAAGAGGUUUUGACCGCAAGUCAGAAGACGAGUUAUACUUCUGCUCCCUAAUACACUGGACAAUAGGCAUUGGAAGCAAUCCGGAGAGGUGGGCAGCAGAUUGACUCUUUCAUGGUUGCUGACGAGGUAGUUGUCUUGGUCACCAGUUGGAUAAUGCGAGCGAGAGCAACGAUGGAGACUCGAGAGAGAGAUUUUGUAGUUUUUCAUGGAUCGUACUUAUAACGACGUUAGAGAAACGUCUGUGUCUUAAAAUGGAGCUCCGUUAUUUCAUAUGAUAUUACUACAAUUGUAUAUACUUGUGACAAUGAUGUUCUUCGUUUGCCUUCUCUUGUAAAACUUUAAAGGAGUGUAGUAGAACUUGCUCUUGAGUACGUGGUUUUUUGCUCUUCAAUUUGACAGAGGUUCUAUACUCUCUCUUUUCUUUUUCUUUUUUUCUUUUUUUUGCCUCUCUCUCCCUCUUUUUUUUCUUUGAUCGAUAUGUUUUUUUUUGUUUCUCUCAUUUCUACUUGCUCCUCCCUUCUUUUUUCUCUAUUUUUUGCUUCUGCCUUUGUCGUUCUCCUCUCCUUCUCCUCUUUGUUAUGGCUAUAAAGAGCUAUAAAUAUAGAGACUCAAGUGAACCAAUAGCCAUAAUUUAAUCUUAACCAUUUGUUUGAUCUCGAUGUAUAUAUAUGACACUAACACCAACACUAACACCGACACUAACACCAACACUAACACCAACACUAAAGAGAAUUGAAAAGACAAAAGACUAGUCAACUUGGUAAAAAACAUAAAAGUACGUAAAUUUGAAUCAAUUUAUUAAACAAGAGGGAUAAAAUUUGGAAGCUCCCUCGAUACCCAAAAAAAUGAAAGAAUUCAACCUCAAGUUUCAAGUGUGGUCAAGUUUCAAGUGUGGUAAAUCCUACUUGAACAUGCAAGCGUCUCAACUAGAGGAAGAACAAAACAAACAUUGAAGUAAAUUGUUUACCGGUGCUAAUGAGUGAAAUCUAGAUGUGCAAUGGGGGGCGAGUACAUCAAUCAUAUCCCUGCCAAAUUCUUACCAUGGAUUUUAUUAUGAGAAAAACUGAAAAUUGAAGCAACCAUAAUAAAAUCCAAAUUGAAGAAGAAGAUAGAGGCCUUUUGCUUUUGCAUUCAAUUGGAGGAAGAACCCACAACUUUAUCAAUUAGAGAUCUUUUCUGGGGUAUAAUAUCAGAGUAGCUGGCCGGUUUGAUUGUUUGAAGAUAAAGAGGCUUUAAGUAUGUCGUAUUUGGCUGGGUUUCGGGAGAGACCAUGUUUUGGAGGCGGGGAGAUGGAGAGAAGCUGAGUUCGAUCUUUUAACUGUAGUUGUUGGAUUUUCACCGCAGUUUUGACUCUUUUAUCAUUAACCAAUGUUUGUUUGACUGUUAAUCAUAUAUAAUUGGUUCAAGUGCAUCAUGGUGCACUGAAUCCACUCUGAUACUUUGAAUUCGAUUUGUUCAAAUUUUGAAUACCUCAAUCUUAAGCGACCGUCUAUCUUAAUUGAAGUUAAGCUAGCUCGCUUCUUAUCUCUUUAUUACUCCAACAUGGUUGAGUUCGAUCUGAGCCACCACACUUCUCAUUUUGCAUAUAUCUGAACUUGUAUAUUGAACCCAAGAGGUAGAGCUUGUAAUCAGGUUCUAGAUAAGUUAAUAUGUUUUGAAAUAUUUUGAAUGACUUAAAGGUUGAAAUUGUGUGGGUCAGACCGUCAGACGACAUAUCUUCUUUGUGUCAUAUUUGAAUUAAUCAAACAACCAAUUACAUAAACCAAUGAAAGAUUAAUUGGAUAUGUAUUUUGAUCCAUCGACGUCAUUUGUAUUUUGUAAGACUAACAGACAUUUGGUUAGCCUUGCUUGCCAUUUGAUUUUAGUCAAAGCUAGCAAAUUCAUUUCGGUCUAUUUUGAAAUUAAAGACCAUCGAUUACCAUGUAAUUUUGAACUUGUGAUUUUUUUGGUUAUAACACAACAUCGCCAACUUAAACAUUGGCGACAACAAACUGUCAGCUACCGAAGCUGAGCUCAAAAUCACCACCGAGAACAAACAAACACGAGGACCAGAACAUUUGUGUUGUACGACCUCCUCUACCUUUAUCAAUCUCUUUUCGAUUAUUUAGCUUCAGUUAAGGUCUUGAACUUUUGAUACAUUUUGUAAUGAAUGCUGGUGACUAAUAAAGUUGUGAUAUAUUAUCUUAUAACAAACGCCACACUGUAUAGCCUAGAGAGUAAGUUAAAUUGUUGUAAAUCUCUCUGUAUUCCUUGGGUUAACAUAACAAGUCUCAUAUAUGCCGUUUGUAACCUAUCCAGAAGAACAAGACAUUGUAUCUUGGUGAACUUAGUAUAUGUAUAUGACUGGUCUUGAAUUCAAGUAUUGACAUGAGGUUAAAGACUUUACAUAAUCAUGAAAGUUAAUCUCAUUAACCUGUAAGAUUUGAAAUUAGAAUCUAAUGAAUACAGUUAUUAAGAAAAAUCUAAUUAAGGAAGUUAUAAGGCAGUUGACAUAGCAGUUGUUUGAUGAAGUAACUGUUAUAAAUAAACUGAUAUAUAUACUAGAUUUUGGUCCCUGCUUGUACACACGCUUUUCUCAAACACAGUCCCAUUAACUCCGAGAAAUCUAGAAGUGUAACAAGGAGAAGAUCCAAAAUUGCUGAUCCAAAAUUGCUGAUCCAAGUUCACCAACAAGUUUCCAAAAGACAAAUACGUUAGCAAAAGAUUAAGGCACUCCAAAUGCGCCAACAUAAGUCUAAAGGAACCCAAGACAUCACAAGAUCACAUGGAUCAAUCAAGGUUUUCCGGGCAUGUUUUCAAUUUCAGUUAUGUAAAUUUCAGUUUCCGGAUAAGGAUAGAUAUAGAUGUAACUAUCCCGAAAACACAAAAAGUUCAAGUUCAUGUAUUCAUUAUGAGAUAGAUUUUGUUAAGUAUCAAAUUCAGUUCUUACACCGUUAGGUUGCGGUUACUUAGUUUGGUAGUUGUAAACUUUGAAUCGUUUGCAAUUGUUUAUGGUUUAUUAUGUAUUUGUUUCAUUCUACAAUUUUGUCAUUUUCUCAAUCAAGAGCUUUACAUUUUCUCACCAACGCGUUAUUCAUCUAGCCACAACGUCCUUAAAAAUAUCAAACUUUUACAGCUACCAAGAAAAAAACUAUUAUUUUUUAUACGAUGGAAAAAAAAAUUGUUUCUUGUAUGUUUCUCAACUGCCAGAAACAUUUAAGAAUAGUCAACUCAGAAAAACACACGAAACACAGAUAAUUUAAAUCAAAUUUUAUCUCCAGAUACGUUGAACGUCUCUGACAACUAUAUCAAAAUAAAAAAAAAAUUUCACCGUUUUUUUCACUUUAGCUAGACUCAAGACAAUAUACAUCUAGGAAAAAUAGAUAGAGAUUUAACCGGUAUGAAAUAUUUGUUUUGUUAGAGAUUCCAAACUUUUUGUUGACAUAUGUAUGAAAAUAGUAAUUGCAGCCUGCUAGAAAAUAGUUUGUAAAGUCCCUUUGGAAAAUGGACAUGAUGUAGAUAUUCAACAUUCAUUAGAUUGAACAUAAGAAACUAGCUAUGAGCCUAUGACUAAUCAUGCCACUAGUAUCGAUGAUGAAGUAAUUGAUUCUGAAUCGGAAACAUUAACGCAUAUUUUGAGGCAGUCAACGCGUCUAAUAUGCAAAUUACACCUAAUAAGUUGAAUUUCUUCAAUCUUAUCCCAAUAUUUUUUUAUUAGUAAACAUCAUUACAGCAUGCAGAGAUUUUCCACAACUGAUUCUACAACUGCAUAGUAGGGCUUGCCCACAUACCUACCUUCUUUAAAACACUAGUUGUCCAUUUUAAGGUUGAAAAAUAUAACUUUUUAGUAAAUUUUCAAUACAAAUGUGUCAACAAAUUGGGACGAGGGGGAGGAGGUUUGGUGAGGUAAGAAUAGUGAGAUAAUUUGUUUUAAACAUUUCCAGUUCUUUCUUCAAAAAAAAAAAAAACACUUUCCAGUUUAGGCCUUAAUUAGUACUCUAAAUCGAAUGCUAUAAGAGUAUUUGGACAUUGGUCUUAGUAUAUUUAACCAAAUGCUAAAAGAGUAAUUGAACAUUAGUUUCUUUAAAUUAGAAUCGUCACUUAUAUUUUGAGAUACCAUAUGUUAUACAAGGAUUUACUUAUUAGCAUUUUGCCUGAAAUUUUGUAAUUUGAUAUUAGGUGUCUUAUGAGUUCACGAAGGCUUUGCUUGUAAUUUAUUUGAUUUUUUUUUUAAAUAAUCCAAAUCGUUCUUGAACGUAUCUUACCCACGACCUUAGUAUACCUUCUUUUUCUUGUGCGUACUGUAUUUUUCUCGUUGGCCCAACCACAUCGUUAUGCCUUUGUGGGCCUAUAGCCUUUCGGUGUGCGAUGAGCAUGGUUAAACAAGAAUGUGUGGCAAUACAAUGGUUUGGAGGUUAAAUCUAUUUUGAUAUGGAUUGUAAAAGGGUAAUCGAAAUUCUAAGUGAAAGCGUCUGGUGGUUUGGUGUCGAUUGGUUGUAGCUUCAUGGAGUGGGCAGCGACAUUGACUGACUUCUUGGUGUGUGUGCAAAAAUGAAAGAGACUGAGGACAACAUGUAGUAGGGUGGCAAAAUUCUCAAUUUGUCACAGUUUAUUAAGUUUUAAGGAUAAUGAAGCAUGUCAUCGUCGUUGGUUGUCGGUGUGGCGGUGGAGAUAAGGCGGUGACGCAUAUAGGGUGAUUCCAGGAUUUGGUAAUUAUUGGGCUUGUGAUAUAUGUUGCGUUAUUGGCAUGAGUCAUGUUAUUGGAUACUUGAUGGGCUCUACCUCUAAUUUCAAAUUUUGUGUUUUCUAAUAUGGUACGGUUUUAAUUUAUUUAAAGUUUUGAUUACAAUAAGUUCCUAUCAAAUUGUUGUCGGGCUAAAUGUAUGUGUGUACAAUCUCAAAAAAAAUAAGGUAUCUCUGUACACACACAAAGUGCCUUGUGUAUAUAUCAACCUUAAUAAUUUCUUAAAAGGGUUAGUGUGGCUGCCCUUAAACAUUGAUUACUGGAAUACAAGUAUAGGUUUUAAUGAAAUGAAAUGAAAUUGCAUAAUAGAAAGGGACAAGAAUCACAAUAUAAACAGAACUACGGUAAUAAUACCAUAAAUCUUCAACCUUUGCUAAGUUUUUUAUUAAACGACUUAAAAGGGCAGCUCCAACAGCUUUUAUUUCAAUAGGAAAUAAAAAAACCCUAAAGCUAAGCUUCGAAUGAAACCCGACCUAGCUCUGUUAGAAUUGGUUUUUGUACUGCUUGCUCUAAUUUGGAAGAGUGCGGUUAUUAUGACCUCUAAAUUUACUCAUUAUACCUCUCAUUCUCUCCAUACCUCAAUUUUAUUUUUAAACACUAACGUUUGCUCACUUAGAUCUCCAUUCAAAUUUCUAAAAUAACUUUGUUUAUAAUAUUCACGUAUAUUUCAAUAUAUUAGUCAUUACACAUCUUAUUCACUCACUAGACCUCAAAUUUUUUUUUCUUUAUCGUUCAUUAAAAACUCAUUAUCUCUGAAAUAAAAAAAUAAUACUCAUUAUAAUUACUUUUCACGCUACAUAUAUCAAUUAUAAUUUCAUUCCUUAAUUUAGGUACAUAAAUCUUUUAAAAUAAAAUGAUACAAGGUAUUGAGUUUCAAAAAUCUAUUUUUAUCAACAAGAUUAUUCUCUAACAUUCUUUUCUAUUUUACCUCUGCUAAACAACGAUCGAUCAAGGAUAACCACUUUGUCUCUAUGUAUGUUUUUUUUUCUCUAUUUUAUGUAACUCAUGAUAUAUUAUUUCAAUCGUUAUUUAAUUUUUCAUAAUUAAUAUUUUUUUUUGGCAUAUAUAUUCCUUCACCUUGUAUAUGCUUUCGACAUGUUUAUUAAUAUAAACUUUUAUGUCACUUAAUCGAUAUUAUCAUAGUUUUAACUCUUAUUAAAUAAAUAAAUAUUUUAAUAAUAUGUAGUAAAUUAGAAAAUGAAUAUAUAUAUAUAACGAAAUAAUAAAGAGUACAUCAUAUUAUUGAAUUAGAAAGUCUAAAGAGAAUAAAUAUAGUUAUAUAUAUUAAAAAUUGAUGACGUGACGUGUCGGAAGUUGAGGUGGCGUGUCAGUCAAUGUGUCGAGACGUGUCGGAAAAGUAAACAUUUUCCGAUACGCCACGUGGUGUGUUGGACACAUAUCGGGCCGUGUUGGAGGCGUGUCCCCAUGUCAGGCGUGUCGGACCCUUGGACACUCCAGGGGUGUGAAGUGCCCGUGGAACAUAGAAAUAUACUAUUUCUUUAUAUAAUAAUUGUCCUUAAUAGUGAUUAUGUAUAAUAAUUGUCCUUAAUAGUUAUCAUGUAAGAUAAUAUAUUUGUUAUUUAAUAACUCACGAUAAAGUGAGAAGUGAGUAAAAUUAAAGGUCCCAAUAGCCGCACAUUAAAUGGAAUGAGCUCUUAUAGCAUCUCUAACGAUAGUGUUAAAUUUUUUGUCAAAUGACGUGGCAGUGUCAAAUUUAUACAAAACCUUCUCCGAUAGAAAAGUCAAAUAGCAACAAUAUUUUACUUUUUUUCAAAAUUUUCUUACUUUUUUAUAUCUUGCUAUUUCUCUCUCUUCUCUCUCUGCCAGUCUAUGCUUCUCAUUCUGUGCUUCUACUUCUGAGGAGACUAUAACCAGAUCAUGUACAUACCCAUCUUAAAACAGAUCUAGCAAUCCAAAGAAAAAUAAAAAUGCAGAACGUCAUCUUCUUCAUAUUUCCUCCCUUUGGCUCUUGAUUCCCUACACAUCUUAAUCUUCUUCUUUCUUCUUUCCUCCCUAGCUUCCUGCUCUUGAUUCACUACAGUAUUUAGAAGCCCAAAUCGCAUUCCCACUCUUCAGAAACUCAAAUCGUCCUAAAAUCUUAAUAGCAAUUUGAAUCCUACCCAAUCCUAUAGUCUUCCCACUCAUCCCAACAAAAUGUUAACAAAAAAUGCCUAGAAUAGAUCUGGGUAGGAAGGAAGAGAGAGUAGCAGAAGGAAAUAGAGAGAAGAACAGAGAGCAUUGAGGUAUUAAACAAUCAAAUAAAGCAAUUUGACAAUAUUGAGAGCACGGUCAAGUUUGACAUAGAGAAGGAGAUUGUCAAAUCCAUGUAGGAUUUGGGUGGUUCAUUGGAGUGAAUGUUUGUGUCAAAUGUAACCGUUUGAGCUCCACGCUGUCAUUUGAUUAAGGAGUAAAAUAUCGAAGAUCAUGAAAAUUUCGAUGAUUCGAAAAAAAGAAAAUCUCGAUGGAUAUAUUGAGAUAAUAUUGAAUAUGGAUGAAAAUUUUACCAAAUUUUAUCUAAAAGUUGUAUAUUCAACCAAAAAUAAACUAAAUAUAAAAUAUCAAAAAUAUAUAAAAAUUAAUAUCAAUAAUUAUAAAAAACAAAAAUAAAAAUAUCGAGAAUAUUUUAGAUAUUUUACUCUUGCAUUUGACAGUACGGUCGGAGUUGCACUUACGAAGAAAACCCUAAAGGUGUGCUACCCUAUUUCCCGCCAAAAUGACCCUAACAUUUUCCACACAUGAGAACUCUCUUCACUCUUCCCUUUUACAGUUUCCUCAAGUUCCAAAAAUGGCGUCUGCAAUUCCGGGAACAAACCCUAGAACCUCGAAAACCCGGUACCGCAUCGGAGACAUCGAUGUAGAGUUCCCCUACCAGCCUUACGGCGCCCAGAUGGCCUUCAUGAGCAGAGUCGUCUCCACUCUCAAUCGAGCUGUCAGCGACGGCCACUGCCACGCCUUGCUCGAGUCUCCCACCGGAACCGGGAAAUCGCUCUCGCUUCUCUGCUCGAUUCUCGCUUGGCAGCAGAGCUAUAAGGCCAAGAACAUGUACACCAAUCUAUCACACUCCAAGCCCAACCCCAAGGCCAUGACCGACCCCAAGGGACACGGCGGAGGCUUUGUUCCGGAAGAGGAGAGGUCAAGUGAGUCUGAUUCUGCAUUUGUGUUCAAUUUGAGUGGUCAAGUUUUGGUCUUGGUCAGAAAUUAGGUUAUAUGAUGAGGUCAAUUCUGGGAUUAGAAUUGUUGUUUGUUGAUUUUGGAUGCGUAAUUUGAAGUUUUUUGAUGGCCCAUGCCGGGAUUUUCAAUUGAUCCUGUAUUAGUUUCGGAGUUUAUUCUUUAUUUAUGGGUCAUGAAUUGUUAUUUGUGUUGCGUCAAUUGAAAAUUUUAGAGUAAUGUAUGUAUAUUUUUGUAGGUGCUCAGCAAUUCGAAAAGCCAGGGCCGUCUCAGUCUGGCGAAAAUCGGAAGAAAAAGGCAGCUCCUACCAUAUACUAUGCAUCGUAAGUUGGUUAUCUGCAGUAUCUUUUGUUACUGAACUAGUUUCUUUACAUUGGAAUCGUCACUAGUUAAUGGGAAAAAAGGAUGACAUUCCACUUAUAAGAAUAUGCGGUAUUAAACAAGUUACUUGGGGACUUGUUUAGUUGUUAUAGUUCAUAUUCAGCAAUAGAAUUGAACAAAUAAUGAACUUUAAAGUAUUUUGCAAAUCUGGAUUCCUUAGUUAAGAUAUUGAUAUUCUUCUUCUCUAUUUAAGGAGGACACAUUCACAAAUUUCUCAAGUCAUCCGUGAAUAUCGAAAAACUUCCUACAGGGUUACUAUGGCAGUGUUGGUAAGUCUGGUCAUGUUGAUCUUAGAUCUCUAUAAAGGUUUGGCAUGGAAUGACAUUAAUAUUUUCAAUUCAUGGUUUGUUUCACCAAUUUCAUGAUAAAUACCUGGUUGGGAACGAUGAGCUUCUGCAACAUGGGUCUAAUUCUAGGAACGAUUACCUUGGAGAUGACUUUGUAUAUUGUGUUGCAAACGCUGAUAGGUCCUGAGGACUUGUUUUGGACAAGAGUUAUAAGUGUAUGAUUGAGACCUGUUGGAAUAGAGCUUAUGAAAAACCUGUAGACGCAAGCUUGUAAAUGUAUGAUAAAGAACUCUUCUGAAAAUUUUCAUCUUCUCUUCAAUCUUUUUUCUUUUUCAAAAAGUACCUCUGAAUUGGUUCUGUCUAAGUGGUCUUAAUUUUUACUAAUCAUUUUUUGGGUCAAAAUUGGUGCGGUUCAGACUUCCAAAAUGAUAGUCGCGCUUGUUUUUCACGCAUUUAUUUUUUUGUCCCAGGCCUCUAGGAAGCAUUACUGCACAAAUGCGCAAGUACAUGGGAGAGAGAAUAUCGAUGAAGAAUGGUACACUUGAAACAGAUUUUUGUUUUUACUUUGCUGUCUGUCUAUCUGUCUCUCUUUCUAUCUUCCCCUCUAAGGCAUGUUAUUGGAUUAUCUCAGUAAGCUACUUUUGAAGGAUCGAGCCGUUGGAUGCGUAGAGUUUAAGUGAGUAAUUUUUUUAUUCAAGUACACCCUUUUUCUAAUUUUCUGCAAAUCAAUGAUGUAAUUAGGAGUAUAAUCUUUUAGAACAAUAUAGCUAAGAGUAUAAAUUUGAAUUUUAAACAGAAAUGUACACAAAGUCAAAGGACAUCCAUCUCUUCAGAAAGGAGGCUGCCAUGAGGCCUACGAUAUUGAGGAUCUCGUAAAAGUUGGAAAAGCUGUCAAAGGUCUACUUUCUUGUGAUAUGCGUCAACAAAUGUUCUUCAUAUCUAUGGCUAAGGCUCACUGAUGUUCUUUUCAUUUUCAGGUUGUUCAUAUUAUGCUGCCCGUUCUAUGUCAGAAGAUGCAGAAUUGGUUUUUUGUCCAUAUAACUACAUCAUUAAUCCAGUCAUUAGGGGAGCCAUGGAAGUAGAUAUCCAGGGGUCUAUUGUAGUUCUGGAUGAAGCCCAGUAAGUUGUACCACUUUAUAUGUAUUGUUUGACAUUGUCUUUUGCACAUCAUUCUCUUGUUAUUGACAACGCUGGUAAAUCAAAUGCAUAAGCAAUCUGAGUUCUUAUUGAGAAUUCUAACCUUUUGUUUUCUACCUUCAACUUUGAGGUCAUCAUAUGUUUCACUUCCUUAUGCAUCUCUGUAAGCACGUUUAUGAAAUAAUAGUUGAAAAAACAAUUUCCAGGCUACUUUUUUAUAUGACGAUAGGAGUAUCUAUAAUAUUGAGUGCAUGCAGAAAAAUUAUUUUGAGUAGUUAGUCUUAAGAUUUUAUUAAAAAAUUCUUGGUUCCAACGUUGUCCCCCCUUGGUGCUUCAUUAUGUGGAUUCAUUUUCCUGCUGGAUGCAAAUAAAAGGAGAUCUUUCCUUGUUACUUUCUAAAAGCUUAUGCUGCUGUAAUUGCUGAUUUUGAACACCCUAAGGGCAUCUCCAACAAUCUUACCUAAUACUCAUACUCAAACUCAUUUUUUGACUCACCUAAACCCAUUACUAUUCAAACUCAUAUUUCAUCUCCAACCAUUAUGUGAAAACCCAUACUCAUACUCAAAUUUGAAUCAUUUUAUUUAAUUAUUUACUGUUGGAAGCCAAUAAAUAUAACACAUAGUGGGAGGACCCACUUGCUCAUCCCAUCAACUACAUGUAGAGCGCGUCAGCCACAAUCAUCCAGUUUUUUUUUUCAUUUUUUAGUGCACGUAUAAUACACUUCAUCACCUUGCGCGUCCAUGUCCUAGCCUUCUCCCUUCUUCACGUGUCUCUCUCUUCUCAUGGGUCCCGCGCCAAUGAAAUGAGUUUCCUUCCAGGGAGUCGACCCAAAAUGGGUCACUUCGUUAGUAGGAACCCAUUUAUGGGUUUGAGUUUUAAUGGUUGGAGAAGAAAUAUUUUGGGUAUUGAGUUUGGGUAUGGGUUUUGUGACCCUUGUUGGAGAUGCCCUAAGAGUUAGCUAAUCUAAGAACCCUAAAAUUUAUGCUGCUGUAAUUGCUGAUUUUGAACACCCUAAGAGUUAGCUAAUCUAAGAUCUGAUUUUCUUCUGUUCGUAACUAUGAUUUUAUGAUUUUGUCUUUGAUGUCAUGUUGGCUACAUAGGAACUGCAUGUUUUGAGCUGAAUCUUUUUCAAGGCUCUCAAUUGAUAUGUUUUUGUAGUGUGUUGCUCAUUUUCUUUCUAAUAAAUGUAAGCCAUUAUAUGCUCAUGUUAACCUGCAUCAGUUGAAGGUCUGAUUUCUAUUUACAUGUGAGUUUCUUAAAAAUACUUUCAACCCACCAUUCUGCAGCAAUAUAGAGGAUGUAGCUCGUGAUGCUGGUAGUGUGGAUAUUGAUGAAGAAGUUUUGAACAGUAAGAAACGAAACUAGUAUACUGUCAUUCCAUGUCACUAUCUAUGUCUUAUCUAGUGUCCAUACCUUCUAAAAGAAUUGCAGAUGGAACUGGAGCAGCUUUGCCCGCUGGAUGUUUUGGUUUACCAACCUCUGUAUGAAAUGAUACAGGUUUUAUUUUAUAUAUUGCACUCGUGUUUGUUGCAGUUAACUGUCCUGUUUGAAUAUUUGGUCAUUAAAGUGCUAUUUCCAUACAGGACCUCUUAAGUUGGAUUGAGCGAAGGAAAGAUAAGUUGGAAAAACGUGAAUUUCAGCACUUUGUCUCUUGGUAAGGAUUUUGGAUGACAUGUUCUUCAACUUCUUAGUUUUAUUAGGCAUUCAGUUAAUAGUUAAAAUGAAGUAAUUGUUCAUGGUAUACCAGGCCACUGGGGCACGAUUAGAUUUACAUGAACAAAAGAAAGCAAAAUGAGUGCCUAAUCUUUCGACUAUUUCUCUGGUUAUAAUUAAAUCUAAUGCAUGUUUAAAGUAUUCAUAGUGUGAAGGGAUUAUAUGCUUUUUAACUGGAGCUUUUAUGUUUUUUGAUUUUGUAAACUGGCAAUUGUAUUUUCUAUUCAUCUCAGAAUGAAUAUUUCUUCUUUCUUUCGGGGCUUCAUUUUUGGUUUGUUAUGUUAUAGUUGGACCGGUGACAAGGCUUUGAGAGAACUCCACGAAGCUAAUAUAUCACAGCAGUGCUUCCCAAUCUUACUUGAAUGUGCCACAAAGGUAUUUUAGUUAUAAACAUUUGUGAUGUUUCAUAAUAGUUUUGUGCUGUUUGUUAUUCUUUUUGUUUCUAUCUUCAGGCAAUCAAAGCUGCUACAGAUAAAGAAUCAGAGGUACCCCAUUUAAGUGGCAUGGCUGUUGUGAUAUUGGAAGGUAAAGACUCGUAAUUGAUAUGUGUACAUGUCCCAAGUUUAACUUGACUAGUAUUUAAUUGAGUUUCUAUGAAAAUAUCACAGGAUUGUUCUCUUCGCUUACUUACUUCUUCUCAAGAAAUGGGUCUCAUAUGGUCGAUUAUCAGCUUGCUUUACAGAGAUAUGUUAAAAGAGAUGUUGGUAAGCAGUUCAUUAUUUAGGAACAUCUGCCCAGUCUUUUCCAUUCAAAAUAUUUUCGGUCCACAAGGUCAUUAACUCAUUAUAAUUGAAAUCAGUGAUGUAAUUAGUACAGCUGCCAUAUCUUACACAUGUGGUCUUUUGUUUAACCUUUUUAAAUUCAUCUAUAAUGAGAGAUAUAAUUAUAGAUGAUGCAUAAGAACUGGAUGAUAGUUUGACGAGUCCAAUUAUGUCAAUGGGAUUUAUAUUCCUCUUUGUUGUACUAUCAUUCAUAAUCAAAGAGUGAGCUGCAGCUUGAUAAAGUAUGUGUUGUGACAUUGUAUCAGGACAUUUUGGUGAUUGGACACAUACAUUCAGUUUGUGGUGCUUGAAUCCUGCUGUUGUGUUUCAAGAUAUCGCGAAUCUUUCAUUGUCAGUCAUUUUAACAUCAGGGUUAGUAUGAUGCAAGUAAUACUGUAUUACUGCAUAUUCAUUACUAUUUCUUAAAAAUGAGGAUGUAACUAUAUAAGUGUUGUUUUGUACUUAUGACGGACCACCACAGGUUUCCUACUUCUACUUGUCAAUUUCUUCACCCCAAGUUUCAGUUGCAUGACAUUCCGCUAGGUAGAAUAUUUAUUACGACAACAAUAAUCUGUUCUUUUUUGAUAUUAGGACUUUGUCACCAAUGAAUUCCUUUUCAUCUGAGCUUGGCCUUAAGUUUGGAAGUACUUUGGAAGCUCCCCAUGUAAUUGAUGUUGAAUCACAGGUAUGUCAUUUCUCUGUUCUUUUACUGAUGAUUGAUUCGUGAUGGUUGCACCACUCUUGUAGUUACAAGGUGUCACCUUUACUACUGCAGGUUUGGCCUGCUAUUAUUUCUACUGGCCCACAUAAUGUGCCAUUGAACUCAAGUUACAAGACAGCAGAUGAAUAUGCCUUUCAGGUAAUUUGGAAAAAUUAUAUUAUCUUUAUCUUAAACAGGUCUUUUUUCCCAUGCAAAAUUAAGUUUGUCUAAUGUUAUUUUAAAGGAUGCACUUGGAAAAUCCUUAGAGGAAAUUUUCAAAAGUGUGCCGGGUGGGUGUCUUGUGUUCUUCCCAAGUUACAAGCUAAUGGGGAAGUUGGGCAAGCGUUGGCGUGAAACAGGACAAUGGUCUCUGCUGAACGAAAGAAAGUCCCUUUUUGUUGGUGAGGCUGUCUAUUCCUUAUGCACUUCUCAUUUUAAGCAGGAUUGGCAGACUGCUUUAAAAGUCAAAGUUAAGAUCCUAUAAUUCUACGUUACACGCCUUAUUUUAGCAUUUCUGCAGAGGUAUAUAAGAGUUGCCAUUUUAUGGUUUAUGUGUAUACUGAAAGUUCAUUUCUCUCAUUGCUAUUUUCUCUAUGGAUAAUCGUGAACUUAUUGCAGAGCCCGGUGGAGGAGACCAGGAGGAAUUUGAGUUUGUACUGAAGGGUUAUUAUGAUUCAAUUCGUCGGGGCAAUAAGCCUACUUUUGGGAGAAAUAAAGGUGCUAAUAAGAAAUUAACACAAAGUAGCUUCACUGCAGUCAAGUGUGCACAAAAGAAUAACACUGAUGGAGCUGCUUUACUGGCUGUGUGCCGAGGAAAGGUGAACAUGAUUCUUUUCCUGAAAAUUGAUAUUGAUAGGACAUAUUGUUGAAAUUGAUAUGCUCCAUUCUUGCAUUGUGCUUGCAGGUUUCAGAAGGAAUCGACUUCACGGAUGACAACGCUCGAGCUGUGGUAUCCUUUUUCUCAUUAAGUGUAUACUGAGUUUUCUUUUUCGUUCUUUUGUUUUGCUAAUUUUUCCAGAGGUGGCUAGAUGUAUUGGAGAGGAGCUUGUUAAGUUUAGACAUGAUAAUUCUAGUAAAUUGGUCACAUUUGUACAGUAGUACCAUGGGCAUUUGUUUCAAGAUCUUUCACUGUCAGUUUUAUCUUAACCAUCUCAGAUAAUUGUGGGAAUUCCAUUUCCCAACAUGUAAGACACUUUCCUUUCAUAAAUACUGCUGCUGGAGCUACAAUGCUGUAUAUAAACAAUUUGCUAAAUGUUUAUUUUUCAUCUUCUUUUUAGGAAUGAUAUCAAGGUUUCCUUAAAGAAGAAAUACAAUGAUACAUAUAGGUCAUCCAAGGGCUUUCUGAGUGGAAAUGAAUGGUACUGUCACCAAGCCUUCCGAGCUUUAAAUCAAGCUGCAGGUACCCUGCUUUUAGUUUCAAUCUUUCAAAGUGAGAUCUUGACUCACAUAAUUCUCUGUGCUUUUGGAGAUUGUUCAUUAUAUUAUCUAAAACUUUUCAGAAAUUUUCAUUACUAUACUGAUUUAAUAGCCUUCUGUGCACUAUCUGACAUAUUAAUUCUAAAGUUUUAAUUGUUUUUGGUUUCUGUAGGACGUUGUAUUCGACAUAGAUUCGAUUAUGGAGCUGUCAUUUUGUUAGGUAUUUGUUUCUGAAUAUACUUGUCUCUCGAAUCACUAAUAAUGUUUUCCCUAGAGAUAUUUUGCACACAAAGUUUAAACUUCAAACCCAAGUAUAUAUUUCUUUUCUGAAGUUACUCAAGGAUUGCCUUCUCAAUGUAGUCAGUCCUCAAUUUAAGUAAAAGAGUUAUUAAACUACAAUUUCUUUGGUAUUUACUUUGAAUGCAAGUCUCUAUAUUUUGCUCUUUCCAUAUCUACUUUUUCGCGUUUUCUUCACUAGUUUUAAUUUUUUGUUGCAAGCAGAUGAACGUUAUAAGGUAGGAAGAAAUACAGCAUAUGUGUCAAAGUGGCUAAAGAAAUCUAUCAGACAAUAUGAAAGAUUUGACAUGUCAAUGGAGGAAUUAAGAUCCUUUUUCAGCAAUGUAAAGGUUAGCUGCAUGUUCCAAUUAUCUCUGUAACUGAUUCUACGUUUUCCAUUGUUUUUCAUGGAGAACAAUGUUACGUAAUUGAUUUUGGUUAUCUUCAUGCAGGAAAGGGUAAGCAAGAAAAUGGUCAGUGUGUCACAGUGUUCUGACACUAGAAAGAAAAUCAUUCUUUCUAUGGAUCACGAUAAAGGGUUUACAAGACUGAAAGAUCAGAAUUUGGAUAAAUCUGAUCAUCAAGGACAGUCAAAAACUUAUGAAGGCAAGCACAAUUCGAUACUGACAUCUCAAGGUGAUCUUGAUGUUCUGAGAUUGUCACGAAUGGAUGUUUAUGCUGACCAUAGCAAGGACUUUAUCAGUAUUGAAUCUACUCCUCAGAAAUAUACAAGGUAAACAUUGAGUCUACUUUUAUCAUUCACUAAAAUUUGAAUAUCCUUUAGGUGUUGGGCUGGACACCCGUGGCAGUUGUUUAUAGUAGUUUCAUUUUUGAACUCAAAUUUGAGUGUCUGUAACCACUAGGCAAAGAGUAGACUGAAAGUAGGUAAACUUUGUUGAAUAGAACCAAUGAUCGAGCUCAGUUUUCUUCCUCUAUGAAAAUUAUCUCUCCAUUUAGCCAUUCUCAGAAUACUUGUUAUAUUGAUGCCUUUCAAUAUGAUUAUAUUAUUGCAUUAUCAGACGGGAAGUGCUAUUUGUUUUGUUUCCCAUGUCUUCUGAGCUACUACAAAUCUGAGCUCACGAGUAGUUCAUGAUUACACAUAAUUUGCACAUCUUAACUUUUGCCGGAGCUCUAUAUUUUCAUGAUUACAUAGGUGUAGCAGUUUAGGUCUCUCUGUCCCAGCUAGGGCUUCGCUUAGAUUGGUUAUUAUAGGGGGGAUUUCAGUUUGCUGCAUCUUCUUAGGGAGGAACAUCGUUCUACAUGUCUGUCAGAAACUGUACUAUUGAAGUUGUAUAUUUCAUCUUAAUUGUGUAGGUUAUAUAUGCAGUUGCCUGCAGAUUCUUGACUUGAUCAGGAUGGAUUUGAUUAUUAUUUCACUGCAGGACUUUUUUUAUGCUGUUAAUUGCUAGCUAGUAGAUAUGUUUUGACACACAUAACUAAACAGUCGAAUACUUUCCCUGAUCAAAGCCAUCUUUUUCAGGUACGCUAAUCCAUCUUUGUCCAUCGCAUUGUCUGAUGCCGAUCCAGACAUCUCAAUUGUCAAGGAAACCCCUUGUACGGAUGGCAUCUUUUCCACAUGCAGUCCAGGAUCAAUUAUUAAGGAUGAGAAGUCCUGUUCGACUUCAACUACAGUUGAGUCCUCUCCUUUCUUUUCAGACCAGUUCUCAUUUCAAUCGACAUCGUUAAACAAUUGUAGCAAUGCUUCUCUAAAGGCCCAGUGUUCUGUAGCCACCACUCCUGAAAAGAAUGCAACUUUGAACUCUUACAGCUCAAUGAUGGAAACAGAAUCAUCUUUGGAUAUGAGUGUUAAUUCUCAUACCCAGAAAAGGAGAAAGUCCAUGCAUUCAUCCUUGGUCAACUCCAGUCAGGGACAGUCUGAUGGUGCUUCUGAUUCUAAAACUCCUGAUUGUCCUGGUUCCAUAAAAGACACAUUGACAAAUAGAGAUGCCAUUCGCAAAAUUGAAUUCAGUGAGACUAAUUAUUCAGACCACUACUGUAAGUCCAAAGUUCAUCAUCCGCUCCCAAGUAGUUGUGGCGCUUUAUCUAUGUCAGCUGGUACUGUCAUGGACAAAAGACUAGAAAUUUGUUGCUCACUCUGCAAAAGCCCAUUGGGCUUACCUGAGAAUAAUCUACAUGUUACAUGCUCAAUAACUUCGUCAUCAAAACUUCACUUAGAAUCUCUUCAUAACGAAAUAUUGAAGUCUCAAACUGGGAAGAUAUCAGCAGGCAUACGCGUACUGAUAACUGACAUUUCAUCAGUUGAUUAUCGAGUCUGCCAUGAAAUUUCUGAAGGUGCUCCUGGACAGGGUGUAUGGUGUGAUGAAGAUGGGGGUGUUCUCGGUACCAUCUUGUGCCCCUUCUGUCGGUACCACAAGACUAGCCACAAUAAUUUCCUUGGUGUACAGGUCAUGGCAACUAAUGCAUCAAAUGUUCAUUUACUCAACAAGGUAAGUUUCUAAUGGAAACUUAUAGGAUGCUGAUUAACUACCAACAAAGUCAAAAAAAAAAAAAAAAAAAAAAUACUCAUUUUGCCUGAAUUUGCAUUUAGUUUCAUAGAACUUAGGUAUGACUAGUGAAUUUCCUCUUGUUUAAAAUCUUACAAAUGUUUCGUCCAAAAAAUAAAAAAUGCAUUUAACAAUUCUAUGACUGCUUG
rnacentral:lncRNA from 1 species